AGUGCAGCUCAGAGCCCUUCCGGUUUACAGCCGCGGAAAAACAACUCGGACCAGAUCCGGGAGGGGAAUGGGGGCUGGGUGGCCAAAAUUCAGUCCAGAGGAUCGAAGCGGCUGCUUUAACAGAAGUUGGGGCUGCGUAACAACAGCUCCAAGCAAAGCUUCAGGCUGAUCGGAAAGAUGAGGAAGCAGAAAAGAGACUAAAGACAGACGGACAGGAUGGCUGGGGACAACGACAGGGACCCAGUGAAAAUACGGGCAAUACCGAGGGCUGUAACCCUAACACGGGCAAAUUUGGAGGGGCUAACAUGGGCGGAAACCAUCCGUACCAGUCACCACCACUGUCUCCAGCUGUCCCAGAACCGGACUCUUCCUGCCAUCAAAAUGGCGGCGGCGACGGCAGCGGUGGUAGCACCUACGCUGGCGGUGAGCAGGCAAAGGAAGUUGCUUCCGAGCGCGUCGAAACGAUGAUGCGCACGCGCAAAGUAGGCCUACGUGGAGCCGACCUGCCAUUGGGUAAACGCAAGGGAGGAGAAAAGGUGGGGCAGGGGUGAUUUGGGUGGAUGGAUAGGAGGGCUUCCGACCUGCGUUAGGCGGGUCAGUUAAUCUUCAGUAACUCCUUGAUGCGUUUGAUAGUCCUCCCAACUUAAGCCUUCCUUACUGCCUCCAGGAGAUACAGUCUUCUGUUCUUUUUGUCAUAGUUGUUUAUUUUUCAUGAAUCGCUGUUUUUGAGCAUAGGGCACUUACCUCUUUCUGUGUCCCCAGCCCUACCACAGUGCCAGGCUCUCAAUAUGCUCGAUAAAUAUUAGGCGAUUGAUUUGUAAAUCGUGUAUCAUUUUCAUGUAUCUAAUACUUUUUUAAAAAUUGAUUAAAGCCCAUAAGCCCAUAUUUUAUUCCAGAUGUCCUUAGUUUUCGACCUGGUAUUCUUUUCCAUUCCAGGAUCCUGUCCGGAGUACAUCACCAUGUCUUCCAGGCUCCUCUGGACCGUGACCGUUUCUCAAACUUUCCUUGUUUUUGAUAACCUUAAUAGUUUUGAAGCGACUUAUUGGUCAUUUGGUCAAAUGUCCUUCAAUUGGGUUUUGCCUGUAUUUUUCUCAUGCAUUAACUGAGGUUAUGGGUUUUUCUUGAGUUAAGAGGUAAGGUAAAGUGAUCUUCUCAUCACAUCACAUCAAGGGUAUAUACUAUCAACAUGACUUAUUACUGUUGAUGCUAACCUUUAUCACCAUUAUUACAGUGUCAUACAGAAAAGUUUUAUAGUUCUACAAAGAUCCCCUUUGUUUCAUCUAGUAAGCCCUUCCACCUCCCUAUGUAGGGUUUGUCAGGUUUCUCCACUGUGAAGUUACUGUUUUUCUUUUCCUCUCCAUACUAUACUAUUUGGAAGGACAUCUCUCUGUGCAGCCCAAACUAUAGGAAUGGGAAAUUGUUAUACUCCACCUUUAUGAGGACAGAAUAUCUUCAUGAAUUAUUUGGAAUUCUUCUGCAUGGGAGAUUUGUCUGUACUGCAUUUAUUUAUGUAUUCAAUCAUUUAUGUCAGUAUGGACUCAUGGAUAUUUAUUUUACAUUUUGGGUUAUAAUCCAAUACUACUUUAUUUUGUUGUUCAUAUUGGUUCCAGCUUUGGCUAUUGAGAUUUCCUUUAGUUGGCAUUUGUGUCUUUUUGACAAACCCUCCUCGUUUUAUGUUUAUUGAUUUUUUUUCUUGAGCAUUUUCUUAAUUUCUAUAAGUUGCUCCAGGCUCAUCUUGUAUAUUCCCUGCCCCAAUCCUAGAAUCAGCUGCUUCCCCAAAAAGCCAAGGGUACUUUUAAUGGAAAAUGAUAUUAGAAAUCAAGAUUUGGACAUUUGGGAUGUUGUUGCUUCUAGACACUCUCAGCUGACAGAGCAAGGAAAUAUUUGUGGAUAUGCUAACCUGACUAAAUACGCAUAUCUGUAAGUAUUUAUAUAUGUAUCCAUCUGUAUCUUUGACAGCUACACAGGCGUUCUAGGUUCAAAUACUAGAGCUGUUAUCUUCAGUUCAAUUCCAGCACCAUAUGGAUCAUUGCAGCCUUCUCCCCUUGCUUGUCUGUAGCCUUCCACUCCAGUGUGAGACACCUGGCUCUCAUCAUCUGCCAUCCAUUUACCUAAUUGUUCAAUUCCAGGUUACGUGUAUAAUGGAUUCAGAACCGUCAACCCGUAUUCAGAGUACAUGUAUAGUUGUUUCUGAACUGUUAUCAGGUAUACCUGUGAGAAACAGAUUUACCAAUUAGAGUACAAUGCUUAUGUAUAGUUCUUUUGCUUUUAAUCUUAUAGAUUCCACUUAUUUUCAAAGUUACUGAAGUCAGCAGCCCUCCCUCCUACCUCUACCCGGCCUCAGUGAAGUUAUUUUAUAUGCUCGUAAUACAGUUGUAAUCUUUUGCCACAAUCUGCAUUACUCCUGGGAUUCUUUGAGUUCCUAAGAUUUUUUAAAAAAUCUUCCUCCGUUUAGGUUCUGUUUGUGCAAUCCUCAUAAUGCACAUUUAUUUUUUUCUUUUCCUGUACAUAAUAGCAGACAGCUGGUCAGUAGUGGGAUAGAAGUAAAAAUUUUUUUAACUUCAAAUUUUCUUUCUAUGGGGUUUGACAAAUCCAUACAUAGUGUCAUGGAUCCACCAUUAUUAGAGUGUCAUACAGAAAAGUUGUAGUUCUAAAAAGAUCCCCUUUGUUUCAUCUAGUAUUAAACCCUCCCACCUUCCUAUACCUCUAGCAACCACUGAUGUGUUUACCAUCUCUAUAAUUUUGACUUUUCCAGAAUGACAUAGAAAUGGAAUAAUACAGCAUGUAGCAUUUUCAGACUCAUUUUCUUCACAUAGUAAUAGCUGCAUUUAAGAUUCAUCCAUGUUUUUGUGUGGCAUAACAGUUCAUUCCUGUCUUUUUAUGGAUUCUUUUUUAAGACAGGGUCUGAUAGCUCUGUUGCCCAGGCUGCAGUCCAGUGGCACGAUCAUAGCUCACUGUAACCUCAAAUUCCUGGGCUCAAGCAAUCCUCCUGCCUCAGCUUCCCACGUAGCUGGGACUACAGGUGCACACCAUCAUGCUUCACUAAUUGUAAAAACUUUUUUGUAGAGAAGGGGGCCUCAAACUUCUGGCCUCAAGGGAUCCUCCCACGUCAGCUCACAAAGCAUUAGUAUUACAGGUAUGAGCCUCCAGGCCUGGUCUUUAUUUCUGUCUUUUUGAUCCCUGAAUAGUAUUCUAAUGUAUAGAUGUACCACCAUUUAUACUUAUUAAAGAACAUUGUGAUUCUUCCAGUUUUUGACAAUUGUGAAUAAAGCUGGUAUUAAGUAUUUAAGUGCAGGUUUUUCUGUGAACAUGUUUCAAGUCAGUUGAGUAAAUAUCUAGAAGCACAAUUGCUGGCAAUUGUAUUUUUAUAAGAUAUGUGAAAAUAGUUCUGCUAGGUUAUUUGAGCAUCUUCCCCACAAUCAUAUAUAUAGUUAAUUUAAGAAAUGCUCUUCUAUGUUGAUAACAUAGAGCAAACUUCAUUCCACUCCUGUCUGAUUACUACAAAUUGGUAAUGUCCAAAUUAGUAGGCUUUAUGAAUCACAGGCUGACACUCCUGCAGCUGUUCAAAUCAAUGAAUACUCAAUCGCAGAUAAAGGAGAGUAUCUUGGAAUGUCUUUGUUAAGGAUAUCCAGGGAAGAAAUUCUAGGACUUUCCUUGGAAACCAUCUGAUAUCUCAAAAAACCUUAACCUUAGGAAAUUAUCCCUGCCCCAGAAUUCUCAUGUUGUACAUUUAUUUCCUCUUUUCCUAUACAUAGUAGGAGACAGCUGGUCAGUAGUGGGAUGGAAGUCAAAAAUUUUGACUUCAAAUUGUGUUUUUCUUUAAUAGAUGCUUUUUUAUGCUGGGAAUUUGUUGCUCCAAAAGUGGGCCAAUUACUAAAGUCAUCAGACUCUCUUUCAAUUUCUGAGAUGUGAAAUUGAAAGAGAGCUGCAUAUUUUCUUACAGAAAAUGCUAGAUAUAAGGCACAACCAAGGAAGGGGUGGGAGCUCUCUUUCUCUGUUGUGACUUCGUGAUUCCUAGUUAAAGUCUGUGGGUGUCAAGUUGUUUAGUGAUGAAGAGAGCAGAAAAGUGCCAAAGAAGCUGGUGAUUUGAGACCUUUACUUUGCAAACAUUAGUGAUAGGAAACUAGAGUUGAGGAGAAAUUCUAAAUUUGAAGAGAGAAUUCUAGAUUAUCCUUCCAAACUAAGUAUGUCCAGGAGUUACCAGCCUGAAGACCUCUACCACCACUACUGAUGCUGUUCUAUAAAGGCAGAAUGUUGUAUGUAAUGGUACAGGUAUAGACUAACACCAUAUGGCCCUGAUUGGAUUCUUGAAUCUGACAUUUCUAGCUAAGUCAUUGUCUUAGUCUAUUUUAUAUUGUUAUAAAAUAACAACAUAAUCCCACAGACUGACUAAUUUAUAAAGAAAUUUAUUUAGGUCAUGGUUAUGGAGCUGGAAGUCCAAGAGUAUAUGCUAGAAUCUUCUGAGGGCCCGUGUGCUUCAUCAUCUUGUGGCCAGAAGAAAUGUAGGGGGUUGAGAACAUUUCAGGCAAAGGAAGCAAAAUGAAUAGAGGAAUAGAAUCCAAAAGACUGUGGGCAGUUUGAGAGAUCCACAGCUAGUUCAAGGAACUGAGUUGGAGGUAGAUGGGGAUCAGAUCAUAAUUGAUCUUCAGUGCAAUACUAAGGCGGAUGUAAUCCUGGAAGCAAUGAAAAGUAAGUGGGCAGAUUUAAGCAGUCAUGCCAUUAUCAGAUUUGUGUCUUGGGAAGAUCUUCUGGCUACAGCACAGAGAAUAGAUUGGAAGGGUGUUGGGCAGCAAUUGGAUCAAGCAGUUAGGAGACUCUUGUAGUAUCCAUGAGGAAGAACACAAAGAGCCUGAACUAAGGGAAGGGGAGCGUUAAGGAAUCAACAUGACAUAGCUAUCCAUGGGUUGCUGAUGAGGAAAAGAGGACAAGUUGAAUCUUCAACUUCUAAAUUUUUGAUUCAGGAUAUUUGGCGAAUGGGGUUCCUUUUACUGAGAUUGGGAAUCCAGUAAAAAGUGGAUAUUUGUAUAAUAUAUCCUACGUGGCAGGCACUUGGAUAGGCAUUUUUUCAAUAUCUAUUUUAAUCCUCAAUAAUGCAGAAAAUUGAGGUAUUAUUAUCUUCAUAUCAUAAAUGAAAAAAUGAAAGCAAAAAGAGGAAAUAUAUUACUGAAGCUUCUGGGGCUGGAUUUAAAUCUGAAUCUGUUUGGUUUAAAACUAGUAUUCCCUUUUUCAUAGGAUACUUCCUCCCAAGAGGAAAGCAAAUUUAAGGAGAAUGAUAAUAUGCUUAGUUUGAAUUUUGAAUUUUAAUUUAAGAUGCCUGAGAGCAUUCAUGUGGGUUUUUGUCCAAGAAGUCAUUUGAAAGGUCUAUUGCUCAAGAAAGUGGCUUGUCUGAGAGAUCAAGAUUUGAGAUUUUUUUUUUUUUGACAGAGUCUUGCUCUGACACCCAGGCUGGAGUGCACUGAGUGAUCUCUGCUCACUGCAACAUCUGCCUCCCAGGUUCAAGUGAUUCUUCUGCCUCAACUUCCUGAUUAUCUGGGAUUACAGGCAUGCGCCACCAUGCUGGGGCUAAUUUUUGUAUCUUUAGUAGAGACCGGUUUCACCAUGUUGGCCAAGCUGGUCUCAAACUCCUGACUUCAAGUGAUCUGCCAACCUUGGCCUCCCAAAGUGCUGAGAUUACAGGUGUGAGCCACCAUGCCCAGCCAAAAUUUGAGAGUUUUUAACAAAGAGUUAAAGCCAUUGGAACCCCUUGGACUGGAGUACAAUGAUGGGCUUUGCAGAGAGUGAAGAAGAUUUGUGAAAUUCCUGAAAAUGCAUGUAAAUUCCUGAAUAAUUAUAAGUAGGUUCUGUUUCCCCUUCAAGGGAGCUGAGCUUCUUUAGGUCUUUGAAGGAGUCUGUGCCUCUGAAAAGAUCAAGGGCCACUAGUGGAGAGUAUAAAAGAAAAAGGGCAAAAGUCAGAGCUCUAGGAAGUAUCAAUUAAAGGAGUAACCGAAGAAGAAAACUGGCAACAGAGACUGAAAAACUUUAGUCAGUGGGUAGACAAAAAUCAGGAGAAAGACAUAUUUUAAACAUCAUGAAGAUAAUUGCUCAAGAUUAUUAGAUGCUACGCAAUGGUCUUAUUAAGGACCAAAAAGAGAUCAUCAUAUUUGAUAGGCCAAUGGUGACUUUGCUGGAGGAAUUUCAGUGGAACAGUAAGAGAUGAAAUUUUGAUUACUGUGGUAUUCAAAGGAUGAAACAUAAACCUCUUGAGGACAGAGAUUUUUUUGUCUGUUCACUGUCUUAGGACUUCACUAUAUUCCUGCUACAGAGAGGUAAUCAAUAAAUAUUGUUGAAAGUUGAACAGAUGAAGAAGUGGUGGCAGUGACCAUUAAUAACAGCUUUUCUUUGUUGUUCUAUUUUCAGGCUCCAUACCUACCUAACAUCUAUCUUCUCAAGAACUCUGCCAGGGAAGGAGUAGUUUCUGUGUUUCAUAAACAGACUGAGACUCAAAGAGGCUAAGUAAACUACCUGAAGCCAUAUAUAGCAACACACAAUGACGGAUGUGAGAUUCAAACUUGGAUUUAUCUGGCUCCAAAAUUUCUAGUUUUUUUUUUUUUUUUUUUCCCACUACAGCAAAACUAAGGAGAAGAGACAGAGGUGAAUAGCUGUCUCUCAGUGGUUAUUCUGUUUUCCCUUAUCUACAUGUUUUCCUCCUUUCACUCUCUCUUGGUUUGUUCUUAUCCUUCAGAGGUAAAGAGGAGCCUUCAGAGAGCUAUAAAGGUUGAUCAAAGUACCAGAUUAUGAGAUUAUUUGGAGGCUAAUAUGUAAUCCUUGGGGUUUCCUUUCUCAUCUCACCCUUACAGCUGCCUGUAUUAAUGCUUUCUGAUUAACAUAUGGUCUCCUUUUUAUUCUAGAAAACACUAGAUCUGAAUAACAAAGGAUGCAUACUUAAGCAAACUAAGGCAUAUAUAGUUAUCACUAAAUGCUCAACCUGGAAAGAAUACUGGAUUGCAGUCUGCUUUUUCUGUAAAGACAAUAGUAUUAUAAAACCGAAAGAGACAACAGGGAAUAUUUCCCACUCAACUAAGCAUAUCUAAAAGCACAUUUGAAGUUUGGAGACAAUAUUCUGUGUUAUUUUAAGAAAAGAUUCUAUAGCAUUAUUACCUGGUGGUAAGAAAAUAACAUGUAAAAGAAAAGGUAAUAAGAAUAAAAAAAAUAAGUAAAAGUAUGUGAACAUGCUAGACCUGGUUAUACAACUCAACUGUUGAGAAUGCAUUUUUGAAGUUGCCUGCAUGGUUGCUGCAAGCGUUCUUCAGUAUUUAGUAUAUGAAGACAGGCAUAUGCUCUGGCCAUUUCCAGAAAAGCCAAGGCUAUCCUGUAUAUUCUAGCCAUCUGUUGUUAGGUGAAAUGCGUGAAUGGCAUAGAGAAAUGUUAUGGAGAGUGAAUGUUACAUGCCUCUGAGAUACAAUAGAAAAGAAGCCCUUGAUUUAAUAUUUUGGUUCUUAGUUUGACUGUGAUUUAUAGGGAGUGAUAUUGCCCUGGGCCUUUCUGUCUCCUUUGUAUCAGGAAAUGAUUUGGUUUAGAGAAAAGCAGGCAAAGGUUUUAGUGGGACUCCCACCAGGAUAAUGGCCUUCUUUGUUCCUAGCUACUUCUUGAGGUGACUAUGGCUAUCCUUUAGGCCCCAAGCAUGUGGACAGAGUCGAGAACAGGGUUAAGGAGAAGAUUUAAGCAAAAUCUCUUUAGUCACUGAGCAAGAAGCACCUAUAAGUUGCAUUUUGUAAACUCAGAGGAUUUGGUCUGUGGUGAUCUAGCUACAUAAGAACUGGAAAUGCCUAGGUUUAAAAUCGGGGUAUAAAGCAACCCAGAGCUUGUUAGAUAUGCAAGAUCUCUGGCCCUAUCCCCAAACUACUGUCCCAGAAUAUGUAUUUUAACAAGGUUGCUAGUGACUCAUAUGCUCAAUAAUGUUUGAAAAGCCCUGCCCCAGACUCUUGAAUAGGAUUGGCCAGGAGGUGGGAAAAGGGAUGGUAGCAGUGGUGCUUGCAAUGUACAUAGCCCCAGAUAUAUAGAAUCAGAAUCUGUAAGAGUGGAGACUUAGGAAUCUAUGUUUUAACAAGCUCCUCAGGGAAUUUUUAUAAACACUGCAAUUUGAAGAUCACAGGUAAGAAAUAAAAACAGUUCAGGGGAGAAGUGCAAUAUACACUAUGAACACCAGCUGUCAGUACUCUACAAUUUAAAAAUGACCUUGAUGGUUAAUAGUGAAAAGAAUUAUUACAAGAACAUUUUCUAAAUUUGAAAUGUAAAGAUCUAGGGAACAUGAGCUCUAAGUUAAACAGAUUUGAAUUAUCCUGUGAUUUUAUCAAAGAUCUCUAGACAUAUAAAUAGUUUACAGAGAGUAGUGGUUGGAGAUUUAGAGAUUUUGGGUACAUGUGAGUAAGUCCAUGUCAGAAUAAUGUCUUACUAUACUUGGGAAAAUAAAGUGAAUGCUUUUGUGGUUUUAAAACCAAACUGGACUCUACAGUUUGAAAGUAUGUAAGGCAGGUCAAUGACUCUUUCUAAGAAUAUCUUUUCAUUUUCUUGGCAUUAUGUCCUGAUGUUACUGGGUUUUUCAGGUACUUAAUUUUCAUGUGUAGCUCAGGGAUUAAAAGUCUUGUGCAGUAUUCAAAGGAACUUUUUCUGUAUUUGUAGACACUGCACCAUACUGGGAGACUUGGAUUCGAAUUCUGUCUUUUCCUUAUAGCCUCGUGCAGAUUACAAUGACAAUUCCUUAACAUCUCUGAGUCUUUUAGUGUGCAUAAAAAUACCCACAUAAGGGUUGUCAAGAGGAGGAUCCAGAUAAUAUAAUAAAUAUGAAAUGCUCUACCAAUUAUGAAGCAUUAAAUAAAUGCAAGGUAGUACUUGAAUGCUUAUGGCAUUGGGCUUUCACUUUUAUAUUUGAUCUUUGGAACCCCACUAUAGCACCCAUUUCCAUAAAAAUGACUCAGGUUUCACUAGGAGCCUAGUUACUUUUCCUAGUUAGGUAUUUUUUUUUUCCCCACCCCAAAUAGCGUUGCCUGAUAAAAUACUGGACAGCCAGGUAAGUUUGAUAUAAAGUUUGAUUUCAUGUAAACAAUGAUUUCUUUUUAAUUCUUCAGCUAAGACAGCGGAAGAGAUGAUUUAUUGUAUGGUUGUUACACUCGGCCACAAGUAAACACAUAAAUAGUCCAGAAUGUCACAGGUCUAGGGCAAAGGACCAAAAUGGGCAGUUUUGGUUAUGAGCAACAUGGGUCUUAGAGGUGAUUGGCGAUCAGAGGGCGAUGAAGUUCUAGAUCAUGAGAUAAGCUCUGGACAGUAGCAUGCAGUCCUACAACUUGUACCAGCAUCUCCAGCGUCUAGCAUUCCAUGUUUCUGCUCCUGUGGCCUCCAUGGUACAAGAAGCUAGUGGUUUACUUGGACAUCUGACUCAUCUUUCUUCUUUUGCGCUUCAACCUGUGCAUUCGCUUCUUCCUCCACUUGGCUCUUAUGGCACAGAGGUUUUCAAGAAAAUGGUGCUAAGGCCGAGAUGACAAUGAAUAAUUUUUUAGUAUGACUAUGUCCCAUGUAUUGCACAGCAAACUGGAAAAUCUAACUCCAAGACCAAAUGCUAUCUACAUUCAUGCAUCUUCUACUCACCAAUCUCAUCUAAUUGCUUACAUCUUCUAUUUUGCCUGUAUGGAAAAAGUCUGACUCAAAGACAGUAAUGUAGAUCUAAAAAUGGUCUUGAGAGAAAUUAUUGCUAUCUGAAAGCUCACGUCUUCAAAAAUUUUUACACUUCCUGUCUAGAAACGGCUCUGGCUUAUCUCUAAAGAGUGCUUAGAAUAAAAUAGAGUCACUUAAGUACUUACUCCUUGGGAUUAUUUUUGAUUUUUUUUUGUGCUGUUAUUCUGUUGACUUUUGAUUAUUCAUUAACAUCUCUUUCUCUGUCUCACUGUGUGGUUGUGGGAGUAGAAGGAGGGAAGAGGUGACUCUCCAAAAUGAAAUAAUUCGAAAGCCACUUACAUGUUGCUAUUAUGAACAAUUCUGAGGCAUUUCUGGUACAGCUUUCUCUUUCCAAUUAUAUUUGGUAUAGCAAAUAAUGCUAUUAAAAUAUAUAGACUUUAUAUAAAGAAAGACCACAUCCUGAUACUGAAGGAGAGGAAGAAGAAGGAAAGGUGGGAGUUCGCUGUGUGCUCAGCAGAAAGCAGGGUCGUCCUGGGGAACACUUUGCAGUUUCAAAGUACUUGAGGAGGGUAGGCCACAAAAUGGGAGUUUAACUGUACUAAAGUAAAUUCUUAAUGACACUUUCACGUGGAUGCCCUGAAGCAGAGGGAGGAAUCACACCAGGAAACCUGAUGCGGGAGAGAGCCAUGUCCCACAGUUUGACCGAAAAAAAUGUUGCCUUUGGGCUCACCUAACUCUGGACACUAGGUGUCAGUAUACAGCAAUGUAACGAUUUUAGGAUGCGGGGUUGAUGUGCUGAAUUAGUGGGGGAAGAGUUGUGAGAUGAUGUUUCGUUUCCUGCUGUUAACACAGGUCCUCGAUUUAUGGUAGAGGUUCUUUCAGCUGUGAUCUUAUGAAUCAUCAAUAGAGACAGGAACUGUGUCAGAGUCACCUCUAGGGGUUUCCUUCAUAUUUUCUUUUUCUUUUCUCACUGGCUAGGACUGAUUACUUCUUCACAUCUCUGCAAAGUACUUAAUUAGUCUCAUCAGGCAGCCAAACUUGAUACCUUCGUCCAAUUUUAGAUACAGAGAUGAUGAAGGUGUUUCAUUGGCAGUUGGGGCCAUUAGAGGGACCCCGCAGGGCAGAGCGACGUUGCACUGAGGCGAUCUGAGCUGAGCACAGGGGUAAGGAUAUAUUCCUGGACUGUGUGCUGCUGUCACCGAGAACAUUUGCAAAUCUGCUGACACAUUACAGUGGGAAUAUCCCCUGGACGCAUGGAAGGCCCAGUGCCCUGUCAUUUGAGCAGUGCAGGCACGUCACCAGCCCAUGGGGAUGUCAGUAUUCAUGCUGCUCUUUGAUAUAAAGUUCGCAUUUUCUAUAUGGUUUGAUGAUGUUUAGUGGGAUCAGUGAUGCCUGUUUGUUAAUUGCUUACAGAAGAUUUGGGCUUAAAAAUAAAAUCUUGGAUCAGGUAACAUUCUCUGUUUUAAAUUUUAUUGAUAUUUCUGAAUUCCAAGGAAAUUACUUACAUAUCAGAUGGUCUUUGAAACCUUAUUUUUUUCUAUUAUUUUUAGUAUUCUCUGCACUCUGUCUUAUAUUUCUGCCCUUUCUCCUGCAUAAGUAAAACAGAAAGAUUUAGUUAGCGUUUGAGGAUGAAAAUUAUCAAGCCUAUAUUCUCAACAACAAUCUGGGAUUUGAGUUAAUUUUAAUGUCCAAUUUGUGUCCCUCUUGCCCCCUUUACAUGUGUGACUUUAUUUUCAGCUAUCUUUUAAUAUUAUUCACUCUUAGUCACACCAACUAUGCUUAUCCCUACCUAAGUCCUUCUCAUCUUGUUAUCACCAGCUGGUAAAUUCUUCCUGCUUCCUUUACUUAUAUAAAUGUGGCUGCUUUUUCAAUAUCAGCUCCAAGCCAUCUCCUCCAUGAAGCUAUCUGGGUAAUUCACAGAAAUCUGCUUUCCUGAAUCAUAGAGCAUUGCUCAGUGUAGCUCAUGAUUAUAACCUAGUCUUAGUUGCUUUUUAAUUAGUUUGCACACGUGUACAUAUACACACACAUGCACACACACACACACAUGACCAACUAGAUUACAAGCUUUUCAAAAGUGGGGGCUGUACCCCAGUGACAUCUAGUAAUAUGCUGAGUAUCAUAUAUACAUUUUCAAUAGAUAGCCAUUUUUUGUUUAUCUCUUUGAUUGCGGAGGCUAAAACAUAAUAGGUAUUUAAUAAAUGUUGAGAGAUCUGAGGAAUUGAUUUAAAUUACUCUGCUGAAGUACUAGAUCUUUGAUAAUAUUAGAUUGUGACAUUUGGUGUGACAAUUCUGGUAGUCAUUAGCAUAUACCUUUGCAAGAGCUAGCUCAAGUCUUAUACCUUCCAUGACAACUUCUCUAGGCUAAUACAGUCCUCAUUGUUCCUCCUGGUCCUGAAUUUCUCCUUCUCCUGUUUCUGAACUCCUAAAGCAUCGUACAUCUACAUUGGGCAAGUGCCUUAGGACUACAUCUGUAGAAUGGGUUUAAUAAUAGUGCCCAUCUAUUUGGAACUAUGAUAAUUAAAUGACAAUAUGUAUAAAUUACUUAGAACAUUUCUGGCAUAUUAUAAGUAAUCAAUAGGUGUUUUAGUCAUGGUUCUCCAGAGAGGCAGAACUGAUAAGAUAUAUGAAUUAGCUCAGUUGAUUAUGGAGGCUGAGAAGUCCCAUGAUAGACGUCUGCAAGCUAGAGAACCAGGGCAACUGGUAGCAUGGCUCACUGCAAAGUGUGAAGGCUUCAGAACCAAGGAAGCCAAUAGCAUAACUCUCAGUCCAAGGCCAAAAACCUGGGAGCCUGGGGGUUGCUGGUGUGUUUCCCAGAGUCCAAAAGCUGAGAAGGGGAGUUGUAACAUUCAAGAGCAGCGGGAAGAAGUUAUCCUAGCUUUAGAAGACAGAGCAAGAUUUUGCCCUUUCUCCACCCUUUUAUUCCAUCUGGGCCCCCAGCCAAUUGAAAGGUAUCUGCCCACAUUGAGGGUGGAUCUUCCCCACUCAGUUCAAAGACUCAAAUUCUAAUCUCUUCGCAGAACAUUCUCAGAGACAUACCUAUGGUGGCCUAAUAAUUUUAAUCAAAUGCCAAAUCACCUGGAGUUUCCUUUCAGCGGAAGAGCGAAGGACUUUAAUUUAUCACAGUCUAGCUGGCGAGAUUGUGGAGAAAAGGGAAAACUUAUACACUGCUGGGGGGAAUGUAAAUUAGUUCAGCCAUUGUAGAAAGCAGUUUGGCAAUUUCUCAAAGAACUUAAAACAGAAUUAAGAUUUUGUCCAGCAAUUCCAUUAUUGGGUAUAUACUAAAAGGAAUAUAAGUCAUUCUACCAUAAAGACACAUGCACACAUAUGUUCAUCACAGCAGUAUUCACAAUAGCAAAGACAUGGAAUCAACCUAAAUGCCCGUCAAUGGUAGACUAGAUAAAGAAAAUGUGGUACAUAUACACCAUCGAAUACUAUGCAGCCAUAAAAAAGUACAAGAUCAUGUCCUUUGUAGCAGCAUGAAUGAAGCUGUAGGCUGUUGCCCGAACAGAAAACCAAAUACUGCAUGUUCUCACUUAUAAGUAGGAGUUAAACAUUGGGUAUGGACGCAGAUAAGGGAACAACAGACACCAGGGUCUAUUUGAGGGUGGAGGAUGGGAGGAGAGUGAAGAUCCAAAAACUGCCUAUCAGGUAUUAUGCUUAUUACCUGGAUGAUGAAAUAAUCUGUACACCAAACCCUGUGACAUGCAAUUUACCUGUGUAACAAACCUGCACGUGUACCCCAAAACUAAAAUUUUUUUAAAAAGUCACAUAUUGAGGUAAAAAAAAAUACAAAUAAUUUUCAUUAGAAAAAACUUAUCCCAAUCUACCUUAUACCUCUUCACAUGCAGUAUAAGAACCUCACAACAGGGUGCUUCCAUCUCUUUAUCCUGAUGGCUGCUGUUCUCAUGUAUUUUACUUCCAUGUUUGCUGUGAAUCCCAUACUACACUGCUCUCAUUUUUGCUUUAAACAGUCGAUUCUAUUUUGAUGAUAUUUUGUAAAAUGAGAAAAUUGUUUUUUUACAUUCCUCUACAAACUUACCAUUUCUGGCUUUCUUUAAUCCUUUGUGUAGAUUUAAUUUUCCACCUGGUGUUAUUUUAGCUCUGCCUAAAGAACUUCCUUUAGCGUUGUUGGAGUGGAAUUCUUUUGGUGAUGAAUUCUCUUCAUUUUGUUCUUCCAGAAAUGUACAUUCAUUCUUCACAUUGGAAAUAUAUUUUUCUUGAUAAAGAAAUGUAGGUAGACAAUAUUUCCCCCUCUCAAUACAUCUGGCUUGCAUAGUUUAUGAUGGAAGUCUGCUGUCAUUCUUCUCUUUAUUGCUUUGUUUGCAGUGUGUCACAAUGUGUCUUAUUUUUAUGGCUGAUCUUAAGAUUUUCUUUUUAUCAUUAGUUUUUGGCCAUUUAAUUAUAUAGUGCUUUGGAAUCUAAUACCAUUCUCAAGCUUUUACUUGAUACCUUAUAUAUUUCGUUUUUGGUUUUUAAAAUUUUGUUGUUGUUGUUGUUAUUGUUUCAUCUUGGCUGGUGGGAACAUGAACAAUUCCUAGCGCUCUGUGAGCUGCAAGAAUAUUUCUGAGUACUCCUUUCUUGUGUUUUUUUCCCAAGCAUGAGUCAUUUCCUCUCAUGCAUGCACAGAUCAGUACUUAGGCAAAGCCUCCUCCAGACCCCACUGCAGAUCUCCAGAGUUCCUUUUUUGUGCAGCUCCUUCAUCUGUGCUACCAUGCCCCACGAACUCCACCUUUUGUAAUAUCCCUGAAUUCUAAUCUCUCUUUCUUCAGCUUAAAAAGACUGCCUAACUCUGUGCUGUUGCCUGGAAACUGCCUACAGGAAGUAAGAUGGUGCAGGUUAACAUCUCAUCAUCUGGUUUCUUUCUCUCAGGGAUCACAGUCUUAUAAUGCCUCUUUUCAAAUGCCUCUAAACCAGUGUUUCCUAUGUUUUGUCUGAGUUUUUCUAGUUGCUUACAGCAUGUGAUGGGGUUCCUUUUGACUCUAUUUUGACUUGAAACGAUAGUGUCCAUGGAGAUGGAGCCAGUUUCUUACUUCCUGACAUCCUAUUCCUAAAGACUAAUAGAAUACUCCAGAGUUUGUGAUAAAAGAGAAUAUCCAUUAAAUUAAUGAUAAGAUCAGUGCAUAUAUGAAUACUCCAGUAAUUCCCAGGUAAUGAUAAAUAAAACAGUCACAAAGAGCUGCAGAAUUAGAAAGCUAUUUGAACUUUGAAUCAACUAUGUUGAAGCAACAUAAUGAAAUACAGAGUCUUCUAGAUACUCUGUAAAGUCAUAGAAUUUUAGAAAGUAUUGUUCUCAUUAUUUCUGAUGCAGUAAAGUUCAAAGAGGUAAUUACAUUGCUUUCUGGCAGACAGUUGACCAGAAAGGCCAAAGUAGAAAUCAUAAGCCAACUGCCUUAAUGGUUUGGGUAGUGGUAUAGGUAAAUGAAAAGGCAAUUUUAAUCUUCUGACUUCAAAUUAAGAGAUUAUAUAUUUAACUUCCUAAUAGAUAAAUACAUUAUUGCCUUUCAAUUCAUUUUUGUUUAAAAACAGCUUCUUUUAGAAUUCUGCUUUGGUAUAUUGCUUUAGUGUGGGCACAAAUUCCCAAAGAUUCCAUGAAGAAUUUAGUAUAUAAUCUCCCUUAGAAAAAGUACAGCAUUUUUAUGAGCAGAAUAAUAAUAUUCAGAAAUGAUAUAAAGGUACACACAGGAAUAUGUGUGUAGCUUCAAUAUCUAUAAGGGAUUAUAAUUUUAACAUUUUAUUGAUCUUUUAAGGUGUUUUGAGUUUUCAAAUAAAAUUGCUCUCUAUUAUUGUGCACUUAGAGAUACUUUUCUAGGCAAUAAUAUGUAAAUUAAUUGCCUUUUCAGGCUGCGCUAUGGUUUCCCAUUGUGGCAUGGAAUAAUAUAUUGGGGAGAUUUUUCUGUUUUAUGGCAGUUUUAACUAUCUUUUAAAAAUGGUUAAAAUUUCCAGUUGCAAUAACGUAGCGUUAAAUUAUUUAAAAACUGUUAUGAAGAAAUAUAUCUCAGGAUUAAUAGAAAAAAUUUCUUAUAUUGGCCAAUUUCAAAUUUAACCACAAUUCUUAAUACAUUUCUCUUUGACAUGAAUUUAUAAAUAGCAAUUAUAAUGAGUAUGGUUCUCUAAAUCAAAUAACCUGUUAAAACCAAAUGAUCCAAUUACAGGUUUAUAUUAAAAAUGAAUGAAUAAGGAAAGCUUUUUAGCUCCUUAAGAUGCUAUCAUUCCUUUUAUAGAAUGUCAAGAUUUACAGAAUAUCAGGAAAGUAAUCAAUCUUCCUUUGAUUAGGCUUGUAUCUUCUCUUUCUUUCAAAUUUCUGCAGACUUUUCAUUUGCUGGGGGGAAAAAUGGAAAGCUAUGGGACAGUGAAAGAUAACAGUUAAGAAUUUCCAAAGGAUUCAAGGAUGUAGAAACAGAAAUGACUCAAAUGGUCAUCACACUUCAAAUUCCAUCAUAAAGGCUGAAACGCUGUAGUCCUAUCCUGAACUGGUCCUAAUGAUUUAGUGCUCGAUUCUAGGCUUGCACAUAGGUAAACAUGACGACAUUAUAGUAUGUCAAAUAAUGCUCAUGAAUGAAAAGAACAGUGAGAUUUUCAAUGUUUUUUAUACUGACUUGUUUCCCUCUAUUUACUUUACUUGACCGCCCCCAAGAAUAGUCAGAUGACAUAAUUUGAGUCAAUAGAUACGUAACGGAGACAAACCAGAUGGCCAAUUCCUGUGGAUUUAUGGGACAAUUCUGCAUAUUUUAAGCAAAUAAUUUGUUCUUUUCAAUUAUAUUCAAAGCUUACAUUCUGUUAUACUGUAUAUUUUAUUAGAGAAUAGUUUUUCUGUGAAGAUAAUACCAUUAGCUGAGUUGCAAAAAAAAUUCUAAAUUUUAAUAUAUACUUUCAAACUAUUUUUUUCAUUCCAAAACUACUUCUGAGGAAACUCUUACAUAAAAUUAAGGUUAAAUAUUUUUAUAUUUCCUGACUUUCAAUUUAUUACCUAUCUUCAAAUCAACAAUUAACUAAUUGAUUUACCAUAUGUUAUAGACAAUAGAAGUAAAGGGAAAGUGUGAGCAUUUACAAAGUCAAUUGAAAGAGACAUUUAGCUGGAAAAUAUUUUGAGCAUUGUGUUUUAACUUACUGCUCUGGAGGAUGAGGAUUUAACUCUUUUCAGCUUCUUUCUUCUAUCAUGUUUAGUCCACUUCAGAACCCACCCACCUCCCAAGAUAGCUAUAUGACAAUUUGAUUAGACCAGUAAUCAGGGUUUAUGUUUCUAUGACUAUGUAAUUGCUCAUGAAUGAGCUAGGUAGCAUACCAUGAUCUUUUUUUCUCUUGACAAUAUUUUGUUCUCCUUAAAGUUAAGGAGGGCCUGGUUUUACUGUCAUUUCUUCCUUUAGUUUUCUAUAAUCAUAUCAUUUUCUUCGACCAAACUCUCUCAAUUGUGGAAACAUCUUCUCAAAACUUUUGGACACAUUAGGUAUUUUGUCACCUUCACUGUCUUGAAGAAAUCUCUCCUGAGACUUUUGACCUGCUCCAAACUUAGAUUAAUUGUUUUCUAGGUCUGCUGUGCAGUUGUGGGAUCUUUAUUCAUGAGUCUUCUCUUUCCUAUAUCAUAUUCUUGUUUCCCAAAUUUCAUAUCUUCCUUCUUCUUACUCUUGUGUUGGAGAAGCACACUCUCCACUAGCUUCUUGAGAAGACUUGCAUAAGAAGUAAAAUUUUUGACAUUUAUGUACUUCUGAAAAUGUCCGUAUUCUACCUUCACAUAUGAUUUUAAUUUUUACUGCAUAUAGAAUUCUAGGUUGCAAAUAAUUUUCCAUAAAAAUUUUGAAAGCAUAUUUCUAUUGUUCUCUGAUUUCAGAUUGGAAUUAGAGAAAUCUCUGCCAUUGUGAUUCUUGAAACUUUGUUUGAAAUUCCUUCCCUUUAAACUUGUUUCUGGACUCUUAAAUUUUAUUAUUUUAAUUAUUAUUAAUAAUUUUUUUAGAGAUGAGUUCUUCCUUUGUUGCCCCAAACUGGUCUCAAACUGCUGGGCUCAAGCAGUCUUCCCAUCUUGGCCUCCCAAAGUGCUGGGAUUACAGGUGUGAGCCACCAUGCCUGGCCUGUCUGGACUCUUACUGGAUUGUCUAGUUCCUACUCACCCUCCCCCUGACCAAGUGUUUUACAAUUUCAUAGUGAUGGCAUUUGGUGUGGGCCUAAUUUCCUUCAUUAUGCUUAGUACUCACUGGAUCCUUUCAAUAUGGAAACUCAUGUCCUUCAACUCUAUAAUAUUUUCAUGGAUUCUUUCUUUGAUGAUUUUCUUCUCUCCAUUUGUAUUUGUCUCUGAACUCCUAUUAUUCAGAUAGGAGUUGUAUUGUUCUUCUAAUGUUUUUCUUUCCUGUUUUCCAUAUUUUGACUUUUUGUCUUAUUUUUGGAAUAUGUGCUCAAUUUUUUAUUCCAGCCCUUCUAUUAAGGUUUUGUUUUGUUUUGUUUAGGUAUGAAACGAAUAUCUAUUUAGGCUAAGAAAUUCCCACAAAUUACAAAUUUUAAAAAGGUGACAAAUAUUAUAAACAUUAUUUUUUGCUAUGCUUUUUGAUAAUUGUUGGUAAUUUGAAAUAACAAAGUAGAUUUAUAAUGAUCAUAAAGGCAAGUUAAGUAUAUUAUUCUGCUAUUGGCAUUACUUGUCAAAUCCAGCAGUCAAUUUAUUAUCUCCUCUUACUCGGUUGUUCUGCAGCAUUUGACAGCGGUGACCACUGCAUACCUCUUUUGACACACUUUCUUCUUCAGCCUCAAUGACACCACAGUCUUCUGGUUGUUUCUUCUGCUUUACUGGUUGGUCAUGCUCAGUGUCUUUUGCUGGCUUCUCUUCCUCUGCUGAACUUCUGGAUAACGGGGAAUUUAAUAAUGUGCCAAGAAUUUAAUCCUAGACCUCCUUCUCUUUUCUUAUUAACCCUGUAGGUGAUUUUAUUUUUUUUAAUAGAAACUUUAUUGAGCUAUAAUUCACAUACCAUGAAAUUCACCAUUUUAAGUUGUAUAAUUCAAUGUUUGUUGUACAAUCAUCAUUACUAUCUACUUCUAUUUAUUUUUCUUCAAAAAUAUAUUUUUAUUUUUAAAUUUUUUUUACUUGAAAAAUCAUAAUUAUAUACAUUUGUGGGCUAUGAUGUAAUGUUUUGAUAUAUGUAUUCAAUGUGAAAUGACUAAACCAAGUUAAUUGACCUAGCCAUCACCUUACUUAUCUAUUGUUUUUUACAGUGAGAUAUUUGAAAUUUACUCUGUCAUUUUGAAAUAUGCAAUACAUUUUUAUUAACUGUAGUCACCUGCUGUGCAAUAGAUCUCAACACUUAUUUCUCCUGUCUGUCUGAAACUUUGUACCCUUUGACCAGCAACUCCACAUUCCCUUCCUUCUCUCAAUCUCCCAAUCUGUGGUAACCAUCAUUCUACUCUCUACUUCUAAGAGUUCCACUUUUUUAGGUUCCACAUAUCCACAUGUCUUUCUGUAUCUGACUUAUUUCACUUAGCAUAAUGUCCUCCAGGUUCAUCUCUGUUGUCACAAGUGAUAGCAUUUCCUUUUUAAAAAAAGGCUGAAUGGUAUUUCAUUGUGUAUGCAUACCACAUUUUGUUUACCUAUUCAUUCAUAAUGGAUACUUGAUUUCAUCUCUUGUCUAUUGUGAGUAAUGCUGGAAUGAAUGUGGGAGUGCAGAGAUCCCUUCAACAUGUUGAUUUCAAUUCCUUUGACUAUAUACCCAGGAAGUGAGGUUGCUGGAGUAUAUGGUAGUUCUAGUUUUAGUUUUUUUGAGGAACAUCCAUACUGUUUUUUUAAUAAUGCCUCUACUAAUUUACAUUCUCAACAGCAAUGUAUAAGAGUUCUCUUUUUGCACAUCCUUGCCAACACUUAUCUUUCAUCUUUUGGAUAAAAGCUAUUCUAACAGGUAUGAGGUAAUAUCUCAUUGCAGUCUUAAUUUGCAUUUUUCUAAUGAUUAGUGAUACUAAGCAUUUUUUCAUGUAUUUACUGUCCAGUUGCAUGACUUCUUUUGAAAAAUAUCUGUUCAGACCAUUUGCCCAUAUUAAAAUCAGGUUAUUUGUUUUAUUGCUGUAUUAGGUCAAUCUUGCAUUGAUAUAAAGAAAUACCUGAGACUGGGUAAUUUAUAAAGAAAAGAAGUUUAAUUGGCUUAUGGUUCUGCAGGCUGUAUAGGAAGUGUGGUGCUGGCCCCUGCUUAGCUUCUGGGGAGGCCUCAAGGAGCUUUUACUCAUGGUAGAAGGCAAAGUGGAAGCAGGCACGUCACAUAGCAAAAGCAGGAGCAAGAGGGGUGGGGUGAGGUGUCACACACUUUUAAAUGAACAGAUCUCAUGGGAACUCACUCACUAUUGUGAGGAUAGCACCAAGCCUUUGGGGAUCCACUCCCAUGAUCCAAUCACCACCCACCAGGCCCCACCUCCAUCAUGGGGAUUAUAUUUCAACAUGAGACUUGGGUAAUGGUAUGGUUUGGCUGUGUCCCCCUCCAAAUUUCAACUUGAAUUGUAUCUCUCAGAAUUCCCAAGUACUGUGGGACGGAUCCAGGAGGAGGUAAUUGAAUCAUGGGGGCCAGUCUUUCCCAUGCUAUUCUUGUUAUAGUUAAUAAGUCUCAUGAGAUCUGAUUGGUUUAUCAGGAGUUUCAGCUUUUGCUCCUUCUCAUUUUCUCUUGCCACUGCUAUAUAAGAAGUGCUUUUCACCUCCUGCUAUAAUUCUGCGGCCUCCCUAGACAUGUGGAACUGUAGGUUCAAUUAAACCUCUUUUUCUUCCUAGUCUCAGGUGUGUCUUUAUUAGCAGCAUGAAAACAGGCUAAUACAGGUGGGGACAAAUACUCAAACUAUAUCGUCCUGCUUCUGGUCCUAAAUCUCAUGUCCUUCUGGUCCUAAAUCUCAUGUCCUUCUCUAAUUGCAAAAUACAAUUAUACCUUCCCAAUAGUUCUCCAGAGUCUUAACUAAUUCCAGCAUCAACUCAAAAGUCCCAAGUCCAGGUUCAAAGUCUCAUCUGAGACUCAUUUGCUUCCACCUAUGAGCCUGAGAAAUCAGAACAAGUUAUUUGCUUCCAAGAUACAAUGGGGGUACAGGCAUUGGGUUAUCAUUCCUGCUCCAAAAGGGAGAAAUCAGCCAAAAGAGAGGGGCUACAGGCCUCAAGCAACUCUGAAACCCAGGAGCACACCCGUUAAAUUGUAAAGCUCCAAAAUAAUCUCUUUUGACACCAUGUCCCAUGUCCCAUGUCCAGGGCACACUAACACAAGGGGUGGGAGCUACAAAAGUGGAGCUCAUGGAGAUAGAGAGUAGAAUGAUGGUUAUCAGAAUCUGGGAUGAGAAGAGGAGGAGGAUGAAGGGAAGUUUGUUAAUGGCUACAAAAAUACAGUUGGGCAGAAGGAAUGAGUUAUAAAAAUCAAUAGAGUAGUAGGGAAAUUAUAGCUAUUAAUAAUUUAUUGUAUAUUUCGAAAAAGCUAGAAGAGAAGAAUUAAAAUGUUCCAAACACAAAGAAAAGAUAAAUAUUUGAGGUAAUGGAUGUCCCAAUUACCCUGAUUUGAUCAUUACACAUUGUAUACAUCUAUCAAAAUACCAUAUGUACCCUCAAAAUGUGUACAAGUAUGAUAUAUCAAUUUUUAAAAAAGAAACCAUUAUCUACGGUCAUAAAGAUUUGCUGCUAUGUUUUCUUCUGAGGGUUUUAUAGUUUUUGCUCUUACAUUUCAGUGUCUGAUCCAUUUUGAGUUAAUUUUUGUGUAUGGUGUGAGAUAGGGAUCAAACUUUAUUCUUUUGCAUGAGGAUAUCCAGUUAGCACCAUUUAUAGAAAAGAAUGCUUUUUCCACAUGGAAUUGACUUAAUAUAUGAAAUUUUGAUUAUGUAAUCACUUUUAAGUUUCAAAAAUUCUGUUUUCCUUUCAGAAUAUUCCUAUUUGGUAGUAUCCUGUUUUUGUUUUUCUCUUAUUUUCUCUGAGGGUAUUCUCUGAGGGUAUUUUAAUAUGACUCUCUGCAGAAAAUUUUUUUCCCUUUUAAAAAUCUCCCUCCUCUACUCUCUUUUUGGUCACAUCUCCCAUGGUACCAUAUUUCUUCAGCUAUCUGGUAAUCCUUGGUUGCUGGUUCUUGAUUAAUAUUGGUGUCCUAUUUGGGGGGCUUGUGAGUAUUGAGCUCAAUUGUAGGGUGAUUUGAGUGGGCUUUUUUUUGGUGAAAUGCUGAUGCCAGUAUAUGUAAGUCUUUUUUCUUGGGUUGGUCAAGUUCUGCAGUGAAUAUUCCUCCAUUCUCUUUCCAGGAGGGUAAAGGUCUGGCUGCCAGUAUUCUGGAAGCUUUGUGGGGGAAGAAGUUAGGGGCCUCAUUAUUCCAUCUCUAGUAUGAUUGUUGUUACUUAAGUCUCCUGUAUCAGGUCUGGUACCACACAUUCAACUAUGCCCAGUCAGUCCCCAGUCCAAGGACUUUAUCUGUUACCCUCUUCCAGAGAAUAAAUUCCCAGUUUCCUUUCUGAGAGGUGAUGGGUCAAUUUCCCAGCAACAGGAAUGGGGAGGAGAUCUAGGGUUCUAACUAUUUAUAAGCAACUUAUAUAAAAAUAUUUUUACAAGUGUAAAACUAUGCACAGUUUCACACAUAUAGUAACCUUGCAUAUAUACUUCUGCUCUUGGUGCAAUGUAACCUUGCACAUAUAGUUUUGCACUUCUACAAAUAACAUUGCAAUAUUAUUUAUAAUUCAAGUACAUUGGACAGUAUCUAGAUUACUAGCAAUAAGACAUAUACACACUCCAUACAAUAAGAUAUAGUAUAAAGAUUAGGUAGAAUGUAUGUUAAUAUGGAAAAAUGUUCAUAAAAUAUUGCUAAUAUAAAACAAUUGGAAUAACAUGCUCCAAUUUAUGUAAAAAUAUAAAUAUGUACAAAUAUUCAUAUUAUUUGCAUGCAUAGAGAUGAGUCUGGAAUAAUAUAUACCAAUAUGUUAAUGAUAGUUGACUGUAUGCCAGAAUUAGAGGUGAGUAUGGUUUUUUCCCCUUUAUUUUUAGCUGUAUUUCAUGCUAUUUUACAAGACAGAUCAGUUACUGACAAAGAAAUGAUACUUUUAUAAAGUGCAAUUCUCAGUUCACAGGUGUGAGCUCCUUUCUUAAGCAGGAACUAUCAUUUUUGAACUCGUGUAUUGUAAGUAAACAGCACAGAGCCUGUACCUAAGUACUCAGAAAACGUAUGUAUAAGGAAUUCAUUCCAUUUGCUUUCUUCCAUGUUAAUGAUUUCUCCUACAUUCAGUGAAAUCUACUUUACCUUGAUGUUCCUGUUUUCUUUUGUCUUCAUCAGUGUGAAUGCUAAGGGAAUGUGUGAAUGUAAUUUGUUAAAGUGGUCUGAUGAAACUUCUGACAAAAUUGAUAUAAGAUUGUUUUCAAAAGAUUUAACAAUAUCUUAAACUUAUAAAUAACACUGUUGAAAUGACUUUUGACUUAAAAUUGAAAAGCUAUCAACUCUGAGUUACUGUUUAGGGGGCCAUCUGAAGAAGUUGCUGCAUCCUAGCCCACAAAAGAAGAAAUGAUAAAAUCAUUUUACAUUGUCCAUUGGCAGACAUACAGAGUGGAGGCAGGAAGACAGGAUUGCUUGCUGAUUUUGAAAAGUGUUCUGAACAUUUGAUUUGGGGUUCUGUCUCAUAGGAAUCACUGGAGGAAACGGUGGGAGUUGUGUUUGAUAAAUCACUUAAAAAAUAAAUUCUGUUGUGUAUAUUUAAGGUAUACAACAUGAUUUUAUAAGAUACAUGGAUAGUAAAAAAAUGUAUAGCGUGUUCACAGAUUUGCAUGUCAUUCUUGCACAUGGACAUGCUGAUCUUCUCUGUAUUGUUCCAAUUUUAGAAUAUGUGUUGCCAAAGCAAGCACUAAAUCAUUUUUACUUAUUUAUUCUCCUACUAACUAGUAGGAAAGAAGACUUGAUAGGGAGAACCAAGGAAGAGGAGGAGAAGAACUCUGCUCACAUCCUUCAUUGGCUCAGCACUCGAGCUGCUCUUUAAUAGGCCUCAGGCUGCCCUUGAAACCCUAGGAUGAGAAGUACUUUGCUUUGCCAGAUUAUCCUGUGUAUCAGUCAGGGUCCAGCCAGAAAAAUAAGGCACUCUAGGUCUUUCAGCAAAUGAAAUUUAGUCCAGGAAAUAGAUUUCACAGAUGAUGGAGAGGGAGUUUAGGGACCAGAGAGAGGGCUUUUGGAUGGGAACCAGAACUGUGGAAGUAAAGAUAACCUGGAAGGAGGUGCAGCUUCUGGAGACAUCAAAGGAGAGAGAGAGAGAAGGGAGAAAAUUCAUUUGUCAUGCCCUUCCUUGUGCCCUUCAUCUUCUAGCUGUGCCUCCAAUAUGCUGAAGCCAGAGGGCGAAAGAGCCUGGAAGAGUCGUUCCCUGAGAUGGAGAGCAGAGCAGGGCAAGGCAGGGAAGAGCACAGACUGGCAGGGACAGGCGCAUUGAGUACAUUUUAUAAAGUUGAGAUUGUAUGAAUUAACUUACUGCCCCUGCACCUCUGACAUGUUUUUACAUGCCCACAUGCACUGAGGCAUUUUCAGUGUGCAUGUGUACCUGUGUUUGUGUAUGCGUAUCUCUGAGAUCUUGGUUGGGCUAAUGUCCUACUUAUGAGAAAAGUGCAAGUGCUCAUUCUAAGAUUGUAUGCAAAAUGACAGCGAACACUCCUGUUUUCAAGUGGCACUUAGCAUUUACAUAAUGCUGAAACAUCUGGUCUUUCCCAUCAACCCAGGCAUGAAGUUAGUCCAGUUGAUUGCUUGGCAUUAUGUACAGACAACAGCUGGCUGGUUAACUGGAGUUUUGAUUACGGCUGAAUUGGCUGGAUGUUUGGUGUCACAUAGACUGAAGUUAUGACUGGGUAACGAUGGAGUAGAGCCAGUUACAGGGAAGAUCAAUGACAAAUUUGUGAAAUCAAACUUUUGUAUGGAAUUUCACUGGAAAAGAUAAUUAUUUAUUUCCAAGACUGAGUUUCAGAAACUCACUGGAAUUUCACUGGAAAAGAUAAUUAUUUGUUUCCAAGACAGUUUCAGAAACACUGAGACCUGGCUGAGUUUAUCUCUGGUGACUUUUCAUUCCCAUUUCACCUCCUUUCACCCAAGUGUCCCCUGCCCUUGUACCCAUAUCCUCAGGUGCCCUUGGCCAUUCACCCUUAAGGCACCUGGCUCCUGGGCUUAUCACCCUGGGAACGACCUCCAGAUUCUGAAUUUUUUAACCUUUAUGUCUCUUUCCCCUUUGUCCCUUUCAUCAAAUCACAUUUGUCCUGUCAUUCAGAGAUCUGCUAUCUGUUGCAGGAUCAACUGAUCUCAGAAUCUAAUUUUCAUGAAGAUGUUUGUAGAUGAUACUGUGCUAAUAUUUAUCUUUUCAUCUUUCCAUAUGUGGAAGUGGUCUCAACUGAGACUGAAAUUCAGGCAUACUUGGCACAUUUUUAUCUUGUGCUUGCCAGAAGCAUGUUUGCACAAACACUGAGGAAUGUCCUGGGAGAAGAAGGAGCCAGGUUGGAUAAGCUCUCAGCAUAGGGCCUUGCCUGUCAGGGGGUGCUGAGCCAGCAUGUGCCAUGGUUUCAGGCACCUAGAGCUGUCUCCCUGCCCUAAUGGAACAUAUCUGAGUUUUGCGGAGAGCAGAGGAACUCUAAAAUUUUAAGGGAGGUUAGGGGUGAGAAGAGAGAGAGAUAGAGAACUGUGUAAAGUACUGGGACCUAAGUGACCAUGCUUGAGAAUCUCUCCAAAGCAAAAUGGAAGUAAGAUUUCUUUCUUGUGACAAAUCUUUCUUGCAUAGAUUUGAUUUCUGGAGAGCCCUAUGAGGAACUGGGGUACUUGCAGGAAUGAUGGCUAAGCCAAGCUGAGGUCAUCACAGGAGCCAGCAGGAAUGGGAUUAUUUAGCAGCCUGUUUCAGACUCAGAAAUAUUGGAAAAAAGUUUUUGAAGGGAUCAGGGUGAGUAGUGGGGUGGGAAAGGCUGAAGGCCUGAAGGCCUGUCAAACACAAAUGGUUAUACCGACUAUAAACAUUUAAAUUAUUCCAUUAAAUAAAACUUCAUUUUAACCCACAUUUUUAAGGUCUAAGGAAAUUCAGAUGGUACCUGUAACAUAUUUGCCUUUUACCAGAACCUUUGAAUGUUUUGCAUCCAAUGCAUGAUUGAUGGUGGCAAUUUCAGAUCAUCCAAUGGUAAAUUGGCGAAGGAAAAAUACUUUUAGGCAAUCAUUUAAGUAUUCUUCAAAUAAUACUUCAUAAAUUUGCUUCUUAGCCCCCUGGUUUUAUUUGUUAGCUUAAGACAUGAGGACUUGAAAUGUCACUAUAUGAUUAUUGACAGAGACUUGGCUGCUACUGGGGAGAGGAGUGUGAAAUCCAAACAUAUUUUUAAAAUCUGAGUAGAUCUUUAUUAGCUUAUAACUAGCAAUAUUACAAUGGAAGUUAUUUUAGUUUAUACAGAUAAUUAAGGUAAAACUUCAGUUUUAAUGAUAGGUUUGCUGAUUGGUUUUACUAUAUUAAUUCAUUUAACAGACAUUUGCUUGGUGCCUAUUAUGUAUUAAACACUUUGCUGGGCUCAGGGUAAACUUUGGUGAAUUCAGCAGAUUUAAAAUCUAAUAUAGCUAAAUCAGGCUUAACUUCCUUUGUUUUCUAGCUGAGAUACCAACUGAAAAGAUUAAUGUAUCAAAACAACAAAUUUUCCCUAAGAAAGAUUAUGCUUUAUAUCAUCAGAAAGUAUGUUCCCUGUCCCAAAAUCUGGACAUAUGAAUAUACAUCAAUGUGUGUGUGUGUGUGUGUGUGUGUGUGUGUGUGCGUGUGCGUGCGCGUAUAGUAUAACUUGUGUUCAUAUCACCAGAACCUUAUAUGGCUAAAGAAAAAUUACAGAAAUUUAAACAUCAAACAUAUAAGUUUCAUCUGUAGAAAAAAAAUCCAGAUUUUAUUUAAACCACCAAAAUUGCAGUCAGCUGCUGAGAGAAAAAUAAAGGCAAAGAUCCUGUUUACAAGGCACCUAGAGUUCAGCCAUCAGAUGGUUUUGGUUAAGAUGUAGUUUCUCUUCAUGCUGAUGUUUCUAUAAGACAUUUUUGUGAGUCAGUCAUCACCCAACUUCCUAGUGUCUUUCUUUCCCUUGUAUGUGUGUGUGUGUGUUUUUUUUUACAAUACCUUUAUAGCGUUGCUUUUAAUUUUUGACAACGUUUACUGAAAACUUACUCCUUUGCAGCUUUUAUGUGAUUUGUAGAAUUGCAUUCUGUAGUAGGCAAAAUUCUGAUGUGUGUGUGUGUGUGUGUGUGUGUGUGUGUGUGUGUGUGUGGUGGGGGUAGCGGGGGUUCCUGUUGUUUCUUUGUGGCUCUUUCUGUCCAUUUUUAACUUCUGCUGGCAAGAUGCUGGUAUUAAAUCUUUACCCCACUAAGUUAUUAAGUAUUUAAGCUUAUAAUAGACUUGUCCUCUUUACCUUGUCUAUGCGUUCCUGGAAAGAGAGUACAUUAGAAGGUUUACUGGUUGUGACUACCCCACCAUGCCUAGAAUAACUAGGUGAUAAGCCAUCUCAUGCCAAGCUAAUAUUCUGCCCUAUGGGAAGUUUGCUAUAGGUAGUAGGGUGUGCCCCACUACACCAAAGGUGAGGGAGUUAAGCUGUCUGUUUGCAAGAGGGUCAUAGCUUUCCCAUAUACGUGUGCCAGGAUUUGCUGACAGGGAAUCUGUCUUGAUGAGCUGCACUGCAUUCUCAAUGCCUCCAGUGCUAAAGCAUUCAAUGAAAAUAUUUUUGAUUGACUUCUCCCACUGUGGCAGUUUUUGAUUCUGCAGUGGGUUUGGAUUUAAAACUAUUGUGCUUAUUGUCUGAUAAUGGGAACCCCCUAGCUGCUCAUUGCCUUAAAAGGAACCCAGUAGACACACCUGUGAAUUAUGUUUCGCACAUUUUCUACCAACUGGUAAAGCCACUUAAAAUACUUAGAUUCAUUUGUUUUAGAUGUAGGAAAAAAAUCUCUCUGUGUGACUACAAUUGCAUGUCUACUAUAUGUGUAUUUGUUUUUAACCAUUCUUUCUGAAAUGGAAACUGAUCAUUCUGGGUCAUCGCUGAAGAAGUACUUACCCCCUUUUCAGCUGGAAAAAAUAUGUACCUGAAUUAUGGGAGAAUACAAGGAACCUUCAGUUCACCAUUUGUCUUGGCUCCUUUCCUUUGGUAGAGAGGUAGGGGAGAAAGGAAGAAAAAACACACACACACACCAAAACCUCAUGGACUAUUCCCUUAACUUCUUUCCCUGGAGUCAUUGACUACUAACUGAAAUAAACCUAUCUAUUCAUUAAAGAAAAUUAUAUUUGCCUAUUUAAAAAGGCCUAUUUUUCUGUAUCUCUUAUUUUUCUUUAAUUCUGAAGAGUAUUGAAUGGAAAAUAUGCAUUUUCUUUUUUUUUUACAUAGUUUGUGAACAAUUUAAAGAAAACUGUGUAAAACGUCAUUAUGCUUUAGCUUGUGACUUUGUACAGAUCUGAGUGUUGUGUGUUCUUCAUGAUGUAUUGUGUAAAUGAUUAGCUACAAUCACAACCUACUCUUUUGGCUCUGACAGCAGAUAUUUUUGUUAGAUUUGAAUUAGGCAACAAAUAGAAUGCUAACUCUUAACAAGUAUUUUUGCUAUAAGUGCUUUUUUUUUUUUUUUUUGAGACGAAGUCUUGUUCUUGUCACCCAGGCUGGAGUACAAUGGCACAAUCUCGGCUCACUGCAACCUCCACCUCCCAGGUUCAAGUGAUUCUUCUGCCUCAGCCUCCCGAGUAACUGGGAUUACAGGCACCUGCCACCAUGCCCAGCUAAUUUUUGUAUUUUUAGUAGAGACGCCAUUUCACCAUGUUGGCCAGGCUGGUCUCAAACUCCUGACCUCCAGGUGAUCCGCCCGCCUCGGCCUCCCAAAGUUCUGGGAUUACAGGCGUGAGCCACCAUGCUUGGCCGCUAUAAGUGUUUUCUAAUAUUUGUAAUAAGACAUUUUAUUUAUAUAACACUUUAUAAAACUUCAUUGUCUUCUUUGAAUCUCAGCUCCCUAAAACAGGUGCCAUUGUCUCCAAAUUGGGAGCCAGAAAGUAUUCAUGACUUGUUUGAGGUCACAAGUUAGGUUAGUGACAGAGCCAGAACCCAAAUUGAAAUUCUUUCUACAAAGGCUGGACACCUUGACCAAGUAUAUCAGUUUAGCUAGAGCUUUGGCAUAGCUAGAGCUUGUCUGUUGUUCAAAAUGCAGUUUUUCUCUCUUCUCUGCUUCUAUAUGAAGACAACAGUCUUAUCUAUCUUGUUCACAAUUUCAGCCCUAGCAGCUUGCACAGAACUUUGAAUGGAAUAGUUAAUACAUAUAUGUGAAUACAUAUAUGUGAAUGAAUGAAGUACAGAAGAUGCUGAGGGUUUGCUUUGAAUAACAAUGCAGUAUGCCUCCCAUCCCCUUUCUGCAUGCUUCUCUUAUUAUGCUAGAAACAAUAUUUGAAGUUUGAAAUAAUGGAGUUAGACACUGCCUUAUUAUUUAAGGAUUUGAUAUGGUAGUCAGGCAAAAAUAAUUUCAUUUAAAUUCCCUAUUUCUUGACUUACUCUGCUAUCUUAGAAAAUUAAAUUAAUCUCUCUGCUGGGUCUUGAGAUCCAUCUAGAACUUGGCUAUAACCUGAGAAUGUUUUGUGUUCUGGUUUUUUCUUCACUGUUGGAGUCUGCUUGAGAAGGCUGGAAAUGUAUUUUCAUUCCAUUUUUCAGUAUAACACAUUGUGAGUCCUCACUGAAUUAGAUUCUUCCCCCUGAAAAAGCUACCCCUGGAAAGAUGUUUGGCACUUUUGGAUAUUGCUCUUUUGUGUUUUUUUUUUGGACCCCCAGGGAACCAUUUAGUGAAAAUGAACCAUUAUACUUGAAUUCCCGUUCAGCCACUAGAAGAACCAUUGCCCAUGACUUCCCAUUCACAAAAGCCAUGCUCCAGCAUAAGUUUCUGUCUGAAGCACUUUCUAGUUCCAAUCCCAUGUCUUUGGAAUAUUUCAGGCAUGCAGGAGAUCUUUUCUGGAGGUUUUACUGGAAUGAUUAGUUUGUGCUUGAAACAGGAGAAGCAGCUAAGGAUGAGGCCUACUGGGACUCUAGAUGCCAUGGAGACAAGCAGAUAUUAGUUAUGAUUUCCAUCAUUUUUUUCACUACCUCUCUGAAAGUAGUAGAUAUUGUGAUAAGACCUCUCAAGGAAGGGAGGACAAUUAUCCUCUUUCUCCCCUACCUCACCUUUCCACCCUAUAAAAGUGUGGCAGACUCAAACCAAACUUGUUGGCUGGAAGCCUAAAGGGAUUCCUCCUCAUGUGGCAGGCUGUCGUAGCAUUUUUAUGAUAGCUAGUGUUUCUUUUGGUCUGAAACUCUGGUAUGUGAAAUAUAGGUCAGGGGUUGGAAAUUAAUGCCUGCUUUUCAUGUGAGAAGGAAUAAUUGGCAUGAAAUGUAGUAAAGAAUGCCUGCAAGCCUGGCGGUGUUGGGUCAUUUUUUUUUUUUUUUUUUUGUUAUUGGUUUUGGCUGCUAUUCCCAGAAAAAUAAUGGGCAGGUUCACAUUUCUUAGAACAUAUCUUUAUCAACUCUGACAACUUACUGUGUCUUGGACCCCCAAGAGACAGUCAGCCUGGAAGUCUUUGCUUGUGCCAUUUCUGUGCUGGAUCCUUGGCUGUACACACCAUGACAAAUUAAUACAGAUGGAAUAAUGAAUUUCUCUUAUCCCUGAGACCAGACCUGCUGGGGAAAACAUCUAUAUCCUUUGAGAGAUUUGAAAUUAGUAUAACAAGUUCUAUACAGAGAUGAUCAUGUUGAAUAAAGGUUUUAUUUUACUCUUACAUGUACAGUCAUCACUGGAGUAUGCACAUAUUACAGGGAAGCUUAGUCUACAAAUGGGUUGGGUUCUAACCAUUAAUUUUGGAAUGUUGCAGACAUUUUCCUUUAUGAAGAAUGUUAUAGGUCUAUCUGACUUAAAAAUCAAUAGGGGAGUAAAAGUACAGUGCAUUUUCAAUGAAAAACAAUAGAAAACACAUAGUUUUAAUACUAUUAAUUAGGCAAAACAGAGGAACAACACAAUCGAAGAAGAAAUAGUUUUUGCUUUUCUCAAAUGUGGGUGCUUGCAGUUUGAUUAGGGGCAGAUGAAUCAAUGCCUUUUGGUGUUUUAAAGUGGUUUUGAAAACAUUCAAGGACUUGAAGGGUUGGAGGCCAAUCUUUUUCUAUUAAGUCUGUGACCAUUAUAGUUAAAAAAGCUCAUUAGAAAAAAGAAACCUGAAGCAACUUUUUUUUUUUCUCAUUGUCUCUUUAACACAUUGGGUUGAAUAGCUUUUUUCCCGAUUCUUGGAUGAAAUUUUGAGCAGAUCUCAGAGUUUUAAAAAUUGCUCUCUAUUUUCUGGCAAUUAGUAAUCUUCCAGUUACUUUAAAGCUUUAAGCAGUUCAGUUCAGCAUAAUAAUAGAAACCCAUUGUCCUCUUUAAAUUUUCUCCCAUUUCCCAGCCAGGGCCUGACCAAGAAUUGGAAGCCUGGUGUGUGUGUGGUGUUUGUGUGUAUGCAUGUGUGUGAAUGCAUGUGAAUGUGUGUAUAAAUGCAUGUGUAUGAGAGUGUAUGUAUGUGAAUGUAAAGUGUGUGUGUGUGUGUGUGUGUGUGUGUGUGUGUGUGUGUGUAUGAGACAUGGCAUCUCCUCUUCCAUCACUAACUAUGGCUUCUAGUGCCUUCAGCACUGGAGGGGGAUAAGGGAGAAGAGUUAAGGGGACAUCAAAGAGCUUACUGAUGUGAUUUGGAUUUGCCAUCAUGGAGGCUCAAACCUGACUUUAUCACAGGGGUGUUUUUGGAGUGAUUUUGCCUGUGGGAGCCUCAACUGCAACUAUAAUUACUGUAAGAUAGGUGAUACCUCAUACAGUUUGUUACUUUUGACACUGUCCUCGAUUCCUGGCAGUUUGCUAUGUCUUUCCAGGCAGUCCUUCCAAGAACUCUAGGUUUGUUCCUUCCUGUGUGGCACACAGUUGGUGUGCAGAAAGUUUGAUUCCUGCCUUGUUCUCUGCAUUGCUCCUUCAGGCCGGUCUAGCCACAAUGUCUUAUACCUGCACUAACAUUCUUUUAAAACUCUGGGAGAUAUUUAUCAAACUCUUCAAGUGUCUCCUCCCCUUGAAGUUCCUCUCACUUGGCUUAAAGCAAAGAAGUAGGUUUUCUCCCUUGGGAGAGCCAUGCUGCCAAUAACUCUCUCAACAGGAUUCUUCUCCAGUUCUUCAAACUGUAGAGGUUUUUUUUUUUUCUUUUCUUUUUUUUUUAAUUAGGGUUCAUUGAUGCUGAUAAAAACGGUUUUACAAUCAUCUUAGCAGUUCUGCACAGGGCUCUGUUCUUACCUCACUGUCAUAUGAUAUUUAGGCCUUAGGAGCCUAGAAAAAGCUGAAGUAGAAAUAAUUUUAUUUAUUAUUCUGUCGAAUGUCCAAUUUACUUCAAUACAUGAAGUCUUCUUGGCUUUUGCUGUUGAGUAUUAUUAAUACUGCUCCAAUCAGCCCGAAUUCAGGUUUUUUAUGCUCACAAGUAGCAUUAUGAGAAAAACUAAAAGAAAGGUAUUGGUAAAAAAGACAUUGCUUACUCUGAGAUAAAUCUGACAGUGAUAUAUGACAGGAAGAAAUGCAAAUGGCAAAGAAAUAUUAAAAACAUAGUCUAGCGUGAACUUGAAUGUGGAAAAAUGGUGGUGGGGAAGGGAAGUUUCUACUAGGGGACAAGGUCAAAUGGAGGACAUCUUGGUGCAUAUUUAGGGUAGACACUGAAGGGGAGAAAAGGAGCAGAAAUGGUGUACAAAUGGCACCAUUCAAUUUUCCUAUUACCAACCUGGAAAUUAUCAUUAUUCAUAGAGAAAACUAUUCUUCAAAUUAAUCACUUGAUUCUCCUUGUUCUAAUGCAAUCUCAUAUCCUAUUCUAUACCACUAACCCAUCAUAUGCCCAGGCUUCUGCCAGUGUUACCCAGGUGAAUCAUUUAUUCAGCAAAACAGCUAUUUAGGAGGCACCUGUUAAGUACAAGGGCCUGUGCCUGGUGUGUUGAGGAUAUACUAUGUUAUGGCAUAGCCCACUCUCAAGGAGAUUUCAGUUGAGGUGGGAAUGCAUGAUUGUAUGAAGGAUGACGUAGACUCAUAGGCCUGUUAGCAUUAGAACAUUAUUUCAUGUGCUCCUGUUAUUGUAUAGAUGAGAAAACCGAGAUCUAGAAAGAUUCAGUGGCCUUAGAAUCAACUAGUUAAGGAAUGACAGAACGAGGGCUAGAACUUGGUUCUUUUUACUUUUGCUCACUGCUGCUUCUACAACCUCUUUUAAAAAUACAAUACCUUGAUACAAUCUUACAAAGCUAUGGGCCAUUUGUUCCUAAAAAACAACUGUGUGCUGGAGCCAGCUUUCACCAGCUCUUACCAGCAGAUUGUGAGCACCUUUUCAACUGGCCAUGGUAAAAAAAUUUACACCACAGAAAUGGACAAACACCACAAACCUGAGAUCUUCUUCCUUCCAGGGAGAGCCAGUUAUUAAACAUUUACCAGCAUACCACUGCUUAUACAUAACAAAUGUGAUAAGCUCAGACACUCCUUCAUGAAGUGAUCGUCACAUGAAUGCAUUUUAUGGAGAAAUGAACUUUAAGACAGGGAAAGGGGAAAUGACGGAGUCUAUUUGAGACUGGAAUUAUGGAGUGAACAUAAUUCUGGGAUAUCAAAUAGAGAAAUUUGGCGGGGUGGGGUUACAUAGGACAGGAGUCCCUAAAUCACAUGCCUGCAAAGACCAGGCUGAAAAAAUAAAGGUGUAAAUCAGGGUGGAGUUAUGAAUAUUAGGGCAUGAGGAGUCUGUGGUAAAGUGAAAAGUAAAAGCCUCCCUAAAGGUAUUAAAAAAAAAAACAAAACUUCCUGUAUUCUACCCACUUUGAAUUUACCGUAAAGAACUAACAAGGGUAAGCUUAGACAGCAGUUCACAUCAAAUAGGACCCUGAGAAGGGAUUAUCAUUUUCCUUCUUAAAUGAACAUUAGUUUCCUUGACACAGUGAAGGCAACAUUUAGCAUCCUAAUUUAUUUCUCUUUUCUUUCUUACUUCUUCCAUGUUUUCACUGGGAAAUGUCUGUAAAUUAUUGCUUUUUGUUGUGUGUAAAAAGUCGUUCAACCAGCAUUUUCCUUUGUUAGUGUGGGUUAUUUAUAGUUGAGUUUAUGGUACUAUUCUCAGCUUUAUCAUCCUGUUUCAAGGGUAAUGAUACUCCCAAAGAAAUAAAGACUCAGUUUUGUUUCUAAGGAUGUUCAUUCAUAUCUCUAUGUAUCUGAAAAAAAUGUCACUAUGCAAAAUGGAAAGUUCAUAUAUUUUAAGGAAGGAUCUAGAAACACAUUAUUUAAUUGAUUUUUUCUUUCAAAAUGUCCCCAAGUUAAUUUCAAAUAGCCUUUUAAACAUGUUUCUUUUUUACAUUAAUCUGUAAGGAUAACUCCACAUUGAUCAACAGCCAUUUUUAAAAAAUGAGAAUUGCCUUCUGCAGAGAUAUCUUUAUUCUAACAUGUUAAAUCCACAGGGCUUUAUACAAAAUGAAAAAAAUCAAUAAAACGAAUGAUGUGAUUCCUAGUGAAAAGUUGUUCUGUAUAAACAAAAUACUGUAAUUUUUAUCUGAAAAAGUCCUAAAUUCUUAAAAUUCCCUAAUUAUAAUUGCAACUGCAAGAAGCCUAACAACAAAAAAUAUUGCUCUUUGAAAAUGUUCUGCAAGCCCCUCUAAUGACAAUGACUACCAUUGUGUUUGACAAGGAUCCCACUGAUGUUUGCUGCCAGGGGUACAUGUCUCUAGCCUCAAAGAUGGACUUAACUGAGGCAUCCCCUGGGAUGAGCUGGUCAGAAGAAGAGCAAGGGUGGGAUGGACAUGGAUUUUGGCAUUCAGUCGUCAGAAAAUAAGAGACAAUCUAAUCAUCACAAUCUAUUCUACAACUUUAGCCUCCUUAGCACAGAUGGACUAACUGGCAGAGCGUAUUAGAGGGGUUUUUGGGAUGGCCUGCUUGCCCCUGUAACUCUGCUAGAGAUAUAAAUGAAAAAAAAGUAGAUGCUUAAUAAUUGUUUGCUGAAGGAGUCAGGAACUGAGAGGUCAAGUAUUGCAAGUUCUCUCACAAUUUUCAGUCUACUUCAGCCUAGAAUCUGGGCCUCAGCCCGUAGCCACAGGUUUCUCUCUGGCUCUCUGCUGCAGAGGAGGAUGGCACCCAACCAAUUCUGUGCAGAAAGCCAGGAGAGUGCAGAAAAUGUCAUGCUCAUGAGCAAAGUUCUGGGUACAAAGGACUUGUGGAGUCUGGAAAUACCUGAAUUUUCCUUGGAGAGGAAAGAUUAGGCCUGAGAAGUUGUUCAAAAUUGGACCCCUCCUUCCAAAGUGUGUCUGAAAAGUGUGUUUGGGAUAGGCUUGUUAUGUAUGGCCUUUAUCAUGUUGAUGUAUGUUACUUCUAAUCCAGUUUGUUGAGAGUUUUUAUCAUGAAGGGGUGCUGAAUUUUAUUGAAUGCUUUUUCAGCAUCUGUUGAAAUUAUCAUAUGGAUUUUGUCCUUGAUUCUGUUGAUCAUAUAUCAUGUUUAUUGAUUUGCAUGUAUUGAACCAUUACUGCAUGGAUGUGCUUUGAGAAGUGCUGCAUGUUCAACAAUAGCCAGUCAGAUUAAAAGGUGCGCCUAUAGGCCCAGAGCUGCCCAUGUGCCAUGGGAGAAGGACCAAUAGCACUAUGAGCUUCCUGCUAGGGCACACCAAAAUGAAAGUGUUUGGUGUGAGAUGUGUACCACAUCCUCCAAGCCAAAAUUCUGGCUUUCUUCUGGGCUGCCAGCUUUUUCAUUUCACAAAAAUUUCAGCCUUUCACUUCCCUUGCUCAGAUUCUUUUUACCCUGGGAUUUACCCUGAGAUUUUUUAUCCUGUAAAAAAACUACCCUGUAAUUUUUUUUACCCUGAAAUAUUACUCUGUAAUAUUUUUACCCUGGGAUUUACCCUGUCACAAUCCAUAACUUGGUUUUAGCUCCUGUUCUUCUGGUUUCAUUUAGUCCUCAGUGCCCUGAAGCACGUGCCAUCAGUGUCCCCUUUCUCCCUUUCUGUCAUCAUCCAGUGGGCUUUUCCCUGACUUCCAACUCCCAGUAUUUUCAUCUCAGUAUCUCAUUUCUUUUUCAGCAGAAGCACAGAAAACAGCUUUGCCUAUGAUCCAUGAUCAGUGAGCCAGAAGUGCCUGGGAAUUAACAAACCCUGGGAGCAGCUUUCAACAAUGACCUCAGGACAACUCCUGAGAUAUAAAUACCCCAGCUCCCCUGCCUCUUGGAUGCAGUAAUUUGAAGGGGUAUGUUCCCUGGCUCUCAGAGUUUCCUCAGUGAGAUUAAACUCAAGUUGCAUACAAUACUAGUGGGACUGGUAAAGCACCCUUUUUCUUUUUUUGUAUUCCUUCCCUUCUUCUUUACCCUUACACCCAGCAUUUCCUAAAAUUGCUAUUUGCACUCAAAUCCUUGUCUCAGGGUGCUCUGGAACAAUACAAACUCCAGCACAUGUCUAACAUUAGGGGCUCUACCUCUACUCCCUUGCCAUUUCUGUCUUUUUAAAAAACCUCUUGCUGAAUCAUCUAGAUUCUAUUUCUACAAAAGGAUGGGCAAUGGUUUAGAGAUAAAAAAGGAAAUUAUAUAAAUGUCCAAAUAAUUUAUACUUAUGCUAGAUAUUCGGUGCUUUUAAUCAUUAGAAACCAAGGUUGUUGGCUUAGCACAUCAAGUGAAAGAAUUCAGUGAAACCAGGUAGAAAAGGGUACCAAUAUUUUUUUAGGAAUGGUAAUAGCUAAUCAUUUAUUGAACACUAGUGACAAUGUUUAAACUAUGUGUGUGUUACUUAAGUUUAUCUCUAUGUUUAAACUAUGUGUGUGUUACUUAAGUUUAUCUCUACAAUAUUAUUAUAUCUCUAUAAUAUUAUAUAGAUAUAUAUGUAAUAUAAUUAUUAUAUCUCUAUAAUAAACCUAAGAGGUAGAUAUACUUAUUCCAUUUUUACUGAUGAUGAAUAUGAAUGGACCAAAGUAAUUUGCCUUAAAUCAGUCAGCUCAUAAUGGUCAAAAUCCACAUUUAAAGAUCUUACUCAUGUCAAAGUCCAUUCUCUUAAUUAGUCUACAGUCUUCCUUAUAAGUUUUCUUUGAAGUAGAUGGGAGAUAUAUAAUCAGUCCUACUUACUGAUUCUGAAAUGCAAUUGAUCAAAUCAUCAUUCUGAAGGUGUAAGAUUACAGCUUUUCUUUAAAAGGGAUUGAGCUGGCUAUAAAUUGCAGUAUAAAUUCAGAUUUAUUCUGUUUCACCGUUUAAUUCUUGGAAAAGACUACUCAUAAAAAUUCUCUAAUGGCAUUAUUGGUAUUAUGCAUUAAGAGCUAGAAAAAUAGGUCAACAUUUUAGACGUAUUUCUGGUGGCGCAUUUUGCUAUUAGUCUACAAGGAUUAUAGCAGAUCACUAUCUUUAAAUGACAUUGCAACUUGAGGCUCAAAUUCGAUGAUCCUGGGAAAGUUGAAAUUUAGUGCCCUGUUUUGAGGUUAAACUAUGGCUGCAAGUAAUUUCUAGAAAACUGACAUCCUGAUAGACUUGAAAAAUAAAAAAAAAAGAAAGAGGAAACAAAUUAAAAUUGUUCUAUCAGGCUUUGCCAGGGUCUAGAAAUCCUAAUUUAUAAUGAAAUUGGAGGUGAGCUAAGAUAGCAAUAGAAUGAGAAGUUAGGAAAGGGAAGAAAUUGACCAGGAACAGUGAAUAUACUGCUUACAUUAUCUUACAUCAGAAUUCAGGAGUCUCCAACAUUCAUUAACUAAAUUCUCUCUUUUGUGUUUACUCUGAUAGUUUUGUAGUUGUGAUAAUAUUAUAGAUAUAGUCUAGUUGUUGACAUUUGGAGGUAAGAGUAUCUCCAACCUGGGUCAGGUAGCAGUUUAGUAAAGUAUUUUCUCUUCAUUAAGACGAGAGGUGUUACCAAAUGGAAUAAGUAUUUGACUUUUCUGUGUGACCACAUGAUAUAGGUGUUAAAUAGGUUUGUCUUCAGAUGCAAACAUCAGAAAACCUGACUAAAAUCCCUCAGGAUUGAUGGGGUUUACUUUUUCUAAAUAGUGCUAAGUCUGAAGGUAGGUGGCUCUGAGCAUUUAGGGGUUUAGACAUGUGAACUCUCCUUCCUGGUUGCAAGUAGCAAUCCUGGCUUAAUCAAGUUUAUACUCAAGGCAGAAAGAAGAGAGAAUGGAUGACAAAAGCUUCCCCAGAACCCACAUGUGGAGUUUUCCUAUGUCUCAUUAGCCAGAACUGGGUUAUGUUGGCAAGCCCUUGCUGAAGCAGAGACCAGGAAGGUGAAGAUUUAGUUUUUCUGCUCAUACUGUGGAAGGUGAAAGGAAUGGAGGUUAGGGAGGGUAUAGAAUUAGCAAGCCAAGAGUUCCUAUGUAAUGCCAACGUGUAAGUAGGAUCUAUAAAUAUUAAAUCUAAGAAAACAAACUUUAGUAGAACAUACCAAGAAGGACUAACUAAUCAUCACGGCUGCCCAGAACUGCAAUGGGCUCCCCAGUAGGUAAUUCAUUCCCUAUCAGAGCAUAUGUUUAAACACUGGGUGAAUGAGCAUUUGACCGAUUUACUGUGGAGAAGAUUUAAACAUUAGAUAGAUAAGUGGUUGAACUUUAUGUCUUCAAAGUUGUCUUCAAAUCCUCAGGAUUUUAUGAUACUCUGUAAGCAUUCCAAUUGCUUGCAAUUUGAAAAUUGUUUUUUCUUUGUGGUUCGCUUUUCUGUCAUGGCCACUGGCACAAAUCUGCUUUACUUUUAUCUUAACAUUAAUAUCCAACAGUGAGAUAUCUAGUCUCUACAAAGAAAAUGUAUUUAUCUCUGACUGUGUUCUUAUCUUAAAUAAAAACCUUUUACCUCCUUCCAGAAAUAUUGACAGAAUAGAUGCUGAAAGAAUUUUUUUCUAAUGGAUAUGGUUUUUAAUUUGAUGCAUUUUAAACUUUCAAAGGCUUCGUUAAAGCUCACACACAUUGUCUUUUAGAUGCCCAGUAGGAUGUACAUUUCUGUAGCAAUCUCGAAGCACUUCCCCUAUUUUUGUACAAACUUAUGAGAUAAUCCCUAUUUGGAUUUGAGUCUAUGUUCAUGAAAGUCAGAAGUUGUUUAAAGAGAAAAAUCAUGUAAGUAGUGAGUUGAAAUUUUGAACUGGGUAAUACUGAAAGUUUUGAAUUUUUGCCAAAUACAGGCCAAACUAAAAUGUACCCUAAUCCCAGUACUUUAUGUGAAAUAAGAUUGAUUUCUGCUUUGUAUGAGAAAAAGCUAAACCAAAGAUGUUCGAAAAAAUGCUGGAAUUAAUAGUCUACCCAAGAGCAAUGAAUUAUAUUUGCCAAUCCCUGGAAUCAAAUGAGUAUUUAAAAUAUACCUGUAAGUCUCAAGACAGAAAACUUUUAUUAUUAUUAUUUUCCUUUUCACAAAUAGUAUCAGGAAAGACUAAUUAAACAAGGAUGUGGAGAAUACAGAACUAACUUAAAAAGAAAAAUCCCCAACUUUGAUUUUUUAAAAAUAAUCCAAAUUGAAUAAAAGUUGAGAUAUGUUCUUCUCUGGUCAGGCAUUAUUAAAAUAAUUGAUAGCACUCGGUGAUGGUAAGGAUAUAGGAAAACAGGCCUUGUCAUUUAUUUCUGGUGGAAAUGUAAAUUGACUCAAGUGAUUUGGAAGGUAAUUUUUAAAGUAUCUGUAAAAAGCCCUAAAAAUGUAAUGAUCAUUGACUCAGAAAUUUCACCUUUAGCAAUUUAUCCUCAGGAAAUUCUUACAUGAGUUCCAAAAUAUAACCAAAUAAUAUUGCUGUGGUAUUAUUUGUAAUAGUGAAAAAUUGCAUAUAACCUAAAUAAAUCAUCACUGAUACAGUGGUGGUUGAGAAAACUAUGGGACAUUUGUAGAGUGGCAAAUUAUGUGGAUUUAAAAAUAUAAUAAAGCCUGAAGAUGAAAAUAUCUAUAAUAUAUUGAAAAAAGAAAAAUGUAGAAUAUUAUGUAUAGCCCAAUCUCACUUUGAUUUUAAAAAUUGUAUGACUGUAUCCAUCUUAUAAAAAGUUUUGAAGGAUAUAUCAUUAACUGUUUAAUAGUAGUCACAUUUUGGGGCUGGAGUUCAGCAUGAUUUUACAAAACAAUGUCUUAAAAGUUGAACUCAGCCUGAGCAACAUGGCGAAACCACUUCUCUACAAAAAAUACAAAAAUUGCGCCACUGCAUUCCAGCCUGGGCAACACAGGGAGACCUUGUCUCAAAAGAAAAAAAAAAAGAACUCAAUUUGGGAACCAUCUAUCCAGUAAAGGCUCUGUUAAGUGUAUUUCUUUCAUGUUAGGUAUCUUAAAAGUAUUCAUGUGGUCCUAGGAAUAGCAAGUCUUACAGCCAGGAUGUGUUGAGAAGAAAUUGCCUGAGAAAUUAGUAAAAAAGGCAAUUGGAGAUAAAUUUACUUCUAGUUCUGGUCUUUACACAGGCUAUUUAUAAUUUGGGCCACAUCAACUAAAAUUCAGUGCUUCAGUUUGUCUGUCUUGGAAAAUGGGAAGCUUAAAGAUGAACUGAAACUGAGUAAUUCUAAGUGCAUCUGUAUAUGAAUGUCAAGCAAUAUUUAUUUACCUCUUUGUUUCCUUCUUUGUGAGUUUUUUUUUUAAGAUGGGUAUCUUUAAGAUUAAGUUAUUCUAAGCACACUAUCUCUGCAUUGUUAAAUCCAUGGAAUGGUUUCUUCUUAUUAAAUUUCUUCGUAUUUGAAGCUUGUCUUGGAGAAAAAUAAUUUUCUCCUUUUCUGAAUAUCCUGUCACAACUAUAAGGUACACUUCCUUAGGGAAGGGUAGGAAAAUUAUGCAGAACAAUUUUCCUAAUGCAGCUAUUCUCUUGUUGAGUCUUUAUCAACUCCCUUUCUUGCAUGCUCUCUGUCUUUUUGCAGGUUUCUAUUUCCUUUGCCCAAAUGGGAUCAUCUUGGGAUUGUAGGUCCUUUGGACUCAAUGAUAUUUAAUAAAGGUCUUACUGUAUAUUCCAGAUCAGAAGGACAGUUCUUUUCUAUGGUUAAAUUUUUUUUUUAAUAAUUCUUACUAUUCAAUGCAAUGAAUGGAAUAAAUGGCCAUUGAGGGUUGGUUGGUGAACUGAAUUUUGUUGUUAUUGUUUUUUUACACUUGGCUUUUUCAUCUCUCAUUUUUUCCCUUAGUUUCAUUAUGAGAAUUUUCUCUUUUUUUUUUUGUAUACCACAAUUAUAGUGGUCGCUCAUUUUAAAAAUACCUCUCACAUAUGUAGGUGGUUGGUCAUACACCAUACAUUAUAUUACAUAUAUAAUGAAAGCUGAAUUUAAGAAUAGAUCACAAGUACUAGGAUCAAAUCUGCUUUCCAAAUGUCUUAUAUUCUAUUUCAUGAUGCAGUUUUGAAGAAAGUGCUAUGACAUUUGCCAAACACAUCUAUCAAUGCAUGGAAUAUAAUGCAUCACUUGCUGUCUUUUAUGCUCAGUGAAGCUCCAAGCUGAGGUGGUUGCCUCUAGACAAGAACAGCAUUAGAGCAUUUCUGGUUCAGUAUCAUUUGGCAUGAUACAGAGCCAUUAAUGCAGGUGUCUAAAGGGCUUUGAAAGCACUUGGCAGGUCAGUGCCUUUUAAACAUGAUUAAUAGCCAUUAAUUAGUUUUAUUUAAUUUACUAUUAUAUUAUAGUCAAUUCUAGAGGUAAGAUAAUACACAAAUUUUAAAUAACCCAGUAAGAAAGAAUACAUUAGAAUUAAAUAACCAAGACUAACCCAAGUCAUUAAGAAUAAAAAUCUUCAAAAAACUUCUGAAUAUCUAGAUCAAAGUUGUCCAGUAGAAAUAUAAUGCAAGCCACAUUCAUAAUUUAAAAUUUUCCAGUCACAUUAAAAAUAAAUGGCAUUAAUUUUAAUAAUAUAUUUAAUUUUACUCAAUAUAAUAAAAAUAUUAUCAUCUCAACAUGCAAUCAGUUUUAAAAAUUAGAGAUGUUUUAUAUUCUUUUUUAAUAAUAACUUUUUGAAAUCUGGUGUGUAUUUUAUGCUUACAGCAUCUCUGAAUUCAGAUUAGUCAUAUUUCAAAUGCUUAAUGGCCAUAUGUAGAGGCUACCAUAUUGGACAGUGCAGGUCUAGGUUUUUAAAGUUGAAGCUGGAGCACAAGUUCCUUUUUAUUUUAUCUUAAUGAAAGAAAUAGAAUGGCUAGUAGGUUACAAUUAGAGUAACUAAUAAAUGCUUAAAAUGGCAACCAAGUCUAAGGACAUACAGCAAACCACCACUUAAUCUUAAUAAAGGAAGUGCAAUGGAUCCAUUGCUGAUUCAAUGCCAAGGUGUAAAGAAACAUACAAGCUGCUAGUGACUUCUAUUAUGCAACAAAUAAAACUGUAACCCACAAAUCCAAAGGGAAAAGUAAAACUAAUGAGCUUUGGUUGGAAUGAGACCAAUGGUGGAACCAGUUUGACCACACAAGCAUUUCUUUUAGGCUCUUGGGGAGAUGGAUUUAAGGGCCACACUCUAGGCCUGAGGGCAGAGAGCCAAAGGGCAAAAGUGAGAUCUUCCAAAUAUAAGCUUUUAUAUGUUGCCCAUCUGUUAGUCUCCUAAAGAAGCUUGGUGAACUGACAGGCAGACUGACUGGUAGAUGUAUGGUGUGCUGUUUUAGUAUCAUAUUCCAGUUAAUAGUAGGAAUAGCUUGCAUUUAUGCAGCAUUCAGUCUUUUAAAGAGCACUUCCAUUUAUUCCUUUGCAACUUUUUAAAGCAAGUUUUACAAAUUAUGGCACACUAAGCAAACUAAGGCCCAAAACUUUCAUUUUAACAAAUGAUAUUGAGCAAUUAAUAAGCAAGGAAUUAUGCUCGGCUUCCAGAGAUAAUGGUAAUUGUUACUUGAGAACAUAGAUAUAUAAGAUCUCACAUAUCUAGGUCCCAAAUAUGACCAUUUGAAUCAUUUGGUUUCAAGGUAAUGUGUUCAGGUCUCCUUCAGGCAAAUGCCCAAAUCUUGCUGUGUAGCUAAUCUGUAUACUUCUUUAUCCUGGUGAACUGGAUUUACUAUGCAUAAGCCUCAAGGAAUCCUUUUCUCAGACUGAGGUAGAGCCACCAAAACUCUUUCUUUUUUUCUUUUUAUGGGUUCUUUUUAGCCUUUCCAUCAGCUUUCCAAGGGGAAGAUAAAAGAUAAUUAAGAAUGAGUUGCUUUUGGACUCUUCAUUUUUCCAGCCAAAGCUGUACUUAAUCUUUAAGACUCUUGGACCUAUGUCAGAGCUCUGCUUGCAAGAAGUACACAUAUUCUAUGUAGGUGAUGGUGACAGUGUUUGUGAAAAGAUGGGUACCACCUCAAAUUCUCCCUAGAGGUUAACAUGAGAUAGAACAGAGUAUGUGACUAAAGCAUUCCCAAUCUUGUAUUUUUCUUCCCUUAAAUCAAUUGACUUAACUUUCAGAUCCAAUGAACCAGAGAUGUUGCUACCUCUUUCAAGAGAGAUGAGUGGAGGUUUUUUGUCAGUUUUUUGUAUGUGUGUGUGUGUGUGUGUGUGUGUGUGUGCAUGUGUGUGUGACUUCUGCAGUCCUUGGCAUUGCUUCUAUUUAUCUUGAAAAAAAAUGAUAAGCAUUUUUAUCCAUAUGGCUAUUUGUAAGUGUGCUACUUUUAUUGCCCCCAGAAACCACUAAACUAUAUGACGUAGUUACUUAAAUUGGCAGCAAAUUCAUUCUAAAGCCAUAUUAUAAAAUGGGCAAGAAUUUCACCUUAAUUAUUCUCUCAAAUUGUUCCUAGCUAUUGUUGAACCAAAUGUACAAGCUUGAUCUAUACAGUUAUGUGUCACUUAACAAUGAGGAUAUGUUCUGAGAAAUAUAACCUUAGGUGAUUUCAUUGUUUGAACACUACAGAGUAUACUUCACAAACCUAGAUUAUACAGCCUACUACACACCUAGGCUAUACGGUACAGCCUAUUGCCCCUAGAAUACAAACCUAUAGAGUAUGUUACUGUACUGAACAUUGUAGGCAAUUAUAACAUGGUGGUAAAUAUUUGUAUAUCUAAACACAAUUAAACAUGGAAAAGGUAGAGUACAGUACAAAUAUGGCAUAAAAGAUUUUUUUUAAAAGCACACCUGUACAGUGCACUUACCAUGAAUGAAGCUUGCAGGACUGGAAGUUGCUCUGGGUGUCAGUGAGUGACUGGUAAGUGAAUGUGAAAGCCUAGCACACUACUGUAUAAUACUGUAGACAUUACAAACACUAUACUUAGGCAACACUAAAUUUAUUAAAAAUAUAUUUAUUUCUUUCAUAAUAAAUUAACCUUGGCUUUUUGUAACCUUUUUACUUUAUAAACUUUUUAAUUAUUUUUCGCUUUUUGACUGUUUUGUAAAAACUCUUAGUUUAAAGCAUGAACACAUUGUACAGCUAUACAAAAGUAUUUUCUUUAUAUCCUUAUUCUAUGUUUUUUCUAUUUUAAACAUUUUAUUUUAUUUUAUUUUAUUUUACUUUUAAAGGGUCUUUGUUAAAAAAUAAGACACAAGCACACAAUGAGCCCAGGCCUACACAGGGUCAGGAUCAUCAAUAUCACUGUCUUCCACCUCCACAUUUUAUCCCAUCGGAUGGUCUUCAAGGGCAAUAACAAGCAUGGAGCUGUCAUCUCCUAUGAUAAUAGUGCUUUCUUCUGGAAUAGUUCCUGAAGGACCUGCCUGAGGCUGUUUUACAGUUAACUAUUUUAUAUAAGUAGAAGGAGUACACUGUAAAACAAUGAUUAAAAGUAUAGUGCAGUAAAUACAUAAACUAGUAACACAGUCAUUUAUUAUCAAGUAUAACAUACUAUACAUAAUUGUAUGUGUUAUGCAUGUAUACAACUGGCAACGCAGUACAAUUGUUUACACCAGCAUCACCACAAACACAUGAGUGAUACAUUGUGCUAUGACACUAGAUAGCUAUGACAUCACUAGGCAAUAUGAAUUUUUCAGCUCCAUUUUAAUCUUAGGGAGCCACCAUAGUACAUGAUGUCUGUCCUUCAAAAUGUUUUGAGGUGCAGGACUAUGUAUUUUGUGCUAGACUUAUUACAAGUUUAAACAAAUAGUACAGUAUUAGUAGUAUAAAGGUGCCUGAAAUUUGUUCUAUCAUCUUUUACAUAUGUAUUUAAUAUUACAAGAAUUUGUCAUCUUUUCAGUGAAUUGUUUAUUCUUACAUAAUAUGCGAAAGCCCCUCCUUUGGUAUAAAAAUACUGGAUUUCCCUCUCUGACUCUAAUGGGAAUGAGAUCCUUCUUCUGCGGCCUGACUAGAGUUGCUGGAACAGGUUAUCUCUCUUUGGCUUUUUCUACUUUCCCAAGUUAUUAGAGACAAUCAGGAAUCACUGCAGCAAUCCUGGCCCCCCAAAGACCUUAUUAUCCAAGAAGUUUGUUGUUGAAGGGUAGGAAAUUGAUAUGGUUUGGCUGUGUCCCCACCUAAAUCUCAUCUUGAAAUGUAGCUCCCACAAUUCCCACGUGUUGUGGGAGGGACCAGGUGGGAGGUAAUUGAAUCAUCAGGGUGGGUCUUCCAGGUGCUAUUCUCGUGGUAGUGAAUAAGUCUCACAAGAUCUGAUGGUGUUAUAAUCACCUGCUUCCUCUUUUGCUUGGCUCUCUUUCUCUCUCUCGCCUGCUGUGAUGUAAGACAUACCUUUCACCUUCUGCCAUGAUUGUGAAGCUUCCUCAGCCAUAUGGAACUGUAAGUCCAUUAAACCUCUUUUUCUUUAUAAGUUAUCCAGUCUCAGUUAUGUCUUUAUCAGCAGCAUGAAAACAGACUAAUGCAGAAAUCAAUGGAGAGUUACCUCUAGGGUUAACAAGGUUCUUGGAAGGUCCUUUUGUUUUGGGAGGUCUUCUGUUUUUGUUUUUAUGGUGAGAGAGACUUUACAUGGUUGUGAUCAGAAAGAAAAGUCCACUAAGAAGGAGAUGGUUUUAUCAGCAUUAUCUUCAGUAACCCAGGUGAGAAUGAUGGUGAGGUUGUGAUGAUAGAGAUGUUUCUUGAUCAAAAAUCAAAGUGAUAGCAGAGAAAAAGAAAAAGAUGAUAGAGCUUAUAUCACACUCUCAUAAUCUAUGUCAGGUAAAAGACAUGGUUAUAAUUAAGAGUGGGUUUGAGGCCAGGCACGGUGGCUCAUGCCUGUAAUCCCUGCACUUUGGGAGGCUGAGGCGGGUGGAUCACAAGGUCAGGAGAUAGAGACCAUCCUGGCUAACGUGGUGAAAACCCGUCUCUACUAAAAAUACAAAAAAUUAGCCAGGCAUGGUGGGACACGCCUGUAGUCUCAGCUAUUUGGAAGUCUGAGGCAGGAGAAUUGCUUGAACCUGGGAGGCAGAGGUUGCAGUGAGCCGAGAUUGUGCCACUGCGCUGCAGGCUGGGCAACAGACCAAGACUCCACCUUAAAAAAGAAACAAAACAAAAAAAAAAAAAAAAAAAACAAAAAAAAAACAGUGAGUUUGGAGAAGUAAUUUUGAAACAAAUGGAAAAAAUAGAGAACCUCUCUGUUUUGGAGGAUCGGCAGUGGUUUUGAACUCUGGCAAUCACCUGUGACCUUUUAAAAACACCAGAUGUCAGGACCCCACCUUGGACUAAAUGAAUUUCUGGGAGGUGGGACUAAGGCCUGGUGUUUUUAGAAGCUUCAGAAGUUUCUAAUGUGUAGCCAGGGUUGAGAAUCUACUAGUGUGGUGUUGUCAUGGAAUGUACUGGCAAAAACUGUAAUUACUUUUGCACCAACCUAAAACUAAGGUGGUAGUUUCCCACUCAAGACCAGUUAAAUUAGAAGUUUGGAGUGUGGGGUCAGGAUCAGUGUUUUUCAAAAGCUUUCCAGGUGGUUCCAAUGAGUAUCUCUGAGAAUCACUGCACUGGAGAACCUGGGUGAAAGAAUACAAAAGCAGGAAGGGUGGGAGAUGGAGGGAUUUGCCUCUAAAACUGAGGAUGCUCCUUUAUAUUUUCCAGGAGGUUCUCUUACUUGAUCUCUACUUCCUUGGUGUUGAUGUUUAACCUCUAUUGUGGAUUUCCAUCACAUUCACCCAUAUUUGGACCCAGAACAAAUAUAUCUGCUAUUGUAGCACAUCUAUUGAUGUAAGCAUGCCCCACAUAGUUUCAUUUCCAAGUCUGCCUUAAAACUUCAGACGGCCGGGCACGGUGGCUCACGCCUGUAAUCCCAACACUUUGGGAGGCCGAGGCAGGCGGAUCAUCUGAGGUCAGGAGUUUCAGACCAGCCUGGCCAAUAUGGUGAAAUCGUGUCUCUACUAAAAAUAUGGAACUAGCUGGGUGUGGUGGUGCAUGCCUGUAAUCCCAGUUACUCAGAAGGCUGAGGCAGGAGAAUUGUUUGAACCUGGGGAGGCAGAGGUUGCAGUAAGCUGAGAUUGUGCCAUUGCACUCCAGCCUGGGCGAGAGAGCAAAACUCUGUCUCAAAAAAAACAAAACAAAACAAAACUUCAGACUAAACCAGCCUUUGUUCCCCUUGGUCUCCCACAAACCUGGGAAGGGAGAUUAAACCAUUACUAUCUGUAUCCUAGGUUUUUACGAGUUUAUUCUAUGGACUCACGCUAAAGAAAGAAGCCUCAAUUUACUUUGACUAAGACUUGACCUGAUUCCAAUUUACUCUCAGUGUAAAAGGAGACCAGAACUAUAAAGGGAACCACAGGCACCGUUUGAAUCUGCCUGCUAUGCUAUAUUCCUUAUCUAAGUGAAUGGCAUCGCUAUUCCACCUUAUGCUGAAGUUUAAACCUUCCAGUUUCAUCCUAAGCUUACAAAAGUUGUUGUUAUAAGACAUAGAACAUAGUUACUUAAACUGAAAAUAAAUUCAUUAGUCAUGUGUAAUUUUUAACUCUUUGGAAUUUCUCUUAGAAAACCAUUAUAUCCACUUAAUUCUCCAGUUCUAUUACUUCGUCCACGUCUCAAUUUUUUCAUCCUCUUUUCUCUACCUUGACCAUCACUGACAAAACUCAAGUCACCAUCUCUACUAAUGCAUUAAUUCCCAUACUUAUCUGCCAACCUCUAGUUCCAUUUCAGCUGCCCCUCCCUCCUCCUCCCGCUUAAUCCUUCUUUCUCAUUGCUGCCAAAUUGGCUUAUCUCCAAUGCAAAUGUGAUGAUUUUACUUCCCUAAUCAAAUUCUUUUAAUGUCUUCCAUAGGCUCAAAAGUAACAUCUGGGGGUGGCAUUCAAAGCCAUCAUGAUGUGGUUCCUGUCUACUUUUCCUGUUUUAUUCCUGCUGCUGUCCCUCUUUCCAUUCCAUAGUGUUCUGUUUUUGCCCACGUGGUACCCUGCCCAGUUAGUUCACCUGACACAUUGCUCAUCCUUCAGGUCUUAGCUCCAUAUCUUCUUUCUGAAGCUACCCUUCCUUGCCUAGGCAGCCUGAGGCAUCUCUUUGCUUGAUAAUGCCAUCGUUCUUUAGAACAUUCUUCCACGAAGUCAUUUUCUUCACUCUAAUUGCUAAUCACAUAUGUCUCUAAUCCCAUUAGACUAUAUGCUUCUUGAAGGUGCAGCUUUUAUGUUUGGAUUUGAAUCUUUAGAUAAACUAAUAGUAUAAUUUGAGUCGGCUAAGAGAAAACCAGUGUUGUAACUAAUAGCAGAAUCUUCACAGUCCAUUUAGCACUGAAUUAUAUUAACUCAAAGCUAGUGAGGUCAUUAUAAGUGAUAAAUCCAAUUUCUUAUGACAUAUAUUUUGUAACUAAAGUUUCACUAUUAUACUACCAUUUUUAUUUAACAGUAAAAAAGAUUUUAUUACUGAGUAUAGACAUUUCAAUCUGGAAAAUACUCUCUUGUUGCAGCAUUCUUGGUCUGUAGUCAUGAUCUAUGAUCUAUGGUCAUCUGUUUCAAAAUGCACUUGCUAACAUUCUAAAGCUCCCUGACUUGUUUAUUAAUUCAUUUAUUUAACACAUAUUUAUUCAAUAUGCACUAAAUAUAGAGGACAAUGCUAAGGUUGAAGGACUUAAAGACAUAAAAACAUGGUUUUCCCCUUGUGGAAUUAGAAAGUAUAUAGGCUUUAUUUAUCUAAAUUAAUUCUCAUAACAUCCUGAUAGGCAAUUAUUAUCUCUGUCUUAUAAAUGAGGAUAUUGCAGAACAGUAUUUAUAAUCUCAAAAGUGUCUUAGAAUGCUCAUGUUUGUCAAAUAUAAAAUGUGUAAGCCUCUUGUUUUGGAGAUUUUCUUAUAGUUUACAAUGGUGGGUAUAUUUUUUCCUUUUUUUAAUUACACUUUAAGUUCUGGGAUACAUGCGCAGAACGUGCAGGUUUGUUACGUAGGUAUACACGUACCAUGGUGGUUUGCUGCACCCAUCAACCCCUCAUCUACAUUAGGUAUUUCUCCUAAUGCUAUCCGUCCCCUAGACCCCCACACCCAACAGGCCCUGGUGUGUGAUGUUCCCCUCCCUGUGUCCAUGUGUUCUCAUUGUUCAAUUCCCACUUAUGAGUCAGAACAUGCAGUGCUUGGUUUUCUGUUCCUGUGUUAGUUUGCUGAGAAUGAUGAUUUCCAGCUUCAUCCAUGUCCCUACAAAGGAUAUGAACUCAUCCUUUUUUAUGGCUGUAUAGUAUUCCAUGGUGUAUAUGUGCCACAUUUUCUUAAUCCAGUCUAUCAUUGAUGGACAUUUGAGUCGGUUCCAAGUCUUUGCUAUCGUGAAUAGUGCCACAAUAAACAUACAUGUGCAUGUGUCUUUAGUGUAGAAUUAUUUAUAAUCCUUUGGGUAUAUACCCAGUAAUGGGAUUGCUGGAUCAAAUGGUAUUUCUGGUUCUAGAUCCUUGAGGAAUUACCACACUGUCUUCCACAAUGGUUGAACUAAUUUACACUCCCACCAACAGUGUAAAAGCAUUCCUAUUUCUUCACAUCCUCUCCAGCAUCUGUUGUUCCCUGACUUUUUAAUGAUAGCCAUUCUAACUGGCAUGAGAUGUUAUCUCACUGUGGAUUUGAUUUGCAUUUCUCUAAUGACCAGUGAUGAUGAGCUUUUUUUCAUUAUAUUUGUUGGCUGCAUAAAUGUCUGCUUUUGAGAAGUGUCUGUUCAUAUCCUUUGCCCACUUUUUGAUGGGGUUGUUUUUUAAACUUUAAUGUUCACAUGUCAUCCCAGGAUCUUGUUAAAAUAUAGACCUGAGUCAAUAGGUCUGGGGGGGGAUCUGAGAUUCUGCAUAUCCAAUAAACUCUGAGACACCAUGCAACUGGUCUAUGAACCAUGCUUUAAUAGCAAAGAUUUAGAAAUUGUCAUUUGUAGAAUUCUGUUGCAUUGAACAUUGUUCUCUUAUUCACUGAGUCUUUUAUAUUGAAGAUGGAGUCAGCACUACCUCUAAAAACUUGUUUAAACAUGAGGGCUGAGUGUUGAGUUCUCAGAUCCUUGAUUUUCCUUAGCUCUGAGACCAGUCAAUGUGUUUCCACCAUAAAUCCUCUUUAAUGAUUCUACCCCACAACAAUUGAUUUCUCCUUCCAAAUAUUGCUGUGAUUAUUAAUAGUUACAUUUUCAUACCUGCUAGCUUUGUUUCCUAACCUGGACUGUAAGCCCCUUAAGGCAGGGACCAGAUCUUAUUCAUUCAUUAACCCCCACACUGCUAACAUAAUGCCGUACAUCUGAUACCAGUAUAGGAGCUUUUAUUUACCAAGGAAUCUAGUAUGUGCCUUGGACUGAACUUCAUCUUGUAUAUGCAUUUUCUCAUUUAAUGUUUCACAAAACAUAUGAAGUUCUUACCAUUUUGCAGAUAUACAAAUUGAGACCCAGAUAGUUUGUUAAUUAAAUAAAUUCAUGUAUUCAGUAGUGGCAUGAGAAUUUGAAUGCAGGUUUAAUUCCACAGGCCAUGUUCUUUUCUUUCUGACAAACUACACCAUUUCCCAUUACAGUAGACACUUAAUUAUACUUGAACUGAUGACUAAUUCUAUGAGCUAAUUAUUGUUUGAAGCAGAAUUGAAUUAGAAACUUUAUUUGACUUUGUUUUAUCCUUCUUUUUUAUGGUGAGAACCUCUGUAUUAGGAAUCAACAAGGGGAAUUUCAGGAAAUGACUCUGAUCUAAUUACUGUUAUUUUUCAGUCAGGUGAGAUUCCUAGACUUUGGCAGAUUUCAGGCUGAAAGUGCCAUGAGCUUUAUUAAAUUUUAUGAAAGAUUGGCAGCCCUGACAAGGCCAUUGUCAGUGCUUCUGCCCAGAUUAGUGGCUACAUGGUUGUCCAAUCUUCACCAUCACUUCUUCUUUUUUCUUUUUUUUUUUUAAUUAUGCUUUAAGUUCUAGGGUACAUGUGCACAGCGUGCAGGUUUGUUACAUAUGUAUACAUGUGCCAUGUUGGUGUGCUGCACCCAUUAACUUGUCAUUUAACAUUAGGUAUAUCUCCUAAUGCUAUCCCUCACCCCUCCCCCCACCCCACAACAGGCCCCGGUGUGUGAUGUUCCCCUUCCUGUGUCCAUGUGUUCUCAUUGUUCAAUUCCCACCUAUGAGCGAGAACAUGCGGUGUUUGGUUUUUUGUCCUUGCCAUAGUUUGCUGAGAAUGAUGGUUUCCAGCUUCAUCCAUGUCCCUACAAAGGACAUGAACUCAUCCUUUUUUAUGGCUGCAUAGUAUUCCAUGGUGUAUAUGUGCCACAUUUUCUUAAUCCAGUCUAUCGUUGGACAUUUGGCAUGGUUCCAAGUCUUUGCUAUUGUGAAUAGUGCCACAAUAAACAUACAUGUGCAUGUGUCUUUAUAGCUGCAUGAUUUAUAAUCCUUUGGGUAUAUACCCAGUAAUGGGAUUGCUGGGUCAAAUGGUAUUUCUAGUUCUAGAUCCCUGAGGAAUCGCCACACUGACUUCCACAAUGGUUGAACUAGUUUACAGUCCCACCAACAGUGUAAAAGUGUUCCUAUUUCUCCACAUCCUCUCCAGUGCCUGUUGUUUCCUGACUUUUCAAUGAUCGCAAUUCUAACUGGUGUGAGAUAGUAUCUCAUUGUGGUUUUGAUUUGCAUUUCUCUGGCCAGUGAUGAUGAGCAUUUUUUCAUGUGUCUUUUGGCUGCAUAAAUAUCUUCUUUUGAGAAGUGACUGUUCAUAUCCUUCACCUACUUGUUGAUGGGGUUGUUUGUUUUUUUCUUGUAAAUUUGUUUGAGUUCAUUGUAGAUUUUGGAUAUUAGCCCUUUGUCAGAUGAGGAGAUUGCAAAAAUUGUCUCCCAUUUUGUAGGUUGCCUGUUCACUCUGAUGGUAGUUUCUUUUGCUGUGCAGAAGCUCUUUAGUUUAAUUAGAUCCCAUUUGUCAAUUUUGGCUUUUGUUGCCAUUGCUUUUGGUGUUUUAGACAUGAAGUCCUUGCCCAUGCCUAUAUCCUGAAUGGUAUUGCCUAGGUUUUCUUCUAGGGUUUUGAUGGUUUUAGGUCUAACAUUUAAGUCUUUAAUCCAUCUUGAAUUAAUUUUUGUAUAAGGUGUAAGGAAGGGAUCCAGUUUCAGCUUUCUUCAUAUGCCUAGCCAGUUUUCCCAGCACCAUUUAUUAAAUAGGGAAUUGUUUCCCCAUUUCUUGUUUUUGUCAGGUUUGUCAAAGAUAAGAUAGUUGUAGAUGUGUAGUAUUAUUUCUUAGGGCUCUGUUCUGUUCCAUUGAUCUAUAUCUCUGUUUUGGUACCAGUACCAUGCUGUUAUGGUUACUGUAGCCUUGUAGUAUAAUUUGAAGUCAGGUAGCGUGAUGCCUCGAGCUUUGUUCUUUUGGCUUAGGAUUGACUUGGCAAUGCAGGCUCUUUUUUGGACCCAUAUAAACUUUAAAGUAGAUUUUUCUAAUUCUGUGAAGAAAGUCAUUAGUAGCUUGAUGGGGAUGGCCUUGAAUCUGUAAAUUACCUUGGGCAGUAUGGCCAUUUUCAUGAUAUUGAUUCUUCCUACCCAUGAGCAUGGAAUUGUCUUCCAUUUGUGUGUAUCCUCUUUUAUUUCAUUGAGCAGUGGUUUGUAGUUCUCCUUGAAGAGGUCCUUCACAUCCCUUGUAAGUUGGAUUCCUAGGUAUUUUAUUCUCUUUGAAGCAACUGUGAAUGGGAGUUCACUCAUGAUUUGGUUGUUUGUCUGUUAUUGGUGUAUAAGAAUGCUUGUGAUUUUUGCACAUUGAUUUUGUAUCCUGAGACUUUGCUGAAGUUGCUUAUCAGCUUAAGGAGAUUUUGGGCUGAGACAGUGGGGUUUUCUAGAUAUACAAUCAUGUCAUCUGCAAACAGGGACAAUUUGACUUCCUCUUUUCCUAAUUGAAUACCCUUUAUUUCCUUCUGCUGCCUGAUUGCCCUGGCCAGAACUUCCAACACUAUGUUGAAUAGGAGUGGUGAGAGAGGGCAUCCCUGUCUUGUGCCAGUUUCCAAAGGGAAUGCUUCCAGUUUUUGCCCAUUCAGUACGAUAUUGGCUGUGGGUUUGUCAUAGAUAGCUCUUAUUAUUUUGAGAUACAUCCCAUCAACAGCUAAUUUAUUGAGAGUUUUUAGCAUGAAGCGUUGUUGAAUUUUGUCAAAGGCCUUUUCUGCAUCUAUUGAGAUAAUCAUCUGGUUUUUGUCGUUGGUUCUAUUUAUAUGCUGGAUUAUGUUUAUUGAUUUUCGUAUGUUGAACCAGCCUUGCAUCCCAGGGAUGAAGCCCACUUGAUCGUGGUGGAUAAGCUUUUUGAUGUGCUGCUGGAUUUGGUUUGCCAAUAUUUUAUUGAGGAUUUUUGCAUUGAUGUUCAUCAGGGAUAUUGGUCUAAAAAUCUUUUUUUUUGUUGUUUCUCUGCCCGGCUUUGGUAUCAGGAUGAUGCUGGCCUCAUAAAAUGAGUUAGGGAGGAUUCCCUCUUUUUCUAUUGAUUGGAAUAGUUUCAGAAGGAAUGGUACCAGCUCCUCCUUUUACCUCUUGUAGAAUUUGGCUGUGAAUCCGUCUGGUCCUGGGCUGUUUUUGGUUGGUAAGCUAUUAAUUAUUGCCUCAGUUUUGGAGCCUGUUAUUGGUCUAUUCAGAGAUUCAACUUCUUCCUGGUUUAGUCUUGGGAAGGGUGUAUGUGUUGAGGAAUUUAUCCAUUUCUUCUAGAUUUUCUAGUUUAUUCGUGUAGAGGUGUUUAUAGUAUUUUCUGAUGGUAGUUUGUAUUUCUGUGGGAUCAGUGGUGAUACCCCUCUGUCAUUUUUUAUUGCAUCUAUUUGAUUCUUCUCUCUUUUCUUCUUUAUUAGUCUUGCUAGUGGUCUAUCAAUUUUGUUGAUCUUUCAAAAAAACGGUUCCUCAAUUCACUGAUUUUUUUUAAAGGGUUUUUUGUGUCUCUAUUUCCUUCUGUUCUACUCUGAUCUUAGUUAUUUCUUGCCUUCUGCUAGCUUUUGAAUGUGUUUGCUCUUGCUUCUCUUGUUCUUUUAAUUGUGAUGUUAGGGUGUCAAUUUAGAUCUUUCCUGCUUUCUCUUGUGGGCAUUUAAUGCUAUAAAUUUCCCUCUACACACUGCUUUGAAUGUGUCCCAGAGAUUCUGGUAUGUUGUGUCUUUGUUCUCUUUGGUUUCAAAGAACAUCUUUAUUUCUGCCUUCAUUUCGUCAUGUACCCAGUAGUCAUUCAGGAGCAGGUUGUUCAGUUUCCAUGUAGUUGAGUGGUUUUGAGUGAGUUUCUUAAUCCUGAGUUCUUGUUUGAUUGCACUGUGGUCUGAGAGACAGUUUGUUAUAAUUUUUGUUCUUUUACAUUUGCUGAGGAGAGCUUUACUUCCAAGUAUGUGGUCAAUUUUGGAAUAGGUGUGGUGUGGUGCUGAAAAGAAUGUAUAUUUUGUGGAUUUGGGGUGGAGAGUUCUGUAGAUGUCUAUUAGGUCUGCUUGGUGCAGAGCUGAGUUCAAUUCCUGGAUAUCCUUGUUAACUUUCUGUCUCGUUGAUCUGUCUAACUUUGGCAGUGGGGUGUCAAAGUCUGCCAUUAUUAUUGUGUGGGAGUCUAAGUCUCUUUGUAGGUCUCUAAGGACUUGCUUUAUGAAUCUGGGUGCUCCUGUAUUGCAUGCAUAUAUAUUUAGGGUAGUUAGCUCUUCUUGUUGAAUUGAUCCCUUUACCAUUAUGUAAUGGCCUUCUUUGUCUCUUUUGAUCUUUGUUGGUUUAAAGUCUGUUUUAUCAGAGACUAGGAUUGCAACCCCUGCCUUUUUUUGUUUUCCAUUUGCUUGGUAGAUCUUCCUCUCUCCUUUUAUUUUUGAGCCUAUGUGUGUCUCUGCAUGUGAGAUGGGUUUUCUGAAUACAGCGCACUGAUGGGUCUAGAAUCUUUAUCCAAUUUGCCAGUCUAUGUCUUUUAAUUGGAGCAUUUAGCCCGUUUACAUUUAAGGUUAACAUUGUUAUGUAUGAAUUUGAUCCUGUCAUUAUUAUGUUAGCUGGUUAUUUUGCUCGUCAGUUGAUGCAGUUUCCUCCUAGCCUCGAUGGUCUUUACAAUUUGGCAUGUUUUUGCAGUGGCUGGUACCAGUUGUUCCUUUCCAUGUUUAGUGCUUCCUUCAGGAGCUCUUUUAAGGCAGGCCUGGUGGUGACAAAAUCUCUCAGCAUUUGCUUGUGUGUAAAGUAUUUUAUUUCUCCUUCACUUAUGAAGCUUAGUUUGGCUGGAUAUGAAAUUCUGGGUUGAAAAUUCUUUUCUCUAAUAAUAUUGAAUAUUGGCCCCCACUAUCUUCUGGCUUUUAGAGUUUCUGCCAAGAGAUCAGCUGUUAGUCUGAUGGGCUUCCCUUUGUGGGUAACCCGACCUUUCUCUCUGGCUGCUCUUAACAUUUUUUCCUUCAUUUCAACUUUGGUGAAUCUGACAAUUAUGUGUCUUGGAGUUGCUCUUCUCAAGGAGUAUCUUUGUGGUGUUCUCUGUAUUUCCUGAAUCUGAAUGUUGGCCUGCCUUGCUAGAUUGGGGAAGUUCUCCUGGAUAAUAUCCUGCAGAGUGUUUUCCAACUUGGUUCCAUUCUCCCCGUCACUUUCAAGUACACCAGUCAGAUGUAGAUUUGGUCUUUUCACAUAGUCCCAUGUUUCUUGGAGGCUUUGUUCGUUUCUUUCUAUCCUUUUUUCUCUUAACUUCUCUUCUUGCUUCAUUUCAUUCAUUUCAUCUUCCAUCACUGAUACCCUUUCUUCCAGUUGAUCGAAGUGGCAACUGAGGCUUGUGUAUUCGUCACGUUGUUCUUGUGCCAUGGUUUUCAGCUCCAUCAGGUCCUUUAAUGACUUCUCUGCAUGGGUUAUUCUAGUUAGCCAUUCAUCUAAUCUUUUUUCAAUGUUUUUAACUUCUUUGCCAUGGGUUCGAACUUCCUCCUUUAGCUCAGAGUAGUUUGAUCGUCUGAAGCCUUCUUCUUUCAACUCGUCAAAGUCAUUCUCUGUCCAGCUUUGUUCCAUUGCUGGUGAGGAGCUGCAUUCCUUUGGAGGAGGAGAGGUGCUCUGAUUUUUAGAAUUUUCAGUUUUUCUGCUAUGUUUUUUCCCCAUCUUUGUGGUUUUGUCUACCUUUGGUCUUUGAUGAUGGUGACGUACAGAUGGGGUUUUAGUGUGGAUGUCCUUUCUGUUUGUUUUCCUUCUAACAGUCAGGACCCUCAGCUGCAGGUCUAUUGGAGUUUUCUGGAGGUCCACUCCAGACCCUUUUUGCCUGGGUAUCAGCAGCAGAGGCUGCAGAACAGCGGAUAUUAGUGAAAAGCAAAUGUUGCUGUCUGAUCGUUCCUGUGGAAGUUUUGUCUCAGAGGAGUACCCGGCCGUGUGAGGUGUCAGUCUGCCCCUACUCGGGGGUGCCUCCCAGUUAGGCUACUCAGGGGUCAGGGACCCACUUGAGGAGGCAGUCUGUCUGUUCUCAGAUCUCAAGCUGUGUGCUGGGAGAACCACUACUCUCUUCAAAGCUGUCAGACAGGGACAUUUAAGUCUGCAGAGGUUUCUGCUGCCUUUUGUUGGGCUAUGCCCUGCCCCCAGAGGUGGAGUCUACAGAGACAGGCAGGCCUUGAGCUGCAGUGGGCUCCACCCAGUUCGAGCUUCCUGGCUGCUUUGUUUACCUACAAUGGUGGGCUCCCCUCCCCCAGCCUUGCUGCUGCCUUGCAGUUUGAUCUCAGACUGCUGUGCUAGCAAUGAGCGAGGCUCCAUGGGCGUAGGACCCUCCGAGCCAGGUGGGAUACAAUCUUCUAGUUUGCUGUUUGCUAGGACCAUUGGAAAAGCACAGUAUUAGGGUGGGAGUGACCCGAUUUUCCAGGUGCUGUCUGUCACCCCUUUCCUUGGCUAGGAAAGGGAAUUCCCUGACCCCUUGCGCUUCCUGGGUGAGGUGAUGCCUUGCCCUGCUUCGGCUCAUGCUCAGUGCACUGCACCCACUGUCUUGCACCCACUGUCCGACAAUCCCCAGUGUGAUGAACCCGGUACCUCAGUUGGAAAUGCAGAAAUCAUUCAUCUUCUGAGUCACUCACGCUGGGAGCUGUAGACUGGAGCUGUUCCUAUUCGGCCAUCUACAUGUUCUUUCUUCCCUCAUCAUCACUUCUUUACUUCUUUUAUUUCACUUCUGGCUUUCUGUCCUCCCACGCUGAGGAAGACUGAUUUGGUGGACAUGUAUUUAUUCUGCUGAGUACCAGUUGAUGUGGAAGUAGUUGUUUUAUAGUCAACAUGUUUUUAUGACUAAUGAUCUGUCUUAUGACAGUUUCACCUAUAAGAGGAAAUAUACUUAUGUCUAGGUGGACUCCAAUGUGUCUGUUUACUGAUACUUAUUUAUUCAUUAUUUUCAAGUAAAAUGUAGAAGUGAAUAACUUAAGAGAAUAACUAUUUUUAUGAGAGAAAAAUACCCACUUUCUUUUUUAUUACUUUGUUCCUCUAGAGGUUCAUGAAUAAUAUAUUGAACAUGUGAGGAGUGAGGCCUGUCUAGCUCUUUUCCUAACAUCUUCCACUCCUGUGGCCUCUUAUUAGGUACCUUUCUCAGUGAAGAUAUACAAUAAGAAUUUUGCAUGCUUAUUGGGAAUUUAUCUGUGAAAAAUCACUCAAAUGUCAUUAAGUCUUUUCUGAUAAACCUUAAUCAUCCAACAACCAGAGUUUUUCUUAAAAUAGCUGUUGCUCUAGAAGAAUACCAUAGAAUGAAGUUGCUUCCUAGCAUGGCAGUCAAGGAUCCUGGUUCCAAGUAUGAGCUCUGAAGAAGAUAGACUAUGUUCACCGCUUACUAUAGCUGAGUGCCCUUGGACAAUUCAUUUAAACUGCCCCUAAUUUUCUUCCAUCAUCUGUAAAAUGAAUGUAAUAAUAGCUCUUAAUGAGUAUUAAAUUAGAUAAUAAGGGCACUGGCAUUUAUUAAGAACUUAAUAAAUGUUAGCUUUUGUUAUUUCACAUUUUUCCUUGAUCACUCCUACCAGGAAUAAAAUUCUGGGAGGGUAUAAGUAGGUAGUGAAGUGCUAACUGGUCUGGUUAAUUGUUAGAGUUCUGUUAAAAAAAAGUUAUUUGAAAAAAGUAUUUUGGAGCUAGGAUCUAAUUUAUUAAUAUAUCUGGAUUUUCUUUUUCAAUUUUGGUGUCCAUUAUUCACAUAAGUAAUUGUGGUUUUGCUAUAUUUUUUCCUCCUGAAAAAUUAUGGCUAUACAACUAACUUUAUUGUAUACUGAAUUUUGGAAUUUUUUAGGAUUUGAUGUUCUUACUGGGGAGAGGAUUUUGAAUUAUUUAACCACUUUCCCUUUGAGCUUCUUAUCCACAGAUGGAUCCACUUAGAAUAAAUGAGGACUACACCAACAUGAAAAGGGCUAAAAUAAUGACACUUUUCAUAAGAAACUAGUAAUAAUACUUGGUAGUUUUUUAAUACUUUUCUUCCACAUAGAUUUGGGUUAUCUUAGGCUAUACUGUAUUUGGUUGGAAGCUUAAUAAAUAACCACCACAGGACAUUUAUAUCUUUCAACAUCCAUUUUUUUCUUGGACCCAAGAUUACCUAUAUAGCACUUAAGUUAAACUUCUACUCUCUUUAUGUGCAUACUUAGACAUUGAAGCAUAGACCAUUUAUUCUUACAGGUCAAGACCCUGUAAAAAUUAAUGAGAUGUGUCAGAAUGGUGCCUUUGGGGAUGACAAAACUGGAGUGCAAUUCCAGAUGGAAGACAAAGCAUGUUCUGCCAGUGGGGGGCAUUACUGGCCUAGUGCAGUAGGAAAAGUUUUUCAGUCCUGGAGAUCCUCUGUUAUGGACUAUCCAUAAGGACAAACUCAGCAUAUUUUAAACUAUAAGCUGGGAUAGCUAAAAAUACAAGAUUAUGUUAAAAAUAUUUUCAGACCCCUUCUAUAUUGUUCCAAAUCUCUUUCUAAGUGGGCUCUGUUUUUCAGAGUAUCAUCUACAAAAUGUACAUAUAAAGAAGGAGUGAUUUGCUUUACCAUAAGAGUGUUUAUUCACUAGAAUAUUUUAUGUAGGAUUCUUUUAAAUCAAGACUCACUAACCCAAGUACUUAUAGGGGUCAGGUAGAAUAUAUAAGUAAGUAAAGGGGGCUGGAUGGAGAACUAGCUAGACAGUUCAAUCCACUUGCUAGAACUAGUCUCAUAUGUUCAUUCACCUAUCUCUAGCUGGUGUGGUAAAAAUAACAAUGGCCUCAGAGUUUACAGAUUUGAGUUUUGGGUUGAGCUCUUUCACUUAUUGGCUCUAUAACUUUGGACAUCAGUGCUUCAUCGACAUGAAGACAUGUUGAAAUACAUGCUCUCUAAGGUGACUUCCAGUUUGAGUGAUGGAAGUGUGUGGACACCAAUCACCUCAGCCCUCUACCCUACAGAUUUCUAAAUCAUAGAGGAAAAUCACAAGGAGCCAAAUGGAAAUAAAAUAUCGGCUUUAUUCAGAAGUCUUUGAUAGUGUCCAGAUAGAGGGCACUGAAGGGCUUUCGACUUCUCUCUCUGAAUGGAGACCUCAAGAACCAUUCCUUUAGACUUACUCCCUACUCCUGUGACUGCCCCAGAAAUAAAGCCAAAACAAGUUUUUGAUGAGGUGAGGAGGCCCUAUGUGAAAAGUGUAAGUGCAAAGUCUGUAAAACUUGAAUACAGACAGGUGGAAGAAAAAUACAGAAAAAAUAAAUUAUGCUGUACUUAGAGACGUGGUGGCUCACACCUGUAAUCCCAGCACUUUGGGAGGCCAAGGCGGGUGGAUCACGAGGUCAGGAGAUUGAGACUAUCCUGGCUAACACAGUAAAACCCUGUCUCUACUAAAAAUACAAAAAAAAAAAAAAAAAAAAAAAAAUUAGCUAGGCGUGGUGGCAGGCACUUGUAGUCCCAGCUACUCCAGAGGCUGAGGCAGGAGAAUGGCGUGAACCUGGGAGGCGGAGCUUGAGUGGGCCGAGAUCGCCCACUGCACUCCAGCCUGGGUGACAGAGCGAGACUCCAUCUCAAAAACGAAACCAAACAAACAAACAAGAAUGAUAUUUUCCUCCUAAUCUCACCCAGAAGAGAAACACCAACCACCCAGUGCAUGCUAAGCUCACACUGGCCUCACAAAGUAGACAUGAUGGGGCAAUACUUUCCAAAUCAAAUUGAAGUAUUUGACAUUAGCCCCACAUCAUUCACACACACUUAUACUAAUAAGGAUUUUUAGCCACAGAAAAUGAAUUUUUAGUCUAACUAGUUUAAGCACAAAGGAUUUAUUGAGUGUGAAGACAGCUUAAAGAAUUUUGGGGAAGAGUGAAACAACUUCCAGGUAUGAUUUCAAAAGUCCCUAGACUGCCCAGGGAGCUGAUUCCCCUGCUUGAUUAGGAAGUUGCAGCUGCCAACUCCAGAACCUUAUUACCUCUUAUAAUUUACCAUGAAGAAGUUACCAAAUCAGAGAGCUACUUCUAUAACUGUCAGCUCUAGAACAUACUUUCCUUUCCAUGGUUCUUGCUGGAAAAAUGAAUGCCUUGCACUCUGCCUCUCUCCCCAGGCAGGUCAGUGUGAACCAAAAUUUUGUGUCAGCACAUUUGAUAGGCAGAGGCCAGAUCUCAUCCAGAACCUACCUGCAAGGGUUCUGGGAAAUGUAGAUUUUAGUUUUCCAACACCCAAUGUUUUUAGACUGGAAGUUGAAUGAAUCACUUCAUCAUCCAGAAAGUCAUGUUUCCUAUCAGCCUUUUUCCUCACAAGGAUACAGGAAGCUUAACAUCACAAGCAGGGCAGGAGGAGCUGGUACUUGAUGUGUUUAGCAAAGCAAUAGUCAUAAAGAAUUAGAAGUUAUUUAAAAUUUUAGCAUUAGUCAGGCACAGUCCCAGCUACUUGGGAAGCUGAGGCAGGAGGAUUGCUUGAGCCCAGGAGUUCAGGGUUGUAGUACACUAUGAUCAUACCUGUGAGUAGCCAUUGCACUAUAGUCUGGACAACAUAGCAAGACCCAGUCUCCUAAAAGGGGGAAAAAAGGAGAAGAAACAGGGGAAGCAGCCAAAAUGGCCGAAUAGAAACAGCUCAAGUCUGUGGCUUCCACUGAAAAGAAUGAAAAUGGCAAGUGAACUCUGCAUCUUCAACUGAGGUACCCAUGUUCUCUCAUUGGGCCUGACUAGGCGGUUGGCACUAUCCAUGGAUCUCAUUCAUGAAAUGAAAAAUGAUAUAGAGGAUAGCAUCACUGAUCCCACAGAAAUACAAACAACCACCAGGGAAUACUAUAAAUACCUCUAUGCAAAUGAACUAGAAAAUCUAGAAGAAAUGGAUAAAUUCCUGGAUACAUACACCUUCCCAAGAUGGAACCAGGAAGAGGCUGAAUCCCUGAAUAGGUCAAUAACAAGUUCUGAAAUUGAGGCAGUAAUAAAUAGCCUACCAACAAAAAAAGCCCAGGACCAGACGGAUUUACAGCUGAAUUCUACCAGAGGUACAAGGAGGAGCUGAUACCCUUUCUUCUGAAACUAUUCCAAACAAUUGAAAAGGAAGGACUCCUCACUAACUCAUUUUAAGAGGCCAGCAUCAUCCUGAUACCAAAACCUGGCAGAGAUACAAGAACAACAACAAAAACUUCAGACCCAUUGUAGAAGGCAGAUAUAAUGGAAGGACAGGGAGAGAGGAGUGAGUCACAGAGAGGUAGAGGAAAGUAGAUGUCAGGAUCAUUUUUUUCCUCCACUGUUAGAACCAAACAGGAGAAAUCAUGGGAUUCAGCUUCCUAGCAGGUUCCUCUCUCACCCAAUAAACUCAAUGGGGCAGCAUGGAUAAGCUGAGGGACUGCUGGAGUACAGCUUUCCUAAGACAUUGCAUUUCUGUGUAUUGUGUGGUUGUGCAAACCGGAUUCCUGUGUGGCCCUGAGUGGAGAGGAUAUGAAAGGCAGAUAAGUUGAAUAUCAGCAGACACACUAACCAGAGUCACAAGGAGUGAGUCACCCUUCAGCAGAGCUGAGAGCUGACAACCCAGGCCUUGGAACUGGAUGGAAACUGUGGAGACAUUUAGAGGGAUGUGUAGUGUCAUGGAAAGCUGAGAUGAGGCUGAAUCAGAGAUGAGGCUGAACAGCUGGUUUCAAACCACUGGGCGGAGAAAAACCAGCUCUUCACCGGAGCCUCCCAUUAUCUGUGAAUUCCAGCAAGAUGAAUAGCAACUGAGAAGACAAGCAACAUUGCUGAAGAGACCAGGGGACAUAGAGGACACUGUAUGGAUAUGAGGACUUCUUUAUCCCUAAAGCCCUAAAGCUUUAGAUAGCAAUCUUGGUGCGAAACUGGGGUAGGAGGCUAGGAAUCUAAUCAACGAAGUGCUUUCUACCUAAAGAGAUUACACUUUAUUUUUAAAAAGUGCUUAAAAUAUCAUAAGGUUAUUGGAUUGAACUAAAUGUUAACUUCUUCCUGUUACUAACAGGCUUUAAGAAGAUGAUCCAGGCAGUUGUAACCCAAAUAAUGAUGUAGAUUUUCUUUGUACAUGUGGGUUUUAGAGUGAGUAACUUUGUGACACUGACAGAUAUCUCUUUUUCUGACAGAAACAUCUUCCCUAUCACUUCACUAGGAAGUAGAAGUAUUGCUUCCCUGACUUAAAGCAGGGAUGUUGCCAGAGUGGGAGAUGGGUCUACAUCCCCACACUUAGAAUCUGUGCAUUUAUUGAGAUAAGCUUUACUCUGCAUUGCAAAGGGUUAAACCAAAGAAAACACCACCACCACCACCACCACCACCACCACCAACAACAACAACAAUAAGCAAACCCUAGAAUACCUUUUUUACUAGUAGAGCAGAUGUCAGCAAACUACAGCCUGUGGGCCAAAUCUGUCUUGUCACCUAAAGUUUUAUUGGAACACAACCAUUCUCAUUCAUUUACAUAUUAUCUAUAUCUGCUUUGUCAAACUUAAGUAGUUGGAACAGAGAUUGUAUGUCCCACAAAGCCUAAAAUGUUUACUAUCUGGCCCUUUAUGGAAAAGACAAAGCUUGCCAAUGUCUUCCAUAAAGUAUAAAAAAUAAGUACAUGCUAGUGAAAUGCAUUUUAUACUAAAGGAACACAGAAUUGGAGGGGAAUCAUCAUGGGAUAGUGUUCACCAAAAAUGAUUUUCUAGAAGAGCAGGAUGCAUCUGGCUGGGCUUGUAAGAGAAGGCAGGAUGGUGUUCAUUUUUCCUUCAACAGGGGCUGGAUGAAAAGUGUCCCAAAACCAAGCCCUAAGAUGUCAUCAUGGCUUAGCUACUUUAUAGUUGAGUGGCAUGGGAAUGAAGUGACUGGGUAGUUACUUUAAUAAUAAGAUUGAAUAAUUGGCUAAUAGUUGUCAUGCUCUAAAGCAGACACAGCUGUCUCACAAAGUUGUUCUCACUCAUAGAACAUUCUUACCCACUCCCUCUUGGUCAUCUGCAGACAAGCAUGACGAGCUUGGGCCAAAGGUGAAGACCAUGGAGCCACAAGAUGGGUGGAGCCUAUGAUGCUAAAUCACUGCUUAGAGGAGAGGCUCCUGCUGAUAAAGAAUACUGAUUUUGGACUUCCUGUGAGAAAAAAGAAAACUUUUAAUAUGUGUGAGCCAUUGUAUACUUUUAGGUUUGUUAUGUCAAUUGAUACUAUUUUAAUGCCUGAAAUUGUUAUUGGAAGUGGAGUGCUGCAAAACAAAACCAAAAUAAACUAAACUAAAAUGUAUUUCAGCAGUGGGGAUGGCAAAAGAAUUGAUAUCAAGCCUGGAAAAUGAAGAUCCACAUUAUGUAGCUUCAAAACAUUUGGAAAAUCUAUUCCUUUCCAUAAUCUGAAAAUAAGACCCCAUCGAACCUACUGAGGCUAUAACUUGGAGUGAUGAGAAAUGCCAGAAUAAUAGUAUAUAUUAAGUUUUAGUUUUUAUGUUUAGUAUUGUAUUGUGAGAUAUAGAUGAAUUCAGGAGAAAAUUGGCAAAUCUCCAGUAUAAAUAAAGGGAAUAAAGAAUAUCUAGAAAUUUGAGGUCUUGAGAAAGCCAACUACAAGCGGCUACUGGGUUCCUAUCAAAUUCAAUUAUUAACCACAUGUCAGGCACUGGCUUGUGGCUGACUGUCAGGAUUCUAAUCCUAGCCCUACCACGCAUUGUUUGUGUGACAGUAGAUGUGUUAUUUGACUUUUCCAAUGGAGAGAGGUCAGAGGUGAAGUGGCCCUGAAGGUUAAAGCGGGUCUUUAAGAAGCUGAGACUAUGAGGAAGCAGAAACUAUCAGUGAGCAGGAAUACGAGGCAGAGAGAAAACCUGUGCUUUUGUGGUGAGGACUUCAGUGUGUGUGGUCUGGAGAAUGGAGCAGAUGAGCACUCGUGGGACAGGCAAAUCCCUUCAAUGGUAGAUAAGAACUUUGUGGACUUUCCCUGCUAAGGUUUUGAGAAAUGCCAUUGCUCUAGAACUCUAGUCUCUACAAGGCCUCAUGCUAGUACACUCUUGCCGAGUCUGUCCUGCAGACUCUGGCUGAGCAACAGGUGAAAGAAGUACACAGACACAGGUAUUUUGCCUGAGAGUGCGGCUAGGGGACUGCAUGGCCUAGCACUGCCAAGCACUGCCAACUAGAGUGCAGCCCCGAUAAGCCGGAGCUGUUUGUACUUAUUUAGUACAGCUUUAAUGACAAAGGCCUGAAGCCAACACAACCUGUGGAUAAUUAACAUUGUCCUCCCCGCUUGCAGGGAGCAGUCUUGCAUGCAGAUGAUCAAAGGUUGUUUUCCAGACAACAUAAGUAAAUAAACUUAUCUAGAUAAACUCCCUUACGUUUGCUUGCACCUACUUCUUGCCCUCUGCUUCAGGGUAAUAGAAUUAACUGCCUUCAGCUUUUAUUCUCUCCUGAAGCUUUGCAAAACCUCCGGGCCUUCCAAGAAGGUUUGCAUUUUUCCUUAUAACUUUUGCCACCACCCUGACCAAUCUCCUACACACUCUUCUUGUAUUCUAUGAGAUUUGCCAUUCCUCAUUUUUUCUUUUUAUUCUAAAAUAACUCCACUUCUUACUUAAGAUAAACUGAGUGAACCUAGCAAAAACAUCUAUGAUUAAAUAAGUAUUUAACUUUUAUGUAUCUAUAUUGGGAUGGAGAAUUUGGCUUUGGUAAUGGAAUAAAUUGUCAGGCAAACCUAUCAGCCUAGUCUGUAGAGAUAUUUUUGCAAAAUAAGAUGCUUGUGCUCAGGUAUUCAAUUGUAACUUGCUUCUUUCACUCCUCCCUAAUUGCUAACUUCUUUGCCUGUUAAAUUUGUGAUUAUAUUUUAACAAAAAAGUAAAUAGUGAAAUUAAAAACACAUAGUAAAGAAAAUUAUAUUAGUCAUAUGGGAAAUUUUCACUGUUUUUGAGUGAAGACAUGUCAAAGUGUCCCUAAAAAGAAAAAUCCUGCUCCACAAAGUAUCUAAUGAUCCUGUUAAAUCCACUAUUUUGUCCUCAUCAUUUUUUUUCUGAAAUUUGACCCCUUUAAUUUAUUUUGGGAUAGCAUUUGGUGUGGAAAGGUAGAAAAGUCAAUGAGAGCUUGUUAAAAAAAAAUUCCUUUGGGAGAGGGUGGUUGGUGCUGGGCCAACUCCCCUGUUCCUUACCAGCACCAGCCUUGAGUUGCAACUGCAGCAGCAGAAUGGUCGCCGGGAGUUUCAUGAGCAUUGACUUUUCCUACCUUCCCCUCUUCUGCCCUGGUAAAAUUAACUUUCUGUGCGUCCAGGUACUUCAGCUACAGCUUUUUAAUGUUAGCUGAAUCACCAAGGGUCUGAAAGGAAGAACAUUUAUUACGUACCCACUCGGUUCCAGAUGCUUUUAAAUAUGCUCUCUCAGCCAAUACACAUUGUUGUUAUCAUCUCUAUUUUACAGAUAAGGAAGUUUAGAAAGACUUAGUGGCUUGUGCAAGAUCAUCAGUUUUUCAAGUAUCAAGAUGUUCUGAUUCCAAAGCUCAUUUUUCUUCCACUUGCUCAUGUUACCUCUUGAGCAAAUUCUUUAGGAGGCAGGAACAUUAUUGGGAAAGUUACAGGAGGCAGUUCUUUCUAUAGCCUCAUGAUACACAGGAUGUAACAACUUACUCCACUAGACCAGAGUGUAUCCUAUCUGAAGCACAAAGACACUAUACAUGUAACUAGAAAUCUUAGAUAGCACGGAUUUUUAGUUCAGAAGGGGAAACAGGGAGGAGGGUUGCAAUCUCUUUCUUCUGUGCAUUUUGACUUCAUUUCAUUUCUCUUCAUGCUCCUUGGCAUGCUUUAUUCAAAAGAAGCUCCUAACCACAUUUGCCUGUAGUAUGCCUCAUAAUAGCUAGGGCCCCAGCAAGCCCGGAAUGCUCAGAGUUGAGGCAAAUGUGCUGAUGACAAUGUUCAUUUUGUAAGCAGCCACCAGAGCCUCAUCAGCCACACAUCAUCAGGUCUGCAUCAGUCCUGGCUUCAUAGCAAUUUAGCUGUGCCAGUUCCUCCUUGCUCUUCCUCCACUCCAAUAACUUACAAAAAUAAAAACAUUCUUCACAUUUAAAAUCGCAUUUUUAUAAUCAUGGAAAGAAGACAAAGGAACAGGGAUUUUUCCGUUUGGAAUAACUGGGGGACAUACUGGACCACAAGUGAGAAUUCUAACUUGAACUCUUCCAGUAGAACUCUUCUACCUUGCUCUAUACAAGGAAGUUGCUGAAUAGAUUAUUCAUUGGUGCCUCAGCUGAUUUUAUAAUUCUAUGACUAUGGGCUAGUGAGAGCCCAGAUAUCUCAGUCAUGGGCUAACAUCAUAAUGUGAAGUAGCACCACCAAAUGCACCAUGUUAUUCUUUGAAUAACUCAUUCAUUUGUUCACCAAAUACUUGCUGAAUGCCAGUUGCAUGCCAGGUACUGUUGUAGGCACUUGAAUUACAGGAGAAAGCAAGCUAGCCAACCUCCCUUCCCUCAUUGAGCUUUUUUUCCCUACCGGGGAGGGAGAAAAUAGACAAGUAGGGACAUACAAGGAAUAAUUUAUGGUAGUAAUGACUGUUCUGAAAGCUAUAACACUAGCAAUGUGAUAGAGAUGGGAAAUAGAUAGGGAGGAUAGGCUGACAAAGGGGUAUAGAGAUCUCACUGAAAUCUAAGGAGUAAGAUUUGACCUGAGACCUGAGUGUCAUGAAGGGGUCUUCUCUCUGGCCAGCAUCAUCUCCCACCUGGAUUGCUGUGACACCAUCUUCAUGGCCAGCCUGCCUCCAGUCUUCCCCACCUCCAACCCACCUCACUCACUGCUGUCAGAUUGUCUGCUAAAUUUCUAUGUGACGACAUCACAGCCUGACUUUAGCCUUUCCAGAAUUCUCCUGGACCUGCGGGAUAAUGUGAAAACCUUAUGGCAGAAUUUAUGUGAGCCUUUAUGAUCUGUCCUCUAGGUAUUUUUUAGCCUAAUUUUUAGUCAAUGGAGAUAAAGCAGACAUUCAGCCAAUCUUUGGCCAUGCCCUGAAUCUGGCUGUUUCUGGCUGGGUUGUGCCAUUACCUCUGCCUCAGCCCUCUAACCGUACUUGGCUCCUGCUGCAUUCCUACCCAUUCCUUAUCUUUUGAAAUCCCAGGUCAGACAGCCCCUCCCCCAUGAAUUCUUUUUGAAUCACCUCUUUCACCAUUAUCACCUGGCACUUCAGAUAUAAAUAUUUUCUCUCUGUCAAGUUCCUGUAGCCUAUUGUGCACAUUUCUGUGAUACCACAUUAUAUGACAUUGUGGUAAUUUGUUUGCAUGUGGGUCUUUUUCAAUAGAUUAUGAACUCUCCAAUAGGUAGGGGUUUAAAUACCAAUAUUCCUAGUGCUCUGCACAUUUGCUUGCAUAUAGUAAGGGUGCAAAUAACAUUCAUUUAAUGCAUUAAGAUAUAUUCUUCAUCCUAUGUGCUAAAGUCAAGGUGUUGGUAGAGAUGUAUGUGCAGUUAAGUUUGGUCUAAUUGUGCCAUGAUCCAUAUUGUGUAAUACUUUUAGGGGAAGAUACGAGGUAUGAACUUUUAGUAUAGGCAUAGAAUCUUGUAAUAUAGAUGCAGAACCAGGAAAUAAGGAGAGGGAAUGGAGAGAAUAGGAGCUUGAAGGGGCAGGAAAAAAAAAUGAAAUUUCUGUAGAAAGUAACACUUUUUUCUGUUCUUCUGACCACCUCAAAUAUUUUCAAAAGUGAGAAAUACGAUUAUUAUUAUUAUCAUGAUUAUUUUUUAGACUUUUGCUGUGUUGCCCAGGCUGGAAUGCAGUGGUGCAAUCUUGGCUCACUGCAACCUCCGUCUCCUGGAUUCAAGUGAUUCUCCUGCCUCAGCCUCCCAAGUAGCUGGGAUUACAGGCACACACCACCAUGCCCAGCUAACUUUUGCAUUUUCAUUACAGAUGGGGUGUCACCAUGUUGGCCAGGCUGGUCUUGAACUCUUGACCUCAAGUGAUCUGCCCACCUCGGCCUCCCAAAGUUCUGGGAUUACAGGCAUGAACCACGGCACCCAGUCUAUCUUUUUGUUUUCUAUUUUAAAUUGUGUAAAUUGUAUAAUUAAUAUAUAAAUGCAUUCCAAUUAUACAACUCAAGCACUAUUCAAGAGAGCUAAAGUCCUCUGUGAUAUGCUGAAUAAUGGCCUCCCUAAAGAUGUUCAUAUCCUAAUCCCUGGGUCUUGUGGAUGUUACUUUACUUGAUAAAGGGAGUUAAAGAUUUUGAGAUGAAGAAAUACUGUUGGAUUAUACAGGCAGGUUCAAGGUAAUGACAAGUGUCCUUCUGAAAAGAGGCAGGAGGAUCUAAGUCAGAAGUGGAAGUUGUGACCAUGGAAGCAGGUGGUGGGAGUGAAGCAAGGAAGGGGCUGCAAGGUAGCCUCUAGAAGCUGAAAAAGGCAAAGAAAUGGAUUCUGCCUUAGAGCCCCAGAAAGAAUCAUCUCUGCCAACACCAUGACUUUAGCUCAGUGAGACUGAUUUUGGAUUUUGGAUUUCUAUCCUCUAGAAGUGUAAGAUAAUCAAUUCAUGUUUUGUUUUGAUUUUUCAUUUUCAACUUUUAUUUUAGAAUCAGUGGGUAUCACAUGGGUGCAGGUUUGUUACAUGAAUGUAUUGUGUGAUUCUCAGGUUUGGGAUAUGAUUGAACCCACCUACAUAGUGAGCAUAGUACCCAAUAGGUAGUUUUUCUGCACUCACCCCCUUACCUGUCUCCCCUUCUAGUAGUCCCCAGUAUCUAUUGGUCUUGUCUUAAUGUCCAUGUUACCCAAUAUUUAGCUUCCACUUAUAAGUGAGAACAUGCAGUAUUUCAUUUUCUGUUUCUGCAUUAGUUUGCUUAGGAUUAUGGCCUCCAGCGGCACCUGCGUUGCUGCAAAGGACAUGAUUUCAUUCUUUUUUAUGGCUGCGUAGUAUUCCAAAUUCAUUUUUUUUUUAAAGCCACUAAGUUUGUGGCAAAUUACAACAGUGGCAAUAGGAAACUAAUAUAGUCUCUCAAUUUCACUCCCUCUACCAAAUAUAACCCAAAAUUAUUAAUGUGGUGUGUAUCCUUCCAGGCUUUUAAAAAUAUAUGUAUCAAUAUAUAUAACUGUGCAUGUGUAAAUAGUUUGGUUUUUGAAUGAUUUUUUAAAAAAAUUUUGCUGCAUAUGUAUUCUGUAAUUUUCUUUUUCACUUACCACUGUUUCUUGGGUAUUUUUAAAAUCAGUAUAUUAUAACCUAUUUCAUUCCUUUCAACUACAUUUUGAUUCUUCCAUUCUAUGGAUCUUCCAUAGUUUAUAUUAUAUUUCAGUAAUUAUUUGAUAUAAUUACUGAAAUUAUAAUAAAUUGUUGAGAUUUACCUUUCUGGUUGAAAAGCAUAGUCAGGGUUUUGUUCAGGAUAUUAAAUAAAAACCCAAAUUUAACUGUACAUGAUCAUCAUUGGAAAUACUAUAUUUCUCUCAAAGGAAUGGUUACAUCUCAAUGUGCCUUGGAGAAAGCAAUGUUAACAAAUCCUCCCUGAUCCAAGAUUUUCAUUUAUGAUUUUUUUUUUAAAUCUUGAAGUUUUAUGAACAACUGUGUAUUUCAUUCGCAGAUAGAUUUAUAUAUAGCUUUAACAGAUUAAAAAUAAUAGUAAAAAAAAAUCCCACCCUACAAAACAGUCUUUUUUUGAGGCAGACUUGUCAGAGCAGGUUGCAACACAUAAUGAGAUGUCAUAGACUGGUGAGAUAUGCAAAGCAGGUUCAAAAAAACUGUCAAUACUGCAUAGUGACUUUAAUACUGAAGAUAGUAAAUCUGGGGAAAAAGAAAUCCAUUGGCUGCCAUUCUAUUUAAAUGACUGGAAAUAUGUAGUUAUCAAAGCUCUGAUAAAUGUUCCCUGUAGGUCAAGUUCUUUCUUUUAAAAAAAGGACUACGGUUUUAUAGAAUCGUUUUGGAAACUGAAUGCACUUUGCUACCCGAGCCCUACUCAAAGCACUUGCUGUCAAUCAGUGGAAAAGAUUUGGCCACCACCUUUGUGUUAAACAUAAAUGUAGUCGAAAUGUUUAAUGGAUUAAAACGGUGCUGUUUAAUUUGAAAUGGAAUUUCCCACCAUCCUAGCUUAGGUAGUUAGGAUUCUGUAAGUUUGCUUUUCAUUCCAGCCUGGUUUAUAGACACAAUAAAGAAGAGGCAAGCAAUGGGUUUAGAAUGCAAGUGUGUCAAAUUGAGGAGACAGGCCUCCUUUUGGUAGAAGGAGAGGGGGAAAAUCACCCCAUUAACUGCAACUUGUUAAAAUUUACCAAGUCUCUAUAGUUUAUUAGCCCUUUUUUCCCUCUUCACACCAACAGAGUAGGUAAAAGAUAAGCAGCAACAAGGAGAGACAUUAUAUGCAGAGGUGAACACUGAUAUGACAGAGUCUUCUCUUAAUAACAAACAGUGUUAGCUCUCUAGGAGGUAGACAGUAUGAAGUGCAACAGAAACUGUAAUUAUGCUCUCAGCAGGGAACCUAUAUUUAGAGUGACAGUAAGAGUGUCUCUAAAAACCUUCUAGGUUAAGGCUGCUAGUCUUAAUUACAUGUAUUAGGAGUUUGUGUCUUUACUUUUUCCCUUUUAAAAUUCAAAGAAGAAACCUAAUUACAACUUGGACCCUAGUAAAUUGGGCCACAUUUAAACAAUGAACAUUUGGCAAUCUCAUCAUGCAUCAUGACGCAUCUGACUGGUACAGCUGCUAUGGAAGCCAAACUGGCUCCCCCAAAUAAUUUGUUUUUGCUGCCUCCAUGACAGAGGAACAACAAACAAAUGCUAAACAAGGGAAAUAAUGAAAUUAUGCUUUUUUUCAGUCAAUGACACCCAAACCUUCUGGAGGUGGGGAUCAUUCCUUGGGUAGACUCUUACAUACAGAAUUACAGGUUGUUCAUAUGUUGUUAACAUGUAUUUCAGCUAGAUGAUGGUUGAAUAAAUCUUCUUGGUUUGAUUUUUGCUGCUAUUUUGGUCCUAGAUGUAACAAUAGCUUACAACUGCUUCUAGUUGACAUUAAUGGAAGUGUAUGAAGCCCAAAAUUUUAGGUUUUGCCUGGAGUGCAGCAGAAUGUGUUAUAGCUGAACAACAUGUUUCAGAGUUAUAAGGACCAGUCCUGGGCAUUCAUUAUAAAGAUGGCUCCUGAACAUGGAGCUGACUACAUUUGACUUUUCCAUGUAUGUCUUAACCUUCACUUGGUAUAUUCCAUACUAGCUUCUUAUGCUUGUGUACAAUGUGCACUGGACUUCAAGAAGGAAGAGCUCAACCAUUCUGUUAGGCUUAGAUUAUAAUAAUAUGGAUAAGUGUAUGAAUAAGGGGGAUUAUGAUGCCCUCUUAGUGGGGUCAGUUAUCAUUAAGGUGACACUUUGUAAUUUUGCUAAGCACUCAACAAAUAUGUUCAUUACUAAUUUCUCAUUGCACAUAUGUAGAUUAAAAAAGCUGAGUAUUACAAAGUUGUGGGAUAAACUGAAAAAAAUUAAUUUGUUGAGUUUUAAUAGGCAAAAGUUAUGCUGAUAUGACUGAGCUAAUGAAUCAAGCUGUAUAAAAGUGAAUUUAAUUUAUUUUGAUACUAUUCUUUUCUAUGGCUCUAUUUCUGGAAGUUUGAUGGGUUCUAUGACUCAUGUGAUUUUAAGAUAGUCUGCACAAAAUUAUGAUGACUAAAACAUUUUCUUCUCUUUGGAAUUUAUAUAUAGCUAAAUUGAAUUUCUAUUAUUUGCUUUCAAAUAACUAUCAAAGUAAAAUAAUAGUAGUUCUGAAAGGAUUUAAAUAAAUGCUGAAAAUUUGGAAACCAUUUGCAUAUUUAUUGGUGCCCCCAUUGAAGUUUUAUCUUGGGUAGCCCAACUUUCAAUUUUACUGAAAUACUAAUUUAGUCUUCAUUAUUGUUGGCUUGAGGAAAGUAAUCACUGGUUCUAAAGUUAAUAAUAGUUUUAUAGUAGAGUCUUGUGGAAUUUUACAGUGAUAGUGAUCUGUAGUCUAAAUAAUAGCAUUUUUUCUAAUUAAGCAGCAAUUGAACAAACAUUAAAAAUCAAGGAUGAACUAUUCAUUUAUUUUGAUAUGUUUAGUUCAGUUUAGAUUAUACUUCAUAGAGAAAUAACACUUUAUUUCUCUGUUGAAUAAUUUAUAAAAGUAAUGAGUAACAUGAAUCACUGGGACAGUUUUCUAUAUUUCAUCAAAAUUGUUAGUUAAAAAAUGGAGCAAGGUUUACACAGGCCACUUGAAACAUUAUUGGAUGUUACUAAGAAUAAGCAUUAGGUAGUGAGCACAAUAAUCUUUCAUAUAAUCCGUCCCUAAAGUGUGAUCAGUUCAAGCAAGAAGUUAGUGAAUAUUAUUAUUAAAAGAUGACCAGUUGCCAUAAUAGUAGAAAUGGUGUCAAAAAUACAAGACAACAGGGUCCCAUUGAAUUAAGAAUGACUUUUAAAAACAUCACCAAAAAUAGAUUCUUUGAGCAUAUUUUAGCCACAUAAAGUAGUAAUUAUCUUAAAUGUUCCAAAAUUGAGCCAUGUAAUAUUGAAAGUGAACCCACAGAUCUUUAUAGCAGCUCUUCCCCUUUUUAUAGAAAGCAAAAUAGUAGAAAAGAUAAUCACUGGAAAACCUAAAUAAAUAAUUUUCAUAGUAGUAUCAAGGAGGUCUUAGAACUGACAUUCAAUGCAUAUGUUUCCCACUCCCUAUGUAUGUCCAUUAUUGAAGAUGGUGAAUGACUAGCCUUUCUAUGGAAUCUGAAAAUAUGUUACCAUAUGCUUCCACGCCAAAGGAAAACCUGAAUGACCAUCUCAUCAAUUUCACACCCUACAAGGAGAUUCACGUAAGUUAGUUAAUACCAGUGAGAUAGUACCCAAUUUUAAAUUUUCUCUAGCAAAGCUCUGCCUUCUGUAACCCCACUUUGAAUGGGUUUAGCUAAUCUCACAGUCUGGAAAAUCUUCAUAAAUAACAUCCAUUUAAGUCAGACCCAUUUUUUGGUUCUGUCCUCCACAGAAAUAAAUGACAAUUGAUUUAAGCAUGUUCACCUGUGAUUCUUGGCUUUCUUUUGACCAUUUCAACAUCUAUAUUCAUUUAGGAGAUUUUGUUUUACUCCCUCUGUUUUUUCCUUUCCCUUUCUAUCAAAAGCAUUAAAUGUCAUUCUGGCCUUUUAUUUUUCUUUAAGUUAAACUCAUUAAUCUUAGGUGAGAUUUGAGAAUAUUAGGAUAUUAGGAAAGUGUUUGAGAUAAAGUGAGUGUUUGAGAUGAAUUUAGACCUUCUAUGAUGUUUCACUGUUUCACACUUGAGCUUGGAAAUGAUUCUUUUAUGUGUAGUAAUACUUUGAAUUCUUAAAAGUUGUCAGUUAUACCUUAUAAUUUACCAAUUUCUUAGUCAUAUACAUUUGUUCUUUCCCAAUAUUUUCCACAACUGCGUAAUACUACAGCUGACCCUUGAACAACUCUAGGGACACCAACCCCAGUGCAGUGGAAAAUCCAUGCAUAACUUUUGACUCUCCAAGAACAUUAACUACUAAUAGACUGCUGUUGAAUGGAAGCCUUACCAAUAACAUAAGCAGUUAAUUAACACAUAGUUUAUAUGUUAUAUGUAUUACAUACUGUAGUCUUAUAAUAGCAUAAGAAGGAGAGAAGAAAAUGUUAAGAAAAUCAUAAGGAAGAGAAAAUAUAUUUGCUAUUUAUUAAGUGGAAGUAGAUCAUCAUAAAGGUCUUCAUCCUUGUUAUCUUCAUGUUGAGUAGGCUGAGGAGGAGGAAGAAAAGGGGCUGGUCUCGCUGUCUCAGGGGUGCAGAGCCAGAAUAAAAUCUAUAUGUAAGUAAAUCUGUGCCAUUUAAACCCAUGUUGUUCAAGAGUCAACUGGUCUACAUAUUAUAAUUGGAAUAUAUAUAUUAUUAAUAUGAAUAAAAAUAGAGUGAUAUUUAUCUCUAAAGACCUGUCGGACUAAAUGUAUUUGUAGAUUCAUUGAUUCAAGUGAUAAAUGUAAGAAUAGUGAUCUUUAAUAUAUAAGAAAAUUAUAUUUGACAGCAGUAAAUACUCAGCAUAAUGUUAUUUCAUUUAUUUAUUUUUACUCAGUUUUAGAAUCUAAAUGACACCAAAAAAUUUAUUCUUAAAAUGUUGUAAUUAAUCUAGUUGAGGAAAAAUUUUUUUGAUGUCAAAUAAGGAAGUCAAACUUUUAAAAAUGAUUGUUGUUAUACUGUGUUUCACAAUUAAUAUAAUUUUUUUUAGCAUAACAGAAGUUUAACACUAGCAUAAAAUGGAGUUGUUUAGACUGGUACUUUGGUUUAGAAUGGUAGGUAAUACAGUGCUGUUCUCAUUUUACUAUAAGAAAGGGUACCUAAUGUUUUAUCUGUGACCCCUGAUACCAUUGCUUUAAAAAGAUUCAGUCCAUUUAAUUUGUUAAUUUGUUGAAGACCAGGUCAUAGCUGCUCAUUCAUUUGAGUCUUACCAUGUAUCUCAAGUGAUCAAUUCAAUUUGCAUGGAAAAGACAAAGGGCAGAGAAGGGUUGUGAAAAUUCCCACGAAAGAAGACUGGUGAAGCCAGAAUUAUAAUUUAUCCUGAUUUAGCUCAGUCUCUUUCAGUAUGGGAAUAUUAAUGCUCCUUUUCUCUGUUCACCCCCAAAUUAUGUUUUAAGCAUAAGUCCAAAUCUAGAUUUAGAAUAAUUUCUUAGUUUUAAAGAGCAGGUCUGUGUUUUCCAUCUCAGACAUUAUAUUCAUAAGAAAUCUGGGGCAAUACCACUUGAAAAUAGGAAUUUCUUAACUCCAAAAUUUAUGAGACUUCUGUCUAUUAGAAGAAAAAUAUGGAAUUUUCUUUCCUUAAGACAUGUUUUUACGGGGACAGCCUGUUUGCCAUUGCUGCUUAAAACUGAUCCCCAAAGAGAAAAUCCUCAUGAAUCAUUGGAUUGCUUGCCUUGGAGCAAGGCCAGGAGCAGUAAGUUUUCAAGAUAAACAGUGCUCAGGCUGAAAGAAUGGCACAGAUGAUUUCUCAGGUGGAGUGUUUCCACUUCCCUUCUGGCAUGUACUGUAUUUCAUAGUGCCUUACAGAUAAGGCUUGAGGGGAAUCCAGUAUGAAAUAAGUUUAUUUCAUAAUACUUAUUUCAUGGCAGUUUUAUCAAACUAUAUCUUGAAUAGCCCAAAGAACAUGGUUCUAAAUUUAUUGGCACUUACGGAUUGAAACCUAUUUUCAUCACAUUUUAACCAGGGACCCUGAUACCUGUUUUGUUCAGUGUUGUAUCCUGACUCCUGGCAUAGCAUCUUGCCCAGACCAGGUGCUCAAUGAACAUUGACUAAGUACAAGUUGAAUGAAUAAAUUCAGGUUCACCUCAAUUGAAAUUUGAUUAAUAAACUCUAGGAUGAUGUAAAGGUAGCCAAGUCAUACCAGACUGAACAUUUGGUCUUCAUAAUUGGCCAUGUUUAUGUCUUCUGAAAAACCAUACAAUGCCAUUUGCUCAUUUUUGUUCAUUCACUCAUUCAGUCAUACAAAAGAUAUCUAUUAACUAUUUUGCCCAUGAUUGGCAUUUCUUAGGAGUUAAGAUACAGCAAUAAGAUAGACUAGGCCUCUGAGCUAUAUCAGAAUGCAUGAGGCACUUGCCCUGCCUUGCUUGGUCUUGCCAUUCUAUAUUUGGCUUGAGGCAAGCACAAAAAUAUUUACAAAAUAAAGUGAAUAAUGUGCAGACUAACAUGGUCAGAGUGGGAAGAUAUGACACAUUGCUAAGGGAUAAAAAAGCCUUCACAGAGAUAGCUAGGGCUCAGGGAUAGGUAGGCAUUCAGAAGGUAAAGUUGGUGACACAGAGUUUCCUAAUAUUGCAAGAAUUGUCUGUGUGUGUGUGUAUUUGCACACUUGACUAGAGAGAAGAGGAAAUGGGGCAAAAAAAAGAGACACAUGGUCCAAGAGAAAUUAAAAAGAAAUUUUUUUUUUUUACCAUGUUUGCACUCUACUACUCUAUUCUAUCUACUGAGAUAGGAGCCCCGUGGGGUGAAUAAUUUCAUCUUUGCUUUGUACAUUGCCUUUCAUCAGUACACACUCAUGAUCAGGUUUCUGGAACUUAAUGGCAAACAUGUUCUGAUUGAGAGUAGAGCUAACUGGUAUAAUGGUACAUUGUCUGAGAGACCAAAGUUAAGGGCAUUUAGUUGUUUCUGCACUCUGAUAUUACCAAAAUCAACCAUUAAUCAGAACCUCAUUCAGUUUCUGUAAGUAAGAAUGUUACUCCUGGAUGUUAUUUAUGAACCUUAUGUCUUAGAGCACAAAAGUAUUUAAAACAUAGAAAUUUAUAGAAGGUAAUUUUGUGAUUCUAAAGAGUUAAUGCAGUACCAAGCAAGCAUCUUGCAUCACCUGAGCUUUCAUAUGAAAGUAAAAUUGAUUUCUCCACUUAAUUUCUUUCAGAUCAAUUUUACUAAUAUGUAUUUAUUGGUCAUUUGUUUUAGGAAUUUUGUUGACAUUUUCUUUCUUAUUCAAAACUAUUGCUUAUUUUAGAGUUCAAAUAUUCUCCCAAUAUUCAGGAAACUAUCUGUAAAAUGAGGUGAUCUAGAUCGGGCUUUUUAAAAGGGAUGAUGAGUGGACUUGGUGCAGUUCAUAUAUCCUCUGGAAUUUUAUGAAGCCUUGUGUACACAUAGUUGAUUCUCAGUAUUUGCAAAUUAUGUAUAUGCAAAUUUGCCUACAUGUCAAAAUUUGUGGGUAAUGCCCAAAUCAAUACUCACAGCAAUUUUGCAGGCCUUUAUAGACAUGUAAUGAGCAGUGAAAAAUUUGAGUUGCCCGACAUACACCUUCCCAGCUGAGAUUAAACCAGGCAGUGCUCUACUGUACACAAGUGUGCUUUCACAGUCCCUUUACUGACAUAUUUUUCACAUGUUUGUACUUUUUAUUAGUGAUUCCACUGUUUGAAAUGAACCCAAAUGUGUGUUAAAGUCUUGUCCAGUGUUCCUAACCACAAAAAAUAUUGCGCUAUAUCAUAUAGAGAAAAUGUGUGUGUCAUGAAAGCUUUGUUCCAGUAUGAGUUACAGGGCUGUUGGCCAUGAGUUCUAUGUUAAUGAGUCAACAAUGUAUAUUAAAUAAGGUAUCUAUAAACAGAAACACACAUAAAACAAGGUUAUAUACUGCAUUGAUGAAAAUGUGACCAGUGGCUCACAGGAACUUAACCCUGUAUUUCCCCUAGGAGCAGAGGUUCUGCGUCAUCUGCCCCAGUGUUCAUGGUGACUUUAAAGAACAUAACUACCAUGAAUAACCGGAAUUGAAAGUAUACGUUUUUCUGGGAUAAGGGGGCAUAAUAUGCAUCAGAUUCUUGGUGGGGACUUCAGUUCUGCCAAGGUUUAAGAAAUCUUGUUUAUUGGUAAAAGUUGUUUCCACACUAACAUUCUUAAACUCCUAGGCCCACAACAUAGAAACUGGGGCUAGUGUGCUGGCAUUGAAGUGUUAAAGAGAGAAAGCAACACAGAUAACUGAAAAAUGGGGAUUCACAUCUUUAACUUGCCAUUUACUGAGCCAUCUCUUCAUUACUGCCUUUGCAGUUAGAGCUAGUUUGAAUCCUGUUUUUCAGUUUACUAGCUAUGUGAUCUUGGGAAAACGUUCUCUUUUUUUCUUUUUCAAUUAUAAUUUUAACUUUCAUUUUAGAUUUAGUAGUUACAUGUGCAGAUUUGUUACACAGGUUUAUUGCGUGACACAAAAUUUGGGAUAUGAAUGAUCCUGUCACUCAUGUAGUGAGAAUAAUACACAAUAGGUAGUUUUUCAGCUCCUGUCCCCUUUCCCUCUCCCCCGUCUGGUAGUCCCUAGGGUCUAUUGUUCCAUCUUCUUGUCCAUGUGUACCCAAUAUUUAACUCCCACUUAUAGGUGAACACAUGCAGUAUUUGGUUUUCUGUUCCUGCGUUACUUUGCUAAGGAUAGUGGCCUCUAGCUGCGUCUGUGUUGCUGCAAAGGACACGCUUUUGUUCUUUUUUAUGGCUGUAUAGUAUUCCAUGGUAUAUAUGUACCACAUUUUUCUUAUCCAAUCUACCAUUGAUGGGCACCUAGGUUGAUUCCAUGUCUUUACUAUUGUGAAUAGUGCUGCAAUGAACAUAUGAAAGCAUGUGUCUGUUUGGUAGAAUGAUUUGUUUUCCUUUGGGUAUAUAAGCCCAAUAUGGGUUUCCUUUGGGUAUAUACCCCAUAAUGGGAUUACUGGGUUGAAUGAUAGUUUCAUUUUAUAUUCUUUGAGAAAUCUCCAAACUACUUUCCGCAGUGGAUGAACUAAUUUGUAUUACCACCAACAGUGUAUAAGCAUUCCCUUUUCUCUGCAGCCUUGCCACUGUUGUUUUUAUUUUUUGACUUUUUAGCAAUAGCCAUUCUGACUGGCAUGAGAUGGUAUAUCAUUGUGGUUUUGAUUUUGGGAAAAAUUCCUAACCUCUCUAAGUUUCAAUUUUUUUUUUAUAUGUACAAAGGCAUACAAUAAUACCUAAGAGAAUUAUUUUAAAAAUUAAAUUAGAUCGUUCAUUUAAAGCACCAUGUAAAGUAUGUGGGACUAGCCAAAACCGUUUCUAUAAAUGUUAUUGUAGUAGACGCUUGAUAGAUAACUGUUAAUUCCCUUCUUUUUCUCUUUCCCACUUAGAAAUAGUAUAAGACCCAUUUUCCCAGAUGAAUUAGUAAGUGCACUUUGGCAUUGCCUCUUUCCUAACAAUAACUAGUGGAGAAAGCAGCACAGGCUCCCAGGGUCUCUGGUUUUCUUCCUCCUGAUCCCUCUGGUCUGUGCUCUGUGGCAGGGAAGGAUAAUUGGAGUGCUGUGGCACUGGUGGGGAGCAGUGUCCUGUCUCUUGGUUACAAGGGGAAUCACCUGUCUCGAACUCUGGACCGAGGAUGAAGGGCUCAUGCAUCAGCACUGUCCCAGGUGCUUGUCUCCCGAAGGGAAGAUCAGGUUGACUCCAGCCAUUCAGAAGCCUGUGAAUGACAUCUAAGUGCCCGCUUCAUAUCCACCUCAAGGGGACUCUUAGGAUUUCACUUGUCUAAUUUGAAAACCUGAAACCCUAUUUUCCUCAAGAAUUUUAGACUAAUCAUUUUCCUUAGCCUCUCAGAAUUCCCCUGACUUACCUUAAAUAUGUAAAAUAACGUAAGUGCAAUGACACAUUAUUGGAGAAUGAGGCAUUCUACAUUAAUGGAUUUUCCAGGUGAAAUUGGCCCCUUGCUGUGUUUUACUUUAAUAAUUUCAUAGAAUUGGCCAUAAGUUGUAUUAGAUGUCCUUUUGAGUUCUUAGAUGUGUUUAUAGAGGGUGGAUAAUUUAAACUUUUCUUAAUAACUAUGAAUCAACUGCUGUGCUAUGUUGUAGAACACAGCAACUCCCUCAGAGCCUGCUAACACAAGUAGAUUAAUUGACUCCAUAUAUUAAUAGUCCCAGUUUUGUUGCUUUUCAUUUCUUGUUGUCCUUGUCAUUGGAUUUUUUUUCUAGAUGACAUAAGUAUGUGAGGAAUGCCAUUGUAGCUCACAUUGUAGACUGCAUUAAAGGAUAAACACAACUAAUUUCUAAUUAUUUGCAUAACAAUACAGAUGCAACCAUUUGUGUACAUAUUUGUUUAAUAAUAUAUUGACAUUAUUCACCAGUUAUAAAUAUGAAUUGUGGCAUUAUAGUAGUACAUUUUAUGUUUAUAUUGAAGAUAUUAAUAUAAAACAUAUUUGAAUGGACUAAUAUAUAUACAAACUUCUGUAAAUAUUUUUCUCUCCCUUCUGUGAAUUCUUGCUCUAGAUGAGUCAAUGUAAUAGAACUAUUUUUGGGGGGGGGGCCCCAGGAUAAACUCCAAAAUAACCUCACAUUACUAAGAAUUCAAUGUUUUAGUUACAGUUAUGCUUUGUUUCAAUGUAGUGUGUAUACAUCAAUUCCUGUAUAGUUCUAGGCUCUCUGAAGUUAACAUUUAGGCAUCACUGUUUCCUGUCUAGAGGUGGCAUUUUAUCCAUGGACUCAUAGGAUAACCUCAACUCCUUUCAACUCUGGCAAAAAUAAUCUAUUGUUUACAGUAUAAUCUCACUCUCACUUAAAAAACAAACAGAAUGUAAAUAAACAACAUCAGGCUUUACUCUUCAGUGUCCCUGUUUUGCCCUGUAUGGAAAUAACCCAAACCAAAGCCUCUGUGUCUAUUUAUUUACUUUGGUGCUAGUUGAGAUGGUUAGUGAAGUGGGUCAUACAGUCAGCCUCUCAGUUUCUCUAACGCUACCACCAAAAGUGGCCAUCUCUGCCUACUUUGAAAACGACACAUUCAGUAAAAUAGAGACAAAGAAAUGUAGUAGCUAUGAAAUAAAAUGUCUUUCACAGAGAGACAGCAAAUGUGAGAGAAGGUGCAUUUAAUGUAAAAAACACAACUGGGGUGCCAUUCUUUUUCAAAGCACCCUAAGUGGAGAGUGCAAAUGUAAUGCAUGAUAAUGAAGGUGCCCAAUUUUGGAAAGUGGUUUUUAAAAUGCUGCUGCAGAAUGCUAUCCAGAGUCUCUUAGGAAAAAGCAAAAUCUCAUCAGGGACCUUUUCAAGCAUCAUUUUCUCCUGUUUUAAAUGAUCUCACGUGAACUUGCUGUUAGUCGACUUGGCACAGUUUCAAUUAUUCAUUAUUUUUGACCUCUUGCAAAAGGAACAAAGGGUUUGUUAUUAGUGAUUUGCCAGUUGGUUGCAAGACUUAAUCUAGGUUCUUAUGGAGCUCUUUGCCUCAUGUUUAUUUUGUUGUAUACAGUUGUAUGAUCUAAGGGAUUUCAUAGCCCCUCGAUCCUCAUUUUAGAAAAUUCUUCUCAAGUGAUUAGUGUGGAAGAAACUAUAGUCUUUGGGCACCAGGCCUCUGCUCAUAAUGAAGUUUUGCUGAAAUCUUUUCUCCUAGCAUGAGAGAGUUUAGUUUGAGAUAAAGAAGUGUAUUCUCUUUAUUUGUGCAAAGAUUCCUUUCUUCCAUGAGGUGAAAAUGCAAAUUUUCACGUGCUUCUUUCUUGAAAUUUCAUUUUUAUUAUAUAUAUUUAAGGUAUACAAUAAGAUGUUUUGAUAAUACAUAUACUUACUUAAAUAAUUAACUACAGUCAAGGAAAUCUUAACAUAUGUGUCACAUCAUAUAGUUACCUUUUGUGUUUUCAUGUUAAGAGCACUUAAAAUCUACUCUCUUAGCAAAUUUUCAAUAUACAGUAUAUUAUUAAUUAUAAUCCCCAUGCUCUAUAUAAUAUCUCUAGACUAUAUCUCUCUAAGUGUAGGUUUGUAUUCUUUGGUACAUCUCACUAUCCCCACUUCUGUUCCACUACUGGUAACCACCAUUCUACUUUGCUUCUAUGACUUCAACUUAUUUUAGAUUCCAUAUACAAUAAUGAAAUAUUUUUCUUUCUGUGUCUGGCUUAUUUUACUUAGCAUAAUGCCCUCAAGGGUCAUCCAUAUUUUCACAAAUGGCAGCAUCUCCUUCUUUGCUAAUGCUGAAUUGUGCCCCAUUGUGUAUAUGUACUACAAUUUCUUUAUCCAUUCACCUGUUGAUGGACACACGUUGAUUCCAUACCUUGGCUAUUGGGAAUAAUAUUGCAAUGAACAUGACAACACAGAUAUCUCAAUCAGGUGCUAAUUUUAUUUCCUUUGGGUAUAAACCCACCAGAGAAAUUAGUGGGUCAUAUGGUAGUUCUAUUUUUUUUUGAGGAAGUUCCAUACUGUUUUCCAUAAUGGCAGUACCAAUUUGCAUUUCCCCCAACAGCGUACAAGGGUUCCCCUUUCCCCACACCCUCGCCAACUUUAUUAGCUCCUGUCUUUUGGAUAACACUCAUCUUAACAGGCAUGAGGUAAUAACUCCUUGUCAUUUAUUUCCAUUUCCCUGAUAUUAGUGAUGCUGAGUACAUUUUCAUAUACUUUGUAUAUGAAAUGUGUAUCUUUGGAAAAAUGUCUACUCAUGUUCUUUGCCCAUAUCAAAAUCAGGUUAUUUUGUUUUGGUUUUUGCUAUUGAGUUGUGAGUUGGGAAAAGUGGAUAUUCACAUGCAAAAUAAUGAAACUGGUCCUUUAUCUUCCACAAUACAAAAAUUAACUCAAAUGGAUUAAAGACCUAAAUGUAGGAUCUGAAACUGCAAAACUCCUACAAGACAGCAAGAGAAAAGCUUACUGAUAUUGGCUGUAGCAAUGAUUUUUUGGAUAUCACACCAAAAGCUAAAUAAAAAGAAACAAGAAACAAGUGGGAAUCCAUCAAACUAAAAAGCAUCUAUAAACAAAGGAAACAACUAACAAAAUCAGAAGGGAGCCUGCAGAUUGGGGGAAAAUAUUUGUAAACCAUAUAGCUGAUAAGGAGUUAAUAUUGCAUACUUUUAAGUGUACAAAUAAGAAUGUCUUAUUAUUUGGGUCAUAUGUCGCCUACUGCAUUGUCUGCAAUGCUGUGUAAUAUACGUAAUAUAUGGUUUAUGCUAUGUUAUUACUUUUAUAAAGUACAAAAAUUUCCAGCUAAAGAAUUUUGGACUUGGAGGGCAAGUAGAAUACAGAAAGUCACAUAGGAGAUAAAAGCUGCUACAUGGGUACACAGGAGGAAGAAAUCUGAUUCAUGAGACAACAGCCCAGGCUCCAUGGGGGAAAAAAAGUUCUAUUGGGAAAAGGAUGAGUAUUGUUUUACAUGCAGGAAUCAUAAGGGACUGUAGGGUGAGGUUUGCUAUGUUUUCAAUGUUUACAUUCCCCCAAAAUUCAUAUGUUGAAACUUAACCCCCAAUGUGAUAGUGUUAAGAAGUGGGACUUUUAGGAGGUGAUUAGGUCACCUAAUGGGAUUAGUGCCCCUUCUAAAAGAGGCUUGAAGGAUCCUGUUUGUGCAGACACACAGAAGAUGCCAUUAAGAGAAACAGGCCCUCACCAGACCCUGAAUCUGCUGGUGCCUUGAUUUUGGACUUUGCAGCCUUCUGAACUGUGAGAAAUAAAUUUCUGUUGUUUAUAAAUUCUGCAGUCUAAGGUAUUUUGUUAUGGCAGCUUGAAUAGACCAAGGCAGAGUUUAUAGUCAGCAUAAAGAGUAUGAGUAAAGAAGCAGAGUAAAAAUGGCACACAUUUCUGUAGGAGAAAUCAGAAGCAACCUAACUAGAGAGUGUCCUAAAAAGAUUUUAACUGAUCUCUUUGGUAAUAACACAUAUUGCUGUGGUUGAUGUGAUGGUGGGUGUUGAGGGCUGUGAAGAACUGUUUGAUAGCACCGUGUUGCCCUGAUUGAGUCUUACAAUGAUGAUGCAGUGGCUGUGAUCCUAAUGGACUGUCGCAGUCAUGCUACAGCUGUAUUUCAUGGUAACAUGCUAGUUGUGAUUGUUCUUGGUCAUUUGUCUGAUGUAUAAUGGCUCCUUUGAAAUACUAAAUUAUGAUUAUGCAUAUAUGUAUUUACACAUGAUUUAUAAUUGAAGGAAAUUUGAUAGGCUACAUACAGAAUAUUUUGGGUCUGAAUCAAAUCUUUCUUUUAAAUUUUGUACUUUUGGAGUUCAAAUUUCUUUAUCUAGAAGUAUUAUUUCAGAGCAGAUUUGGAAUAAAUAGUGUUCUACUGUAAUAUAGCACAGGCUGAAUUCAAAGAGAAAGCACAUAAAAACCCCAAGAAAUUAUAGUGUUCGGGUGUCUAAAAAGUUAGUAUUUGUAGGGAAAUAUAGUAGGUAUGUGGGUAUGAGGAUCAGAUUAAAUCUGCCACAGUGCAACACACACACACACGCACACACACACAUACACACACACACACAGAGUAACUUCAGAAAGGGAAAGCUAUACAAGAAUACACUGGAAAUAGCACAUAUUAUCUUUCAGCCAUUUUUUCCUUUGGACCUGAAUGUUUUUCAAAACUAGCUUGUAGAGUGCAAUGGGUUUCACAGAGAAUUCAAACAACCCAGCAUUUUUCAGGAUACAAUCUGAGUUCAAUUGAUCUGCCUCUUUCUUUUCUGGACAGGGCAGGGUGGUGAAGAACGUGGGAGGGUUGGAAGGAUUGGUUUGUCUCUAUCUCAUAAGGAAUAUCCUUUUUGGGCACUUCAUGUCAGUCCCCAUCCAGCUCUUUCCAGCCCUCUGGCUUUGGGCAAGUUAAUGAAAUUUUCUACAACUUGAUAUUCUCAUCUGCAAAAUGGAGAUAAAAUGCCUGUGUGGCAGGUUUGUGAUAAUGUAUGGAAAGCAUGUAACUCAGUGUCUAGCACAUAUUACAUGCUCACUGCUGGCCAGUGUUGCACACCCUCUAUGAGCAAGGCACUUUGACUCAUGCUUCUCAUGUAAUCCUCACAAUAAUCCUGUGAGUAUUAUUAUGAUUCUUAAUUUACAGAUAAAAAUCUUGAAACCCAAGGGAGUAAAGUGAUUUAAACAAGGUUAAGCCAACUCAAGAAUAAAAGCCAGGAGUUUAACUUUGACCUUGCAAUGCCAAGCCUCCAACAUGCGGCUGCAUUAAGUUCAAUCCCUCCCUGUUUUUUCUCUAUCUCCCCCUUUCCUCUUCUCUGCAGUUCUACCUUCUUCAAUCUCUUUGGAGAUUUUUUUUAUACUUUAAGUUCCGGGGUACAUGUGAAGAAUGUGCAGUUUUGUUACAUAGGUAUACACAUGCCAUGGUGGUUUGCUGCACCCAUCAACCUGUCACCUACAUUAGGUAUUUCUUCUAAUGUUAUCCCUCCUCUAGCCCCCAACCCUGCAACAGGCCGCAGUAUGUUAUGUUCCCCUCCCUAUGUCCAUGUGUUCUUAUUGUUCAACUCCCACUUAUGAAUGAGAACAUGUGGUGUUUGGUUUUCUGUUCUUGUGAGAGUUUGUUGAGAAUGAUGGUCUCCAGCUUCAUCCAUGUCCCUGCAAAGGACAUGAACUCAUCCAUUUUUAUGGCUGCAUAGUAUUCCAUGGUAUAUAUGUGCCACAUUUUCUUUAUCCAGUCUAUUAGUGAUGGGCAUUUGGGUUGGUUCCAAGUCUUUGCUACUGUGAAUAGUGCCACAAUAAACAUAUGUGUACAUGUGUCUUUAUAGUAGAAUGAUUUAUAAUCCUUUGGGUAUAUACCCAGUAAUGGGAUUGCUGGGUCAAAUGGUAUUUCUGGUUCUAGAUCCUUGAGGAAUCGACACACUGUCUUCCCCAAUGGUUGAACUAAUUUACACUCCCACCAACAGUGUAAAAGCAUUCCUAUUUAUGCACAUCCUCUCCAGCAUCUGUUGUUUCCUGACUUUUUAAUGAUCACCAUUCUAACUGGCAUGAGAUGGUAUCUUAUUGUGGUUUUGAUUUGCAUUUCUCUAAUGACCAGAGAUGAUGAGCUUUUUUUCAUGUUUGUUAGCUGCAUAAGUGUCUUCUUUUGAGAAGUGUCUGUUCAUAUCCUUUGCCCACUUUUUGAUGGGGUUGUUUUUUUCUUGUAAACUUGUUUAAGUUCUUUGUAGCCCUUUGUCAGAUGGAUAGAUUGCAAAAUUUUUCUACCAUUAUUUAGGUUGCCUGUUCUUUCUGAUGAUAGUUUCUUUAGUUGUGCAGAAGCUCUUUAGUUUAAUUAGGUCCCAUUUGCCAAUUUUGGCUUUUGUUGCCAUUGCUUUUGGUGUUUUAGACAUGAAGUCUUUGUCCAUGCCUAUGUUCUGAAUGGUAUCACCUAGGUUUUCUUCUAGGAUCUUCAUGGUCCUAUGUCUUAUGUUUAAGUCUUUGAUUCGUCUUGAGUUGAUUUUUGUAUAAGGUGUAAGGAAGUGGUCCAGUUUCAGUUUUCUGCAUGUGGCUAGCCAGUUUUCCAAGCACCAUUUAUUAAAUAGGGAAUCUUUUCCCCAUUGCUUGUUUAUGUCAGGUUUGUCAAAUAUCAGAUGGUUGUAGAUGUAUGCUGUUAUUUCUGAGGCCUCUGCUCUGUUCCAUUGUUGUAUACAUCUGGUAGCAGUACAAUGCUGUUUUGGUUACUGUAGCCUUGUAGUAUAGUUUGAAGUCAGGUAGUGAGGUGCCUCGAGCUUUGUUCUUCUUGCCCAGGAUUGUCUUUGCUAUGCAGGCUCUUUUUUGGUUCCAUAUGAAGUUUAAAGUAGUUUUUUCCAGUUCUGUGAAGAAAGUCAGUGGUAGCUUGAUGGGGAUAGCAUUGAAUCUAUAAAUUACUUUGGGCAGUAUGGCCAUUUUCAUGAUAUUGAUUCUUCCUAUCCAUGAGCAUGGAAUGUUCUUCCAUUUGUUUGUGUCCUUGAGCAGUGGUUUGUAGUUUUCUUGAGCAGAAGUUUGUAGUUCUCCUUGGAGAGGUCCUUCACAUCCCUUGUAAGUUGUAUUUCUAGGUAUUUUAUUCUCUUUGUAGCAAUUGUGAAUGGGAUUUCACUGAUGAUUUGGCUCUCUGUUUGUCUAUUAUUGGUGUAUAGGAAUGCUUGUGAUUUUUGCACAUUGAUUUUGUAUCCUGAGACUUUGCUGAAGUUGCUUAUCAGCUUAAGGAGAUUUUGGGCUGAGAUGAUGGGGUUUUCUAAAUAUACAAUCAUGUAAUCUGCAAACAGAGACAAUUUGACUUUCUCUAUGUUGAAUAGGGGUGGUGAGAGAGGGCAUCCUAGUCUUGUGCCAGUUUUCAAAGGGAAUGCUUCCAGUUUUUUCCCAUUCAGUAUGAUAUUGGCUGUGGCUUUGUCAUAAAUAGCUCUUAUUAUUUUGAGAUAUGUUCCAUUGAUACCUAGUUUAUUGAGAGUUUUUAGCAUGAAGCGGUGUUGAAUUUUAUCGGAGGCCUUUUCUGCAUCUAUUGAGAUAAUCAUGUGGUUUUUGUCACUGGUUCUGUUUAUGCGAUGGAUUACGUUUAUUGAUUUGCGUAUGUUGAACCAGCCUUGCAUCCCAGGGAUGAAGCAGACUUGAUCGUGAUGGAUAAGCUUUUUGACGUGCUGCUGUAUUCGGUUUGCCAGUAUUUUAUUGAGGAUUUUCGCAUCAAUGUUCAUCAGGGAUAUUGGCCUGAAAUUUUCUUUUUUUGUUGUGUCUCUGCCAGGUUUUGGUAUCAGGAUGAUGCUGGCCUCAUAAAUUGAGUUAGGGAGGAUUCCUUCUUUUUCUGUUGUUUGGAAUAGUUUUAGAAGGAAUGGUACUGGCUCCUCUUUGUACCUCUGAUAGAAUUCAGCUCUGAAGCCACCUGGUCCUGGACUAUUUUUGGUUGGUAGGCUAUUAAUUACUGCCUCAAUUUCAGAACUUGGUUUAUUCAGGGAUUCAGCCUCUUCCUGGUUUAGACUUGGGAGGGUGUAUAUGUCCAGGAAUUUAUCGAUUUCUUCUAGAUUUUCUAGUUUAUUUGUAUAGAGGUACUUAUAGUAUUCUCUGAUGGUAGUUUGUAUUUCUGUGGGAUCAGUGAUGCUAUCCUCUGUAUCAUUUUUCAUUGCAUCUAUUUGAUUCUUCUCUCUUUUCUUCUUUAUUAGUCUGGCUAGUGGUCUAUUUAUUUGCUGAUCUUUUCAAAAAUGCAGCUCCUGGAUUCAUUGAUUUUUUUCAAGGAUUUUUCAUGUCUCUAUCUCUUUGGAUAAUUUUUUAAAGAGUUAAAAAUCAUGGCUUAUCAAAUCAAAUGGAAUGAAACAAUUUUUUCAUUCUAGUACAUUAAAACAAAUAUGACAUCAUUAUAUCUCAUAAUGCCACUAAUUUCCAUUGUUUUAUAGUUUAAAAAUGCAUGCUCAAGUAAUACAUAUUAAUUGCAGACAUUAGGAAAUAUAAAUAAGCAUAAAUUGCAUGAAUACCAAAUACACAGACAAUCACAGGCAGCAUUAUAUUGUAUAUUCUACAAUUCCUAGCUAUCCAUAUAAAUUUUUUUCUCUUAUAACACUAUCAUAUUAUAAUUAGGUUUAUAAUGUGCCUUUAUCAGUUAACAAUCAUUCAAAAAUAUCUUUCCAAGUUGGCACAUGUGCAUCUAGAUAAUUAUUUCUAUUGGCUACAUAACAUUCCAUUAUAUAGAAGCAUUUGAUUAAAAUAGCUUUUAUUAUUGGACACUUAUGCUGUUUUUAAUUUUUUGCUUUUGUAAACUAUAUACUCUUGCAUAUAUAUCUAUAUAUCUAUAUAUAUCUAUAUCUAUCUAUCUAUAUCUAUAUAUCGAUAUCUAUCUAUCUAUCUAUCUAUAUAUAUAUAUAUAUCUCCUUAGGAUGAUUCCCUAGAAGUGGAAAUUAUGGGUUGGUGUUUACACACUUCUCUGGCUUUAAAUAUAUAUCACCAAAUUGCUUUCAUUUUAAGAAAGAACCAACUUAUACUCCCUCUAGUAAUGUAUGAGAAUGCCCAUUUUCACACUCCCACACUAAUGAUUAUCAUUCCUUUUAAUCUUUGAGAACUCCAUUAGACACAAAAAAAGUAACUUUAUUGCUUUUCUUUGCAUUCCUAUGUCUAUCCAUUCUAUAAAAUAAUCACAUUUCUCAGACUACUAUCUAAACAAAAUGUAAACUUCCUUAGGUCAAAGACAAAAUCUCAAAAUAAUGAAAUAUUUAUAUCUGCCAUCCUUCUAAAAUAGAAUAAACCCCCAAAGAGGCAUUUGAGACACUACAUGGCAGAAAACCAUGGAUUUAACAGCCUUAUUAAGAACAUCCUUGAAUUUUGUUUUUAAACCUCGAGCUCAUUGUUCUCAGAACUCCUCUGCUGGGGAAACCUUGUCUUGACUGUUUGAGGGCAACACUUUUACAGGCAGAAUCUCAAUCUCAAAACAGAGGAGAGGAGAAGGUUAAGACAUCUAAGCCUGGCAUCUCCUGAUUUUUGUGUUCUAGCCUGGACUGAUGGGAUCCAAGCAGCACUAAGAAGAUAGUAACCUUUAGGGUAUGUUAAUUCCUUAAACAACUAUCCUCAAUUUGGAAACUCAGCAAGACCAAGCUAUGUUUGGCUGCACAUGGUUUUCUACUUAAUUUAACUGUCCCUCUGUAUUAUUUAAACCAACAUAAGUUUUUAAAUUUCAUGUCAAAAAUUAACUUAUACUUGAAUCAACAGAAGUUUAUUUAUUAAGAAGCAUGUGCUGUUUAAAGAGACUUCCUUAAAAUAGCAAGUUUUAUUUAACUAAAUGUUAGGAAAUGGAGAGAAUCUACUCAAAUCUGUGAUUAUAGCCUGGGCUCUCACAUUAUCUAAGAACCUUCCUUGGCUAAACAUUUUAAUGAUUGGUCAAACCUGGUUCAAGAGAAAGGUACUGCUGUGUUAUUACAAGGAAACUUUAAUGACAGAGUUGCCAUUGGGAAAGUCACAAAAUCCACAUGAAAUCUCACUUUAUGCACUGAUCACAAGGCACUUGAUCUUGGCAUUCAAUGGUGUUUCGCAUAAUUUAAAAGUUGAUAGCAAAGUGAAAUUUGUUCAACAACCUUUGUCACCAUGCCCUGGAAAUGAGACGGAUUAACUCUUUGAUAUCCACUCAAAAAGAACCAGAAUGUGAGUGAGAUGGUAGACAGUGGUUUGUUUUCGUUUUUCAUAUAUGAAAAAAGGCAGUUCUUCCAAUUACUCCCAACGUGAAUAUUCAAAUGAACUGGAUGAACGUUACAAUAUGUACACUGUAAGACGGUAAAGGAUUAUAAAACACUUAGGAUUUAUGAAAAAACAAAAUAUUGUAAUAUAGGGUGAUACCUCAGAUUCCUUGAAGAAAGUGAGAAAGGAAUGGAAGGAAGAAUGUGAGCUAUCACUUAUAUGGCAUAUCUAAUCAUGCAAUUCUUAUGUGCCAGACACUGUUUUAAGUGUUUUUUAUGCAUUCUUUCAACCCUCCAAACAGCCUCAUGAGGUAGUUAUUUUAUUUUGCAGAAGAUAAUGUUCAGAUACAGAGAGGUUAAAUAACUUACUAAAGAUUUCCCAGCUGGUAAGUGGCAGAGCUAUAAUAUGAGUUUUCUUUUGAUUUAAGAUAGGACAUCUAGAUGCCCAGGUUAAAACAGUACUGCCAAGCAUGCCCACAAGGAAAUAUACAACAUCACCAGGGAGUUUUAUAGUGGGCCUUUGAGGAAGGUGGUAUGUUUGCAAAUAUCACAAAAUUAAAUAUACCCUUAAGAACUAAUGUGACAGCUUGGCAUUGGAGUAGAAACUGCACUCGUUUCAGAAAACGGGUUUCUAAGAUCCAGUCUACCACUAAAUAUCUGUGGAAUCUGAGUCAAAACAUGUCAUUUUCUGGGGCUCAGUUUCCUCUACCUUAAAACAAAACAGAUGGAUGACAUACUCAAAAAGACAUUCUACAAUUCUUUGAUAAGACAAACAUCUACACCGUAGUCUGGUGGGCAGAUCUUUCUGUCAAGAAAGACCUCACAGAGGGCACAGUGGUAGGGUUGUCUGACAUGAAAUGGAUUCAGUACAAAAUGACUUGCUCAUAUUCUGAGAUACUUCUACAUCUCUGUGUUCUGUAGAUUCCUCAUCUGGGAGACAAGCUAAAACAGAAAGCAAAGUGGCAUUUGUGGGUUCGGGAUACUGUGGAGCAAACCCUUCUUGUUUCUCUUAGAGAUAAGCUUCAGUGAUAAGGGAGAGGGUAUUGAUACCAGCAACAGAAAACCUAUUCCUAAAUGAAAUUCAAAUCAAAUGAUUCCACCCUUCCGAGAAUUCUCCAACAGUGGCUUUUCCAGCAGCAGGAAUCUGCAAACAGAGUCCAGCAGUUAAUUUCAGUCUCCCAGCUUUGCCCAUAUAACUGUUCCAAUCUUAGAUUUACAAAGCCAUUUCUGAUGAAGACAAUAAAAGCCUCCUUUCCUUCCUGUGUUGCCUUGUGCUCUGAUACUUUAUCAAAGCACAUAGACAGUGGGUUGUUCUUAACCACAUAUAAAGCACAGCAGCCUCACAAAUCAUGUUUUACUAUUGCACUAUGGAAACACCAAGGUUAAAAGGUAAGUCUGUGGCAUAACCAUAUUGAUUAAUUGAUGUAAGAAAGGUCAGGCUAAUCUUUAUCUUGCUUGAAAGACUACUUCUACAUGGCAGGUGUGUUCCUGUGUGAAAAGAUAAAAAAGAAAAUAUGGAGCCCCAAUGCAAAGAAAAUGGGGGAAAUCUUAUCAAACAUCACUCAGAAGAAGGUUAGUGUAAAGAGUCCUCAUGCAAAGAAAAUAGAGAAAUCUUGUUAAACAAUCUGUCAGAAAGGCAAAGCACUAACAUGGGGCCUGGAAGGUGGAUGCUAUUUAGAUUUCCCUUUAUUUUUAGUAGGCUUUGUAGGAAACACCUUCACCAGUGAAAGAAUCACAGAAGUACCAGGGCAAAGGUAGUGACUUUAGAUAAUAGUCUCACCCUCUUCCGUGUUCCUUGAGAACAGAAAAAGAGAGCUUCACACCUCUCUUCCCAACAAGACUGGAAUCUGUUGAACUAGCAAAACUAGCUUCUCUGACCAAUUCCUGCCUAGGUGAAAAGCAGACAUAACACUGCCUUUCAUAACAUGGCUUCUGUAUCCCCAGGGUGUUGAGGAACGAGGGAUUUAUCCCUAGCACACAUGGAGAUGCACAUAUAUCUAAGAAUGGCUUGUCCAGCUUCAUUUCUGGCCUGAAAGAGAUAAAGAGAUAACAAGGUUUGACAGCUGAAAUUUAGAACCCUGAGAACACAGAAAGAUACAAGUGCAAGUAAGGAAGGACUAAAGGCUAAAUAUGUGUAAGUGUGGAGAGAGAAAAAUGAUCUAGGGACCACAAAGACACAAUGCUAAUCCUGAAAUACACUGCUGUUGAAUGAGAAGAAGGGACUAGGCUGGCACAGGGAGGGGCCUAGAAGGGUGGGUGGAAGCGGGAGUGCAUGUUGGAAAUUUUUUCUCAUUAAGGUUGUAUUAGUCAGGGUUGUCCGGAGAGACAGAACCAAUAGGAAAUAUAUAUACGUGUGCAUAUAGAUGUGCGCGCACACACACACACACACACACACACACACACAUACAGCAGAGGGGAUUUAUUAGGGGCAAUGGUUCAGGUGAGUAUGAGAAGUCCUGUGACAGACUGACUGCAAGCUGGAGACCCUGGGAUGCCCAUAGCAUGGUUCAGUCAAAGUCCAAAGGAUUCAGACCCAAAGAAGCCAAUGGUGUAACUCAGUCCAAGGAUGAAGGCCUGGGAACCUGGGGGAGAGGGUGACUGCUGGUGCAAGUCCCAGAAUCCAAAAGCCAGCCAGCCUGGAGAUUUGAUAUCCAAGGUCAGGAGAAGGAGGGUGCCCCAGUGUCAGGAGAAAGAGGUGAAUUUGCCUUUCCUCUGCCUUUUUGUUCUAUCUGGGCCCCUAGCCAAUUGAAUGGUGCUCACCCACAUUGGGGAUGGAUCUUCCCCACUCAGUCCACCAACUCGUAACACCAAUCUCUUUGGGAAACACCUUCACAGACACAUCCAGAAAUAACACCUUACCAGCUCUCUAGGUAUCCCUUAAUCCCAUCAAGUGGACACCUAAAGUUAACCAUCACAAUGUUCAUACCUGAAAAAGACCUGUAGUAAGUGUCUGAUACUAGAUGGACUAGACUAUAAUGUAGUCAACAAGCAUGCCUCAGAGGCUUACUACAAUAAAAGUUUAUUUUUGGCUCAUGCAAAGUCCAAUGCAGUUGGGUGUCACUUCUUCAUCUUAUACCUCUGGCAUUUAGAACAUGUGGCCUUACCACAGCUAUGAGGAGAUGCCUGGAAGGUUUCAUGAGAUACCUUGAAGGACAGAUCUGGAAGUGGGUUGCGUCAUGUUUCUUACAUCAUGCUGGUCUGGGUGUAGUCACACGGCCCUCAACCAACUGCUAGUGGAGACAGGGAAAUAGCCCAUAAAAAGGUGAUUUGUCUAGCUUUGUCUUAGAACACCAGAGAUUUAAGUUUUCCUAAAGAAAAAAAAUUCACUAUUUUUUUCUGCACUAUUAAAUAUCAGAAGGAGUUACCAGAGGAUGUUUGGAAACUUCACUACUAUUUUAGACACUAGAGAUAGGAGACAGGACUCAUCUUUCUUUAAGUUCUACUUUUUAUAUACAAUGUUAUGCUUUUAUUACUGUGUAGGUUUUAUAGGGAAAACAUGAAAAGUAAGCUAGCUAUUUGAAAUUAUGUUCUUAUUAAACUGAGCUUAAUUAUCCUUUUAUUCACUGAUCAUGGCUACUACUUACAAGUAGGUCGUAGGCAAGGAAAUUUUUAUAUUAGGGAAGUGAAAAAAGAAAGGGUGGAAUAGGAGAUUAAAUGUAUUUUAUUCACAAAUUUACCCAUUUUGUGGCAUAAGAGCAACAUGAUUAAUAAUAAAUACUUAAGGACAUAAAUCAUAAUACACUACUAAUCCAUAUGUAAAAUAUAAAGUCUAACCUUAACAUUAUAGUCAUUGAGAUUCUGAUAGGUUCUGUGAGACACAUUUUGCAUUUAUGUGUCAUUUGCUUCAAUAUAUGUUAAUAGAUGAUAAUUAUAUGCUUUUCAUUUGGACAGCCCUUAUCCAAAAACGAUUUAAUAUUCGCAUGUCUAAUGGGUUGCACAUGGCUAUUGAUCAUUUGGAUCAGAAUUCAAUGUAAACUGCUGCUGGUUAGAUUGGGAAUUGUAAUCAUGGUAAAAAAUAAAUUACAAGGUCUCUGAAGAUCAGUUCUGUUUUCAGAGUAGAUGUGCUUUUAGAUAUGAAACACCAAAUAGCGAGGUUAGAGGAAAUCUCUGGUGGUAUCAUUCCAUGGGCUUUCUGAGAAAUACAUCCACAGAUCAUCUGUAACCCCUCCACCAUUAUACCAGCAAUAUGAAAUUUAUAGGGAAUGGUAUUUUACUAUAUAAAGAUAGUGACAAACACCAGUAAGUUAUUUGUGAAUUAUAACUAUAGGCAAAAAGGGAGGCAUAAUUUGUAAAUAUAAAUUUUGGUGUAAUAAAAUGUUGUACUCUUAAAAUUAUGUGAUUUUAAAUAUAGAGAGAUUUUGUUUGGAUUAGAAGACAUCUAAGUGAAUAUUAAUUUAGAUAAAGUAGACCUCUAGUGGCUUCAAUAGUAAAAGGAUUUUAUCUUUGCUUUGAAAAUUAUUUUCAGUCUAAUUACAGAAGAAAUACAUUUCUCAUUUAGAAAACUUGGAAAAUUUAGAAAACUCUAUUCAAGACCACAAAGGAUACUCACCAUCCAACAGCCCCGAUAUAUUACUAUUAAUGUCUUAAGAUAUCUAGUUCAGGUCCUUCCCUUUGAAUUUUUUUGGUCAUGAGAUAUUUUAAAUAAAUAGAAACAGAAAAACAAUAUAUGAAAACCAUACACAUCUACCAUCUAGAUUUAAAUGUUAACUUUUUGCUAUAUUUACUUCUGACCUCUCUUAUUCACAAAUAAGUAGAUUACAGAUAUAAAUACUCUGCUUCUUUUUCCUCCCUCCUUUUUCUGGAAUUAACUGCUGUGAAAUUUCUGUUUUGUGAUUUUACUGUGUAUUAUCUAUAAACAAUAUAUAGUACUGUUUUCAUGUUUGAAAAGUAAAUGUUAUCAUCAUCACCUUCUUUGACAUUGUGAUUAUAAUGGUGAACACAUUAAGUACCUGCUGUCUUUCAGGCAGUGUUCUAAAGAAUAUUACACAUAUUACCCUUAGAAAGUGGGUGCUAAUAUUAUCAUCAUUUUAUAGACAAGAAAACUGAGUACAGAGAGGGUAAUUAACUUACAUAGGGUCUUACCACUUUCUCUUUUUUUCCCACUUACUCUUUUAUUUAUCCAUAAUGAUAUGUAUGACUCUCAUUCAUUCAAUUUAACUGUUGUAUAGUAUUCCAGCAUAUGAAUGUCAUAGUUUAUCUGUUCCCCUAUUGACAGAACUUUAAAUGUCCUUUAUGUAUUUCCUCGUGCCUAUUGGUGGGAGUUUCUUUAGAGUGGUUACAUAGAAGUUGAAUUACUGAGUUAAAAAUAAUGUACAUUUUAUAUUCUGUAUGAUAUGGAAAAAAUAUAUAUGAAUAUUACAGCUCUCAUUGCUUUUCUAAACUUUCUUAUAAAUUCUAAUUAUCUGUAUUUUCUUCCUUUGCUGAUAUAUUUUCUGUGACAGUUUAGUGACCAUUUUUUUCCUUUCAUUCUUUACAUAUUUCAUUUCUUUUUUUUUUUUUCUCACUGCAUAGGCAAGGACACCCAGUUCAAUAUGGAGGAGGAAUGGUGACAGAGAGAAUACUUGUCUAUUUCAUGAUUAAAAAAAGAAUGCUUUGUAAGCGUGCAUGGUAUAAGUGUGCAUAGUAGUUGGCUUUCAAGAGCCAAGAAAGAAGGCAAUGAAGGACUAUACCUACAACUGGCCUGGGGACACUUUCACUUUAUUCUGUUGGUCACAGAGUCCAUCCAGAUGAAAGGGGCCAAAAAUAAACUCCAUUUACUGAUGGGGGAGUGGGCCCUUGAUGGGGAGGCCAUAUUGCAGAAUAACACAUGGGUUGUUAUUAAGUGUGCAUUAUUAAGUGUCUGUAUUUGUUGUACGUAUGCAGUGAGUACCCCUUAUCAGAUUGAGAGUGCUUCUUCUAGUACUAUUUUGCUAAGAAAUUUGUUAAAUCUUAUUUAAUGCUUUUCUUCACCCUUGAUAGAAUUACAUUGUUUUUCUUUUCUAACCUGCGAAUGUGGAGCAUUACAUAGCACAAUGUCUAAAGUUUAACAAUCCAUGUAUUUCUGUGGCACCACAUAUUUAGUCAUGAUAUUUUAUUUUUUGACAGUGCUGGUAUUGUUUUCUAAUAUUCUAUUCAGGUUUUUUACAUCCAUAUUCAAAACUGAGGUUUGUCUAUAAUUCUUCUUUCUUGAAUUAUCUUAUAAAUUAUUGAUAUGAAAGCUUUUAGCUUUAUGGAGCGAGUUGGAAACUUUAUUUUUUUCUACACUUUUGAAAUAGUUUCUGAGAUUUUGGUAGAACUUGCCUGUCAAACUACUGGGGCAAGAUCUAGGGGGGCCUACUAGUGGAAAUUUUCAAUUAUUGCUCUGUUUUUUAAGUGGUUAUAAGGCUAUUAAGUUUUUCUACUUAUUAUCAAGUCAUCAGUAGUAAGUUACAGUUUCCUAGUUAUUUUUCUAUUUUGUCUGAGUUUUCUAAUUUAUUGGCAGAAAAGUUUUCACAGUACUUCUUUUGCAAAUUUUAAGAAUCAUUACUCUAUCUGUGACUGUACUGCACAUUUUAUUCCUGACAUUGAUGUGUAUUUUCCCUUUUAUUUUUAAUCAGUCUUGCCAAAGGAUUGCCUAUUUUAUUAUUCUUAGAUAUGGCAACUCAUUAAGAACAAAUUGUAUGAUGAAAAACUCUUCACACAUGGCAGGUUAAGGCUCUACUUUAUCCCCCAAAAGAGUUAUAGCCUUCUUCAUAGUCAUUCACAUUCUUGAGUAAGUUCACAAACCCAGAGCCCCUAGAACGGAGGAGAGACUUGAUACUGUGAACAUCAUAAAUAGUGUCACAGACUGCAUUUCCCAAAAAUGGCUGCCCUCCAAUGGCUCCCAACCCAUGUGUUAUUCUGCAAUCUGACCUCCCCAUCAAGGGCCCACUCCCCCAUCAGUAAGUGGGUUUAUUUUUGGCCCCUUUCAUCUGGGUGGACUCUGUGCCAAUAGAAUAAAGUGAAAGUGUCCCCAGGUCAGUUCUAGGUAUAGUCCUUCAUCGACCUGUUUCUUGCCUCUUGAAAGCCAACAAUGGUAUAAGAAAUGUGACUACUCUGAGACCACCAUGUUAUGAAAAACCAAGCAACACAAAGAAAGAAAGGUCAGGGAGUAUGGCGGUGCCAGGCCUGUAAAUAGAAAGCCAUGUUGAAUGUCCAACCCAGUUAAGCUUUCAGUUGAGUCCAGUCCAAGUUCUAUGUGACUGUUAUUCAUGAGAGACUCUUAAGAAAGACCUUACCCACCGGCACCCAUUCCAACUAUAGAAAUAUAAGAGAAAAUAAUUUAUUUGGCUCUUUUAAGCCUCUAAAUUUUGGAAUUGUUUGUUACACAGCCAUAGAUACCUAGACCAAGUAGACACCAUAAACCCUUCCCCCACCCUUAACCUUCUCCCUAAGAAAACUCUUGUCUUUAACAUAAUGCAUAGUAUGACUUAUGCAUAACAUACGCAUUAGAUAAAUAUGAAUAAGAGAGACAUGCAUAUUAUUAAGAGAUUGUUGGAUGCCAGCUCUGAGGUAACACUAUUCCCUAAAGGACCCAAAAUGCCACUGUGGUUCCAUUUGGAUACCAGGUGAUAGAUGUAGUAUUGACUCAAGUUCACGUAACAGUGAGCUUAUGUUCUGAAAAUUAUCUGAAAUUAUCCUAAAGAUACUCAGUGUUUUUUUUUUUUUUUUUUUUUUUUUUUUUGCAUCAUAAGCCAAUGUAAGUUGUUUAAAGCUGAUAAAGUGGUAAAUAUAAAAACGUUACAUAAUACUACAAAAGUGAAUUAUUUCAAGGUAUAAGGAAUGUAGUAACAAGAUCAAAAAGAAAAGAAGGCAACUGCAAGGAAAUAAAAUAACAGGAGUUUUUAAAAUCAUUUACAACAGGAAAUAAAUGUUGAUUGAGGAAAUAAAAGACUAAGAUAGUAUAUGUCAUUAGAUUAAUACUUAUAUAGGGCUUGCUAGGUACAAGGCUCUGUUAUAAGUGGUUUACAAAUAUUAACUCAUUUAAUCUUCAGAACAAUCCUUUUAUGUAGGUAUUUUUAUUUAUCCUCAUUUUAUAGAUAAGGAAACUGACCCAGAGAGAGGUUAAAUAUAAUUAGCCAAAGCCACCAGCAAGGAUGCAAAUAGUUAUAAUGAUAGCCAUUACAAGAAGCUGAAACAAGACUACAAACCUCUCAAGCCAGGUUCUUGCUUUCAGAUUAGGCCUAUGCCAUAAUGUUGGCAGGCAGACAACUUCUUCUGGAGUCUCCUGAGGCUGGAUGUUCUUCAUUCUUAUUCUUUCCUUCAUGAUAACUUGGAGCUAGCAUCCCAGACAUACUGCACAGAUUUCUGUCCAUUUCUUUUCUUUCUUUCUUUUUUCUUUUUGAGAUGGAGUCUCACUCUGUCGCCCAGGCUGUUAUGCAGUGGCAUGAUCUCAUCUCAUUGCAACCUCUGCCUCCCAGGUUCAAGCGAUUCUCCUGCCUCAGCCCCUCAAGUAGCUGGGAUUAAAAUCACGUGCCACCAUGCCUGGCUAAUUUUUGUAUUUUUAGUAGAGAUGGGGUUUCACCAUGUUGGCCAGGCUGGUCUUGAACUCCUGACCUCAGGUGAUCCAACCAUCUCGGCCUCCUAAAGUGUUGGGAUUACAGGCACGAGCUACCGCACCCGGACAUCCAUUUCUUUUCAAAGAAGGAUGUUUCUCUCUAUGCAUUUUCAGACUACCCCAUGUUGUGAGAUGGAUAAUUAUUUAGGAAUGAAGAGUGGGAGUAUUGAUGUCCACUUUGAGGAAGGAGACUACAAGAAUAAUUUAUUUGGUAAGUGGGCUAUAAACACAAAGCAGAUUUAAAAAUAGGCAAAAGAGGUGAAUAGACAUUUUUCAAAAGAAGACAUACAAAUGGGAAACACUCAUAUGAAAAGGUGCUCAACAUUAUUGAUUAUCAGAGAAAUGCAAAUCAAAACUAUAAUGAGAUAUAAUCUCACCCCAGUGAAAAUGGCUUAUAUCCAAAAGACAAUUAAGAACAAAUGCUGGUGAGGAUGUGGAGAAACAAACGCUUGUGCACUGUUGGUGAGAAUAUAAACUAGUACAACCACUAUGGAGAACAGUUUGAAGCUUCCUCAAAAAACUAAGAAUAGAGCUAUCAUAUGAUCCAGCAAUUCCACUACUGGUAUAUACCCCAAAGAAAACAGUAUAUCAAAGAGAUAUCUGUACUUCCAUGUUUGUUGCGGUGCUAUUCACAAUAGCCAAGAUUUGGAAACAACCUAAGUGUCCAUCAACAGAUGUAUGAAUAAAGAAAAUGUGGUACAUAUACACAAUGGAGUACUACUCAGCCAUGAAAAAGAAUGAGAUCCAGUCAUUUGCAACAAUAUGAAUUGAACCGGAGGUCAUUAUGUUAAGUGAAAUAAGCCAGGCGCAGAAAGACAAACAUUGUAUGUUCUCACUUAUUUCUAAGAUCUACGAAUCAAAAAAAAAAAAAUUGAACUCAUGGAGAUAGAGUGUAGAAGGAUGGUUACCAGAGGCUAGGAAGGGUAGUGAGAGAUGGUGGUGGAGAUGAUUAAUGCGUACAAAAGAUAGAAAUAAUGAAUAAGACCAAUAUUUGAUAGCACACCAGAAUGACUAUGGGAAUAAUAAUUUAAUCGUACAUUUUAAAAUAACAAAGAGUAUAAUUGGAUUGUUUGUAAAUGCUUGAGGCGAUGGAUACCCCAUUUUCUGUGAUGUGAUAAUUGCGCGUUGCAUGCCUAUAUCAAAACAUGUACCUCAUAAAUAUAUACACCUACUAUGUACCCACAAAAAUUAAAAAUUAAAGAAGUAAAAAAUUCAAAAAAAUCCCAAAGCCAUGGUGAUGUCAAGUGAUGUUGAGUUUGUGACCACAGUUUCAUCACUGCUAUGCCCAAAGAAGGGAACUUUUCCUUUUUCUCUGGGUUUUGAAACGCUUUGUAGUUAUAGUGAAGUAAACUCUUUGUUCUCCAUCCCUGACAUUAAAACAGUAAAGAAAAAUAUGCUUUGGUGCUAAUCUUUGGGUUGAUCUUUUAAAUAUCUCUCUAAUUGAAGUAAGAAGGGUAUUAACCCUGGGGAAAAUGUCAUGGACAACAAAAUAUUCUUGGCUUUGCAGUUCACAGGAUGUGUUGGUACCAAUUAUAGCAUUUUUUUCCCCAACAGAGUCGAAUGUAGUGGAAGCCAAAGGACCCUACCAACUCAAUGUGCUUUUUCAACACAUUAACUGAGCCAGUAGAAUUCAUUUCAAGUUCAUUUCUGCAUGGAUCAUUUACAGUGUUAAUUUGUGGGUUUGGAUGAUGACUGCUUUUUUUUUUUUUUUUUGCUUCACACUUACUGGUCACAAAAUGAGUUAGUUAAUUUUGUCACUUAAUGGUUGCUAUACUUUUCUUCUUUCUUAAGUAAUGACUGUUUUUUUUGUCAUCAUUUGCUGGACUAGAUCAGGUCUCCCUCUAUGAUUUUUUUAAAGACCUUGGUGCACACAGCUGCUUUGGCAAGUCAGGAAUCAAACUGACAGCCUAUUGGAAGGCAUACCCCAUCACAAGUCUAAAGAGACACAGAGUGACAGUUCACAGACGCGGGUGCAAGGCCUGCCUCUCAAUCUUCUUCAGCUGGCUAGGAUCUUGGCUGAUGCAGGGCGCCCAUGCCAGACGGCAGAGAGCCUGAAGUAACAAAAACAGGCCCAGUGAGGUAAUUAGGACUGACAGAAUGUUUGUCUAUCCACAGACUUCUUUGCAACAGGCAGCCAAAUUUAAUAUAUCCUAUGAGAGUCUGAGCACAUACGGUUUUUGCUCUGUCCCUGUUGAGAUUCUUAAACUUUCAUGAUUAUUAUUUUGUUUAUUUUUGCCACAGAUUUCUCAAUCUACUCUUUUUUUUGUGGAUUUGUGACCCAAAGGGUGUCAUGGCAAUCAUCUUGUUUUCUUUUCUCUUGUGUUAAAACUCAUCAUGAACCAUGAAGCCAGGAAACACAUGAGGAAAUGCAGACUCAAUUAGAGCUGAAGAGGCGAGAAUGCUAUUGGAUGUCUUUGAGGGGUUAUUCACAAUCAAUGUUUUUAGCUGCUAUUAUUGCUGUACCUGCUGCUAAAUGAGAAGGGCAGCCUUCAAACUGGUUCAGGUUCUUCAAAGUGUGCAGUUAGCUGGGGACAUAGAACCUAAUCAAAAAUGAGGUGAUCAGAUCUCAAAAAUAAAGGGCAAGUAUGAUUUUUCAAGAUGAAUGGCCUGGGUAAAGGACAAUGCUAUUUCUACCAGUAACAAGAGGCAGGCCAUAUGGUAUUCACUCUGUUUAUCCUUUCCCCAUCUUCACUAUGAAAAGGUAAUUUAGAUUUUAGUAAAUUUCCAGAAAUACAAACUUACUGGGCCACCCAGGUAUUAUUAUAAUUUUUUUUUAGUAAGUUCAGGGUUAUUUUUACCCAUCAAAAUAAUGUAGGGUUAGAAUCUAGCAUAUGAUCUUAAAUGGCCAGGAAUAUGGAGCUCAGGCAGAACUGGAAUCUGAUUUAUUUCAAAAGCAGAGGGGUCUGUAGUAGUGGAAUUAUUUUUUCUUAGUUCUAUUGAUAACAACAUUUAUGCCAGAAAAAAAUAAUGUAUCUGCCAUAAACAUGUGGCAAAUAAACUCGGAAUAGUGAGAGAAGGGUUGGGGGAUCCAUCUGGCACUUAGCGGAUGUUCAUGCAUAAAAGUGGCUGUAUAGAUCUAAAACUCUUCAUAGUGGUUUAUUCAACAGCCAUUUCUUUUACCUCUUUUCACAGUAAGUUAAUUUGGUUCAGCAAUCAGAUGGCCAUGUCACCAGGAGAGGCUAGCCCCUUCCACAUCCCCAGGGAGGGAAUUUUGAUAAAUCUAACCCUGUCAUGAUAAGCCCAUCCACCUUGCCACUGUUCAGUUUAGAAAUAGUGCACAUGAUAUUGUCCUGGACAAUGAGUACAUAUCUGUUGCAGAGGCUUGGGAGAAAGAUUUUUUAAUCUUUAAAAUAGUCUCAGGAGAAAGUUUAGUUGCUUAGCUGUCUCUAGUUAAAUUAGGGUGAGGAGAAGAUGCUGGACCUUCUGAAUCUAUCCUGUAAUUAUGAGAAGGAAGUAGAGGACCAAGACAGCAUGUUGAAGAUGGCAGAGUAGACAAGCAAAAUAUGGCUGAUAACUUGAGGAUGUUACUGCAGAAGCAAAAUAACCAACCCCACAACCACUCUGCCUCCCAGCUUCUUGUGACAUCAGAAAACAAAUUUCCUGAUUUUUUAAACUGAUACUUAGUUGGGUUUUCUUCAUCUUUUUUUCUUUUUUUUUUUUUUUUUGCCAAAAAUGAUGCAAAUAUUGCUAGAGAUAAAUUAUGUAUUCCACAGUUAAAAUCAAAUCAGAAACCCACAAAUAUAAUCACUAGUCUGUUUUCUUAAAGUUAAUUAAUUCAUUUGACACGGGUCUAGAGAUAUUCACUCAUUCAUGAAUUCAUUCAGUAAACAGUUAUUGAGCCUUUAUUUGAGCCAAGAACUGAGGAUAGAGUUAUAAACCAAAUCAAUAUUGUUGUUCCUUUCAUGGAAUUUAUAAUCUAGCAAGAAGUAAAGAUGUUGAACAGGUGUAGUUAGAGCAAAAUACCUUGUGGGUUCAAUGAUGACUUGAUCUGCAGCAUUAGCAUCUAGCAUUUCAGGAUGCACACUCAGCCAAAGCGGUUACAGCCACAGCUAAAGGUCAGAGAGAAUCUGGCUUCCCCGUAAUAGUGCUGCAGUGAUUGCUGGGCUUCGCAGAUGGAGCUAUGGGGUGAUGAGACUGGUCACUAGGUAUGCAGUUUCGUACUUUCUUCUGUCCAGUUUACUAAUUUACAGCACUUUCUUUCAUGUGCCAUUUUUGCCCUUUGGACUGGUUAAUUGGUGGUAAAACAACAAAAAUCAAAAUGUAUUGAUAUAAAGAUAUAAAUGCAAUUCCCAGGAAACAGUAUGUCAAGUACAGGAAUAUUUACCUCGAAUUAUUCCUAAUUAGUAUUUGGGAGAGACCAUGAGCCAGAUGUUAAGUAGUUACUGUUCUUCACUAGUCAGGCCUUUUUUUUUUUUUUUUUUUUUUUUUUUGAAACUUUCCCACUCAUGGCCUCUUAUUCCAGUCUGCAUAUAUUUAUUGAAAUUUUGCUAUGCCCUGGGAAUGCAAUGAAUAAACCAGACACAAACAUAGAAGUCUCCUUUUUAUUCUCAAAGAGUUUAAUUUUAAAUUAAGAGCACAGGUUUGGGAGAUAGCAGAUUUUGAAUACUGGCUCUGCCACUGACUAAUUGUGAGGUCUCAGGUAAGUCAAGAGAUCCAUUUGACUUUAGACUCUUUUUAUGUAAAAUUACCAAUAAUUAUAGUACCCAUCACAUAGGUGUUUAUGGGGAUUCCAUGAGAUAAUGCAGGCAAAGCAUUUAGCUGAGUAUCUGGCACAUGACAAUUUUUCAGUAAACGCAGUAAACGGUAGCCCUACUCAGAGCUUAAAUAUGUGCACAAGCAACUAUAACACAAGCUAGCAGGCAGUAUGCACCGUAAGAUGCAGAGGAAAAAAUGCUGCUUGAAUUCAGAGGAAGGAGCCUCUGAAAAGAGGAUGGGGAGCCCCUUCAGGAAGGAGGUGCCAUUUGACCUGGGUUAUUCCAGUGCUGCUUUGACACUGGCUUUCCUUUCAGUAGUGGUUCACCUUCUGUGGGGGCCUACCCUCCAGGUUGUCAGGGGCAGGCUCAAUCUCGAUGAGGAGCAGGUCUUCUUUGUUUCCUGUUCACACCACUGACUCAAAGAAGUCACUCCCUGAAAACCAGCCCUUGGCACUGAGCAGAGAUGGAAAUAUGACAGAGCAAUCUAUCCCCACUUAGUACUGAAGUAGUGAAAGUAGCAGUAGUAGUGACGUAGUGAAAAAUAUCACUUGUUUUCUCCUGGAUUGCUCCACAGAUAGUGCCAGAUCCAAGCCUGUGAUUUCGAAGAGCUAUGUGAUAUGAGCUGUGUAAUAGAUUAUUUUGUUUUUCUAGGCUUAAUUCAAUCAUAUUUAAAUAGAGACACUGGACUACACAAUCUACAGAGGAGACACUAUGGCAAGGACUAAAUGGAAUGCAGUACAUAAUGUGCUUAGCACAGUGCUUUGAACAUAGCGGUCACUCAGAGGGUAUCAUCUAAAUAUUUAUAAUAAUAGGUUCUAUAAUACUAUUGUAUCAGCGUGCUAGCAUUGCUAGGUUACAAGUUACCAUAAACUUCAUGGCCUUAAACAACACAAAUUUGUCAUCUUAUGUUUUUGUAGAUUAGAAUAUGGGUUUCAGGCCAGGUGUGGUGGCUCAUGCCUGUAAUCCCAGCACUUUGGGAAGCUGAGAUGGGUGGAUCACUUGAGGUCAGCAGUUCGAGACCAGCCUGGCCAACAUAGCAAAACCCCGUCUCUAUUAAAAAUACAAAAAUUUGCAGGGUGUGGUGGUGCAAGCCUGUAAACCCAGCUACUCUGGAGGCUGAGGCAGGAGAAUCACUUGAACCCGGGAGGCAGAGGUUUGUCGUGAGCUGAGAAUAUGCCACGGCACUUCAGCCUGGGUGACAGAGCAAGACUCCGUUUCAAAAAAUAAAAAAUGAAAAAUAAAUAGAAUACGGGUCUCAGAAGGCUAUGACCAUGGUGUUGAUAGAGCCUGUGUUCCUUUAUGGAGAUUCUGGAGAAGGAUCUGUUUCCCAGUUAUUUGGGUUGUUGGCAGCAUUCAUUUUCUUGUGGUUGUGGAAAGAAAAUCCCUUUGUCCUUGUGUGCUGUCAGCUGAGGGCCUUUCUCAGCUUUGAGGAGCCACCAGCAUUCCUUGGAUCUUUCAUCCCUUGCUUCAUCUUCAAAGCCAGCACCAUGGGUUGAAUUCUUUUGCUUCCAAUCUCUCUUUCUUCUGUCUUGCCUCCUAACUCAGCCUAGAAAAGUUCUCCGCUUUUGAGGACUGAUGAGAUUGGACUGGAUCCAUCCAAAUAAUCCAAGACAGUCUCUCCAUUCCAAAGUUUGUAUUCUUAGUUACAGCCACAAGUCCCUUUGCCAUGGAAGAUGUCCAGUAGGGCAGGAACAUCUUUGGGGAAGGGGCAUUACUCUGCCUUCACACUGAUCUUUUCACCUUAAGGGAAGCACUUUACGAUGAGACCUUUUACUAUUUCAUCUUGGAGUACUCCUUUUCUAUUUCAUUUUUUAUCCCCAGAGCAUCCAACAUUUUGACAGAUCUUUGUUUCCAUGCAGCAAUCUUUAUAGCUGACUUCUCUUUUCAUGCAUGAAUGCCUUUUCUUUAUUUCAACUUUUCCUUUCCUUUCCCUUCAAACCAAUAAUUUUCAUACUUACCUAAUCUGUGAUUAGAGAUAUCAUUUCCAUAUGUGUUAUAUUUAGCUUUUGUUUCUACUUUUCCUCCAAUGGGUUUUGUUACUUGCCUUUUUUUUUCCAUUUUCAUUAGUGUGUGGCUUCUGCAUUUUAGGCUCUUGAAAAUAAUCAUUAUUUUAAGUUAUACAGAAAUGGAUUAAGAAGAAGAGAAGAAAUUCAAUAAUUUAGGAAAUGUUCUGCUUCCCAGCAAUAUAUUUUAUUUAAGUUUUCAUUACACUUAAUAGCUAUUCAUUGUAACAAUUAAUGCAACUCAAAUGUGUAAUCAAAUAUGUAACAAGUACUCCUCAACCUUAGCUAAUCACAUGCCCAUGCAAUGAAAGUUAACAGUUUGUGCAUCCUGUGUAUACUUCUACCCCUUUCUCGAUGUAAAUAUAACUGUAUACAAGUACAAAGACCUUUUUCUUUUUUUGCUGUAGUAGAUUGUAUUAUAUCCUUCCAAAAUUCAUAUGUUGAAGUCUUAGCCCUCAGUACCACAGAAUGUAAGCUUAUUUGGAAAUAGAAUUGUAGAUGUAAUUAGUUAAGAUGAGGUCACUAGGCUGGGCGCUAAUUCAAUAUGGUUGUAUCAUUAUAUAAAGAGGAAAUUAGGACACAGAGAUGUACACUCAGAGAGACUGCUCUGUGAAGGUGAAGGCAGAGAUUAGGGUGAUACUUCUGUAAACCAAGGAAUGCCAAGCUUGCCAGCAGACCUCCAGAAGCCAGGCAAGAGGCAUGGAACAGAUCCUCUUUCACAGUCGUUAGAAGGAACAAACCCUGCUGACACCUUGGUCUUGGAUUUAUAGCCUCCAGAACUAUGAGACAAUGCAUUUCUGUUGUUAAACCACUCCAUUUGUGGUACCUUGUUAAGGUAGCCCUAGCAGACUAAUAUAUCUGCUUUCCAAAUAUAGGGUUAUAUUGUAGAAAUUGUCUUGUGAUAUGUGUUGUUCACUUUAACACGUCAUGAGCAUCUCUUUAGAUCAUGUAUUUUAAACAAGGGGAUUGCCAUGCUGUGAACAGGAAGGUGGAAUGUGGAGCUGGAGCUGCUCAAGGCCCCCUUCCUUGGAACAGGCUGGGUCUGGGAAGCUGUAGAAGUCAUGGAGUAGUUCUGGCUAUGGGAUGUGACCAACAUGGGUGCUGGCAUGGUGGGCAGGGACUCAGGGCAGCUCUUCACUGUGUAACUCCUGGAGGCCCCUCAGGUACCAGCAUGCACAGAGCUUUGCUGUAGGAGAAAAAACAUUUUCUCCCUCACAGUCUGUGUGAUAUAAAUAACAUAAGCACUGGCUGAAUAGCUAGGUCCCUGUUAAGUUUUUAGGAAAAACAACUUCAAACUAAUAAGCAAUCACAUUUCAAGAGUGGAGGAGUUUCCACAGUCUAGGAAUUUCUUUGACUUUCUGGUACUUCACAUAAAACCAGCCCACCAUGGUAAGAAUGCAACCCUCUCUCACACUGAGGGAUUCUUGUUCUGCGGGAACCAACAUCUGACGUAAGUGGCUAUGGAGUUUAGCCCUGUGAACAUUUUCGAGAUGAGUGUCAGUUUGCAGGGAUUAGGGUGAGGAUGGUUUGUACUUUCAGGGGAAAUGGCAAUAUCUAUGUACAGUUUCCACUAACCAUAGUUUCCAUGGUGUCUAAAUAAAGAUCCAAUUUUGAAUGAAUUCUAGGCAACAGCAAAUUGAAUAAUAUUCUCAGGGCAUUUUAAAUGCCUUCUAGGCCCAGCCUUCCCAAAGCUUAAAAAGUUCAUAUGGUAAGUCACAUGCCAGGAAUUUUCUACAUAUUCAUGGCAUUCUUGGAGUGAUUUAUUCAUGAAAUGGAGCAGCCAUGGAAAGCUAGGCAGAUGUUGCUUCUUUUUAAGGUCACUGGUCUGAAGCAGUGUACACUGUGUAUGGAGAUUGAAAUAGGAAGGUUUAUUUAGGGAAAAAACAUAUUUUGCUAGUCUAUCAAGUAAUAUUUUAUUUUUCCAAAAAUGGUAAGAAUUUGGUCCUAUUGAAUUAUCAGCAAAACAUAAGAAUAGCUAAGAUAGUCUGACAUUGAGUUAUAUUUCUGAAUUGACUGUUUAUUUUGACACUUAUGUCAACUCUAUUUGCUUUUCAGCUUUAAAUUUGUCUUUCAGGUUUUUAAAAGUCGCAAGUAUACUUUUAAGCCAUAAUAAUCACUUCAUUAACAGAAUGGGUCCAUGACUAGUCAAUCCUUUGUUUAAGAUUUAAGGAUAUCUUCCAAACUAUGGCAUAAAACUCCUGUGAUUAUGUACGCUUGGCCAUACGACUAGAAUAAAAUGCAUUUAGAUGAUUAUAUUUCAUUAAAUCAAUCUAUAGACCAAAAUCUAAAUAACUCUAUUUUUCCUUUUUUAUUCCCUCAAAAUAUUGUGUAUGGUAGACAAUUCAUUACAUGAGGCUUUGUGAUGCUUAUAACUUCUGAACUAUGGAUCUGGUUUUCUGUAGGGAUGGAGAGAAAGGUGAUCUUUUAAGGAGACUGGUGCCAAGAAGCUAAGGGAACAUUGGAUGUGUCAGUGCCUGAGCCAAACUAAAUCUUUUGCAUUUUGUAAAGUUUGCUAACCCAGUUUGCAAAAUCUGGGCUUAUGUUAAUUGUCUUUCUUACAUCAUCAACCUGUAAUAAUGGAAAAACAGAAAAUAAGUAAUAAUUUGUGCAAUGUUAGAGUAAUUCUUAUUUAAUCUCUGUAAUUAUGUAACUAUAGAAUUUUUAUUUCUUGGCUCACUUAGUCCAUGGAGAUGUUAUUUCAUGGCUAGAGGAAAUUAAGAAAGGUUUUGGAGUAAGCACAAUUUCAAGGAACCAAUUUAACCAUUUUGCGUGGUGCUUAGAAUUUGAGAGUGACACAUGAGCCAUAAAUUCAACUUGGGCUGAUUAAACAUCUGCUAUUAUGGGAUAAACUCUGAAAGAAAAAAAUAAUUAUUUCCAUAGCUAAAUAUAGAGGUGAAGGAAGGUGUAUGAGUGAAGUAGCAUGAUAGAAACUUUCAGGCAAAGGAAUUCUAUUUUGCCUUAGAAGAACCCAAUAGUAUAAAAUCCAUCAUGAGAAAAUUUGAGGUUGCCAUGUAAUUCAGUCUUCCAUUUUCCCACAAUAUGUCAUUCCCAUUACUUGAUCUGUGAAAGUGAAAUGAGGCUGGAGUAGGAGAAAGUGGAGAUACUUGGGUUUAAUCAUUUCUAAGAUUACUAAUAUUCUCUGCUUUUAUAUUUAAGUACAUUAAAUGUGUUUUUUAGAAUAUUUGAGAGAAUGUGUCCACAAUAGCUUUUUCUUCCAGAUCCACAAGCAUUAAGUUAAUAUAGGCUAAUGGCUAUAAUAAAUAGCCCCAACCUUUAAAUGGCUUAACAUAAAAGAAGUUUAUUUUUCUUUUGUUUCAUAGUUCUAUAUGAAUCAGUGUAGAGCUCUGCUCCAUGUGGUCACUCAAGGACCCAGGGUCGUUCCCUUUUGUGGCUCCACCAUUUGCUAGGUGCUCGUCUUCCUCUGCAUUCAGCUGCACACAUGGGGAGAGUGAUGGAAUGUGGAGAAGGCAUAUUCACUCUUAACUGCUGUGCCCUGGAGGUGAUGCACUUCACUUCUACUUACAUUGCAUGGCCUGGAACUCAGUUCGAUGAUUUUCUCUAAUUUCAAAAGAGGUAGGAAUGUAGUCUGACAGUGGGACCAGAAGAAAAUACUCUCUGCCACAAUAUGCAGUAAUUUUCAAAUAAAUAUAAACGAGUGAAAGGAACUUGAUAUUAAAGACAAUAUAAGAUAUAUUUAAUAUUUAGGUUUUACAGUGCUUAUUGUUAUGAAUAUGAAGUCUGUACCAUAGGUUCAUUCAUUUAUUUAUUCAUCAAAUAUUUACUGAGUGCCUGCUGUGUGCCACUGUGCUAGGCACUGCUCCAGUGUGAGCCAGAUGGUCAUAGUUCCUGAAUUCAUCAAGCUAACAGUUUAAUGGCAGAGACAUAUGCUAAUUAAUGUAUGAUUUCAAACUAUCCAGAUGCACUUUUGUGGUAGUUCUGGGUAGUACAAUGCCACAUGAAGAAUGUUCUCUCGAUUUCCCUUUAAAUAUCUUUGUCACUUCUCAUCAUAAUUUCUCAGUUAUUUAAUUAAUUUUGUAUUUCUCUAUUACCAUUUCUUCCAUUUCUCCAGACUCAGUCAUUUUCAGAGUAUGUAGUAGAUGAUUGUCAUUCCCUAGGGAUUAUUAGUGGAAAUGGAGGGUUGUCUUUACUUGGAGUUGAGUUUGAGCCAGUUGUGUCAUUUUAUACCCUUUGAUAAGUAUUUUUAAAUGAAAAUCCUUUUAUUUUAAUCCCUUUAUAACUCUUACUGUGAACAUAUAAAAAAUGUUCUAUUCUGUAACUUGGGCCUCUUCUUGCACAAAACAACCUUAAGAGGUGAAUAACUCAAACUGCUGGGACAGCCUACUGGUGAUUCUGGCAGAACAAAGCCUGUCUGGGAACGGGCCAGUCAGCUUCCUACCCUAGCACAGGUGCUAAGAAGCCUCACAUGACUGCGUCCACCCUAGACACAACCCGCCACAACUGCUUUAGGUGAGGUUUUCUCAAGGAAUGCCCCAGCGUGAGAAGGGAUUCAAGGGCAUUUUUCCACAGCCCAUAACUCUACUGUCUGAUUUCACUAUUAGAACAGGGAAGGUUGUAUUAGUCCAGUUAGGUAUACAAGUUUGGGAAUGGGUUAGCAGUUUGGUUGUCUGGUGCCUUUUAUUUUUGGAGGUACCCAGAUAUGAGGAGACAUCCCCAGGUAACUAUAUAAUAAGGGAAAGAUUGCCUUUUCUCAUAGACUCUUUCUGAAUGUGUCCAGUCUCCCCAGGGUGGAGGGGCUUGGAAUGGGGGUGGGGGCAGCUGUGAUGUUGAGUUCAAAAUUAAUCGAUUCUCUCUUGAGGUCCCAGCAGCCUGGAGGCAAAAUUGGAAUCUACGAAGAUUGCUAGAGAAUCUUCUCUCUGGGACCAAAUGAGAAACUAAAUUUACAAUAAUCCUUUAAGAAGAAAAAUAAUCCCAAGGGCCUUUGAUCCUUGCUGUGUACAAUUGGAAUCACCAUAGAAUAAAAAAAUCUUAAAUAUGAAGAAUUCAGUGACCUCAAACUUUGCUGAUGUUCACAGCUGACACUGAAUUCAAACAAAAUAAGCAAACCUUAGAAAAAAGAAGCCCUCUGCAAAAAUGACCUUAAGAUGGUGGUGAACUCCCCUUUUUCAGAAAAGCCAGAAAUGAAUGAAACUAUAGCUUAACUAUUAACAUUUCAUCAUGAGCUUUGUCUCUUUGACAUAUGGGAAUUAUCAUUUAUGAAAAGAUGCCCAUCUGUAAGGAAUGAGAUAGACUAUCUGUGGAAUAUUAAAGGUGAUAAGACUAUGUCUGGUAUUAAUUGAAACAUUUUUGGGCUACAUCUCAUCUCCAGAGAAAUAACUUUUUUCUGUAGCUUCGAGAGUUGCAGCUUACUUUUAUUACAUUUAUAGGCACAUACACACGCACAGACACACACACUAUAUUUAAGUGAGGGAAAUGGGAAUUCUAGUACCUGGGAUGUUUAAAAGAUGUUUCCAAUAAAAAGUUUAAAUUCCUUGGAUGUUUCUUAGGUAUUUUGGGAAAAAUCAAUCACGUGGUAAAUGGCUUCAUAUUGGAAUAAUAUAAUGGUUGUCAACUUGCAACUACUUCUGUCAAAAAUUAAAUGAUAAACGUUUUCCAUUGGAAUUUUUUUGUUGCAAGGGAUUUUUUUAUUUUCUUUUUGUGAAGAAGAGCCUUUCUAAAAUCUAAAGUAAAAUUCAGAAUAAAAUCUUUCUGAGUGUGAAGAGACUAAAUUUUAUUUGGUAUAAAUAUGGUUGCUGUUUUUGUUUAAACAAGACUGUUAAAAUCUAUGUUUGUCCAGUAUUUCUGGGGCCCUAAAGUUGUGAUUUUUGCUCAGAUUAUAGGUUAUCAUCAUCAUCACCAAUUGGGACGUUAAAGGGGGGAAAAUGGAGACGGCAAUGCAGGUUUUGUUUUUUUUGAUUUGUUUUCUUAACUUUUCCUUCAGCAUAAUUAAUUCCUCUCUGGUUUCUUGAAUGUUUUCUUUCUUUUUUUUUUUUUUGAAGCACAUGUUAUAUGAUUUUAAAAUUUGUUAAAAAGUUUUGUUACUUAGAUGACUUUGUAAAAUUGUUUGCUAUCACUAUUCCUACUAGAUGUAUUAUUUGUGGGUCUGUAGAAGAUAUUAUGUAAACAAAAAUCUGAUAUGGUCUAUGAUGUGUGUGUGUAUGUAAUGUGUGUUUGUGCAUAUGUAUAUGUGCAUGUAUGCAUGUGCACGUGUGUGUGUGUGUGUGUGUGUGUGUGUGUGUGAUUUCUGGUAGCUAAAGCCCAAAAGUGGAAAAUUUAAUUUUUAUAUUUAUUGAUAUCCAUUGGCUGUCAGGUGAUGGCCAAGUCUUUUGAAUUAUAAACUUUUGUAUGUAAGUUAAAAACAUUUACAAUAAUCUAUAGAGCUUUUUUUCAAAUUGCUCAAUAUUUAGGUUUUCUGCUUGCUGGUUUAGUCAACAGAAAAUCUAGUCAGAAAGGUCACGGAGGCUCCUGAAGUGGACCAAGGAACCUCUGUCAUAAACCCUGAAGGUGAGUCCGCACAUGAAACCUGCUCUUCCAUCGGGCACUGAGUUUCCUCAGACUCAGGAAGGUGUCCAUUUUCAGCCAGCCCCUUGAAGGAAGCAGUGCAGUGGACUCUGGCUUUAGAGCUGAAGGCCUGGUUUUGAGAAUUGCAUCAACAUUUUUAUUAAUUGUAUGUUUUAGAAAAUGUACUUAUUUUUAUUUCUUUUCAAUUGAAUAAAACUUUCCAUAAACCAUAGAUAAUAACUUACUGCACAGAAUUUUAUUAGGAAUGAGUGAAACAAAGGUGGUAAAAGUAUGAUAAAGUUCUCCAAAUAUGCUAGGUGGUGGUGGUGUUUUUUUGUUUGUUUUUUUUUUUUUUGUAAUAUCACCUCUUCCAUUGGCCCUGUUUGGUUUCUAUUCAUUUACUCAGCAGAGAUAUAUUGAAUCCCUACCAGUGGCAGACCCUGAGCAGGUCCUGGGUUGUAGUGGCCACCCCCAACCCAGAGCUAAUGGUCCAGUGGGAAAUCUGACUGUAAAGAAACACAUUAGCCAAUACAUAGUCAUGCCUGGUGAUAGAAGCUAAGGUGGAAAAGUGAUCGGUUUUAGGAGAGAGUGUAAUAGAGACUUAAUUUGGAUCAUGAGUCAGGGAAGGCCUGUUUGAGGAACUGACAUUGCAUUUGAUGUUGGAUUAUAAGGAAGCCUUGGGUGGAUGAAGAGCAGGCAGAAUGUCUUCUCAGUUGAGGAAACAUUAAGUGCUAUUACUCUGGGAUGGAAAGCAAGUUUAAAAGGCUGAAGGGAUACAGAAGCAGCCAGGCAGGAGUGGCUGAAGCAUAGUGAAUUGGAGGGGCCCGGGGGUUGAAUGACAAAGGAUAAAUCUGCAAACACAGUCAUAGUCUAGACCAUAUUAAAGGUUUGGGUUUUAUUGCAAAUUCAGUUGGAGGCCAUUACAAUAUCUGGAGCAGGUGAGUGGCACAAGCCGAUUUAUGUUUAAAAGAGUAUAAGCCCUAAAUAUAAGCCAUAUCAAGAGCCAUGCUGUAAUAUAGAUUAUUUAGAAGCUUAAUGACUCUUGUAGAAAUAUAGAUGCUCAUCAUAAACAUUCAAACAAUUUAUGAAAGUCCACAAAGGAAGGCAAAAUUAAUUGUGAAUACCAGGCCGGGCACAACGGCACAUGCCUGUAAUCCCAGCACUUUGUGAGGCUGAGGUGGGUAGAUGACUUGUGGCUAAGAGUUCGAGACCAGCCUGGUCAACAUAGAGAAAACCAAUCUCUACUAAAAAUACAAAAAUUAGCCAGGUGUGGUGGUACAUGCCUGUAAUCCCACCUACUUGGGAGGCUGAGGCAGGAGAAUCUCUUGAACCCAGGAGGUGGAGACUGCAGUGAGCCAAGAUCAUGCACUGCACUCCCACCUGGGCAACACAGUGAGACUCUGUCUCAAAAAAAAAAAAAUUGUGAAUCCCAUCAUUCAGAGAAAAUCACUCUUAACAUUUGCACACAUGCUUACAAUUUUAUAUAUAUAUAUAUUCAGAUGAUCAAAAAAAUAUUGUUUUAUUCUCCAGUGACCUGAAUAAAAACUUCACAUAUUGUGGUCUUAUUUCCAUGACAAUAGUGAGACACAUCAAUAUGUCUGAUGGAUGCUUAGCUGUGAAUUACUCUAAUUGGUUUAGUCAAUUCCCUAUUGAUGACUUUCAGCUUUUUCCCAUUUGUUGCUAAUAUACUGAUGUGGUGAAGCAUCCUUGUGAAUCUUUUGUGCGUGGAUAUAUUUCAUAUAUGCAAUUACCUAAUUAAAGCAAAUAUCUAAAAGGGAAAAUGCUGGAUUAUGGACUUUGUACAUUUGAGGUUUUCAUGCCUGUUGCCAGUCAUCUGCAAUUUACUUUAGGAAAUCAUGUGAAGAAGAAUCAGAAUUUUUUUCUUCUCUAGAUGAAGAGUCAAUUAUCUUAUUCACUGAAAAAGUAGGGUGCAAUUUUAAAGCAACACAAUUAUCAAUUUUACUCUUCGCAAAUUUAAGACUUCUUUCUCUCAUUCAUUUUCCCUGUAUACAGGCCCAUUUCUCUCACUGGACUAUAAACUCCUUGUAAUCAUAGUAAUGUAAGCUUUUGGUCAAUCCCAAACUCCUGUCCCAGCUUGGACUACUUGACAGUUGUACAACCAAAGGCAAUGGAUUAUUACAGUGGCUGUCGUUUAUCUUUAAAAUACUUCAGCAUAGACGAUACCAUGGAUACCAUGUGUGAAUGAGCGUAAAUUGGUUUUAAUCCAUGCCUAGUUAACAUGUAAAAUAUCCUAAUUCAGAGUACAUGCCACCAGGGAUGCUUAGUUAGCAUGUGAAAAACUGUAGUCAGAAUUUCACUUUCUGAAGGCGUUGGCUACAAGCCUUCAACUACCACUAUCUCAAUUCACAUUAGAGUGUUUUCAAUUAAUAUAGCACCGUAGAAAUUCUAUUUCAUUGGUGAAACAGAUAAACAGAUUCUGUACUAGAUAUGUGGAUUGGUAUACUGUGAGACAUGUGAGAGGCCUCUGGCACAUUUACCCUCAAUGCAGACUUAGAGGCACUCGGGUCCUCCAGUUCUUCUCUGUGCCUUCUGCUGUUGAGAAUUUCUGAUCCAAAUCUGAUGAAAAUAGAAGCUCAGUUGAAUCCAGCUUCUGUGAUAUUGCCUUACUAGUCUGGAGUGGCUUUUUCAUGCAAAGCCCUCUCUUAAUAGUCUAAUGGGCCAGAGGUGGGACAAGAUCAAUCUUCCAAAAAUAGGUUUUACAAUGGUUUCUGUAGACACUUGGUAAUAACUGUUUGGAAGGAUUGCUGAAUAUGGUCUGAGACUUGCUUUCUUUGUACCAUACAGUAACCUGGAACAAGAUAUCUACCAGAAAGAAUCUGCCAGCUGUACAGAUCAAUUCACAAUGCUGGGAAUACCUUGGAAGUCACUUUCUUUCUCUCUUUUUAUGGAAGCAUUCAGCCAGGGGACCUUCAGCUACUCAAAACUGCUGAGCUGCCUUGUAGCCUUGGGCAGGCAGUUGGCUGAAUUGAGGUUGGUCACAGAACUCUCCCUGUGCUCCAUUCUUCUUAAAAUAAAAAGCUCAUACCAAAAAUCAUGGCAGGUAUGCAAAUAUUACUACAGUUUUCAUGGGGAGAUGUGAUUGUCAAGUCACAGGCAGAGCUUAAGCAAGCUUCCCUUUAAACACCGUUCUCUCUCGCCAGUCUUGUCUCCACCCUCUCUCUUCCCUUUCUCAUUUUCCAUUUACUGUUUGAUUUUCUUUCCACUUUCCUAUUUUUAUAAGGCCUCAAAAAUCCCAUUUAUUUAUGGUCCACACCCUUGCAGUGAAACUAAAUUGUUGCUCAUAAAUGCCCAUUGGCACCAUGGAACUAUUCUUGUAUAAAAGAGGAGAACUGGAGUUAUUUCAUUAUUUCCCCUCAGGCAAGAAAUUUCAGAACUAUAGAGCAUUCAUUCCGCACGCAGGGCAUGUUUUGCCCAGAAUUUUGCUUCAUUGCUGCUCAGCCCACCAUGAAGCCCCCUUAUGUUGCCUCCUCACAUCUUAGGGCAACUAAAGCCUGUUAGCAGUGUUGAAAACAGGGCAAAGGAAAUAUGUUCCAGGGAGGGGAAGUAUUUCCCAGGCCGUAGAGUCUGCAUUCCAUUUCCUUGAGAGUGGUGUCAGCAAACAAUUCAGAGUGUGAAAAAGACAUUUUGUAUCAUGUUUACAGGGCCCUUGGAUGCACUUUUUUAAUUUUUUUUUAUUUUUUAUUUUUUUAGGGGUAUGAGCUUAGCUGUCCUUAAGAUCUUUUGAUUAGCAUGUGGAGACCAAGCCACUUUAGGCCCGGCCUAGUGCAGUCUGUAAAGAACUGACCAUGGUACGAAUAUUCCCUCCUUGACUCCUGCGAUAUGCUUUAACAUUUUAAUUCCGUGCUUCUCAUGCUCACAACAGUGACUUCUCAUGAACAGUAGGCAUCUCACGAAGUGCAGUAUGGUUUGCACUUUAAUUAUAAUAGCUACAUUUCUUGACCACUUGGGUUCUUUUUGUUUCUCCUAACCUCACAAGUUGGAUAAUAUGUAAUGUGGGGAGGGUGUUUGUUCUAGUGGUUAAGGACACGGGGAAAGAAUCCUGAUUUUGCCACCCGCCCACUCUGUACCGUUUGAUGAUUGCAAACACUUCUAAAUCUUAGUUGCCUCGUCUGUAGAAUGGGUGUAUUAACAAUACUUACAUUACAGGAUGGUUGUGAAAUACAAAUUAGAUAAUAUACAUGAAACAUAUACAUAAUAUAAAUAAAGUGUCUGGUAAGUAAUUCAAUAAAUGAUAGUUAUCAUCAUCUUCAUCACUUAAAAUGACAGAGUUGGGAAGUGGGAUUCCUGGGAUUCAAACCCAGACCUAACUUCUAAGCUUAUGUAUUUGGGAUUGUGUUUUAUGAGAAAGACAACAGUGAAUCAGAGCUAACAUUUCAUUUUGAGCUCUAGAAAGACUUGCUGGGUACUGUCAUAAGCACACAGACUUAUUAACCUCUCUUGUAGUCAUGACAACCCUAUGAGAUUGGUAUAACUGUCAUCAUUUUCCACAUUUGGAGAUGGAGAAACUGAGGCCCAGGGAGGUUAAGUAGCUUGCUCAAGAUUCCUGCUGCUAAGUGGCAGUAGCGAGCCACCACCUGCCUGGAGAAUGCAGGCACUGAGCCACUUGCAGUGCUCUGCCACCUUUGUGAGUCCCAUUCUUGGACCGGACACUUCAUUGCUCAGAAUUCUUUCCUGAAGUAGGGAUGGUUUCCGUGCAGCAUGGUGGAGUUCUUGCAGUGUGGGAGCCUGAGCCAAGUAAGCAGGCUUCAAAAGUUGGCAGGACGGUGUCCCAGGGUUCUCUUAGCAAACAGAAAGAAUUUACCCUCCUGUUGGAAAAAAGAAAGAUGGGGAAUUCAUGGAACACAAGUUGGGUCCAAAGCUGGUGGCCACUAGGGAAGGGAAAUUUUGAGUAGAGUUAUCUUGUCAAUUAAGUGGAUUUCUCCCUGACUUAGCUUGGGGCUAAUGCCUGCAUGGGAAGCAGGGACCAUGUAAGACAACGAGAUUAAUAACUCACAUUUAUUACAGCUCUGUAUGAGUCAUCUUAUAUAAUUAUCAUGACAAACAUUGAAGUAGUUGUUAUAUUUGUACCCAUUUAUCAGAUGGGAAAUCUGAGGCACAGAAAAGUUUAAACUUGUGCCCGUGGUCACAGUUCUGGAGUGAGGGUCUUGACAGGCAGACUCCAAAGUGCUCUCCAAUUCUGUGGAUGUGAUGAUGGCACAGUGAAGCCACUCGGACCACAAAGCAUCAGAGCAACCACGCCAUGAGGGACAUGACUUUUCCAAGCAAGCAUUCCAAGGAAUUUUCUGAAAGAGCCAGGAAUUGACAUGGAGGUGGGGAAGUUUUGCACAUUCUGAGGUCUUAUCAGUAAGAGAAAUAACUAAAUUAGCUGAAUAAAGCUUUCCCUUUGUUUCUCUUCCAUUCCAAGGUGGUGAGGCUUGAGGAAACAUGAUAGAGAGGAAAUGAUUUAGUCAGAGGUUGUACAUGGAGAAUCAUACUUUUGUUUUCCUCAAUAAGGCCAUGCCAUCAGUAGAUGAAGCACUUUAAAGAGGGCACAUCCUAUAUAUCUUUCAACUUUCAGGGAGAAAAUGUUUCUGAGAGUAGAAAUUUCUUUUUUUUGUUUCGAGAUAGAGUCUCGCUCUGUCGCCCAGGCUGGAGUGCAGUGGCGCGAUCUCGGCUCACUGCAAGCUCUGCCUCCUGGGUUCACGCCAUUCUCCUGCCUCAGCUUCCCGAGUAGCUGGAACUACAGGCACCAACCACCACAUCUGGCUAAUUUUUUUGUAGUUUUAGUAGAGACGGGGUUGAGUAGAAAAAUUAUAAUGGGGAUUCUGCUAUCCUUUGGGAGGGAAAUGGUAAUAAUUUAGUGAUGUGGCUGGAAGGAUCAUGUUUCUUUUCUCUGAAGCAUCAUUCUGACUUAGGGGAGUUCUUAAUUAUUAAGAUAAUGCCAGACCAAUAAACCAGCUAGCCCUAGUGUGGUCAAUAAUAAUUCUAUCAGAAAAGCUUGAAAUCAUUUGCUGUUUGUGAUUUCAUAGCAAAUAAAACUUUUCCCAUCAGGUGUUUUAAAUAACAUAGUUUGACUCCAAGGUCUGCAUACAAUGUUUUCUUUAUGCUAAAUUAGUUUGCUUAAGAAGUGUCCAAGAUAGGUAAAGUGAAAAGCAUUACUCCCAAGAAUCAAACCAACACAACCACUUAAAACCUAAUAAAAAUGUAUUUGACUAAGACAGGGAAUAGAACCUCAUUAUUCUAGCAAAAGUUUAGUUUGUGUUUUAUUUCACUUAGCUUCAUCUUUCUGUGGACCAUAAAUAAGAAAUGCCAAGUAAUAAAUACACUAUACAAAAUGCAUUUUAAUAAUCCUAAAGGGCUUCAUUACUGUGGUUACAACCUGCAGAUGUAAAUUAUGGCUGAUACUCUAGCCUUCAUUUAUCAACUUCAGAGGUUCUGUUUUUUCUGCUGUAAAUGCUAUAGGAUUAUGCUAACUAUUUACAGAAUAAAUUAACUUGAUGUAGCUAAAUGGAAUUUCAUUGCUUUUAAAUAUCUAAAAGAUAAUAUCAAAAUCUUCAAGGAAUAUAUCAUAAUACAUAAUUUUGUGUGGCUUUGGAUUUUUUAAAACUGAAAACAAUCCAUACUGCAAGGUAAUAAAUUGGGAAGUUACCCAAGAGAAACCAAACAGCUGUUUUCAAUAAUGCAGGUAAAUUCUAGUCAUAGGAAAAUCUCUAUUACUGCCUGAGCUAUUGGAAAAGUUUUGUGCAUUAAACAGGCCUUGAGACUAGCAGAGAAAUCCCUUAUGCAAUCUAGACCCAAACCACUGUUCUUUUUUUGUUUUGUUUUCUGGUCUUCAUUUUUACCUUCCAUUUCAGUGAAUCUGGAAUUUGGAAUAGGUGGUGCAUCAGAAAAAAAAAAAAAACUAUAUGCCACUGUGUAUUUUUUUGUUUUUAAUCUUUUAAAUUAUUUUGCUUUAUUUAUUUUUUUGUUAUAACUAACACAUAAUAUUUGUACAUGUUUAUGGGAUACAGUGUGAGGUUUCAAUAUAUGUAUACAUCAUAUACUGAUCAAAUCAGGGUAGUUGGCAUGUCAAUCACCUUAAAUCUUUAUCAUUUCUUUGUGGUGAUAGCUUUCAAGAUCUAUAUUGAAAUAUACAAUACGUUGUUAUUAGCUGUAGCUACCCUACUGUGCAAUAGAAUACCCAAAUUCAUUCUUCCUAAUUAACUGUAACUUUGUACUCAUUGGCCAAUCUCUAUCCAUCUUCCCCUCCUUCCUUCCCUUCCCAGCCUCUGGUAACCACUACUGUAUUCACUACUUCUGUGAGAUCAACUUUAUUAGAUUUCACAUAUGAGUGAGAUCAUGCAUAUUUGUCUUUCUGUACCUGGUUUAUUUCAUUUACAUUAUAUCCUCCAGGUUCAUCCAUGUUGCUGCAAAUGACAAGAUUUUCUUCUAUUUUUAGCAGAAUAAUAUUUCAUUGUGUAUCUAUACAUUUUCUUUAUUCAUUCAUCUGUUAGUGGACACUUAGAUUGAUUCUAUCUCUUGGCUAUUAUUCAUAAUGCUACAAUAAAUGGGAGUGCAGUUAUCUUUUUGACUUAACUAAUUUCAAUUCUUUUGAAUAUACACCCAGCAGUAGAAUUGCUAGGUCAUAUGGUAGUUCUAUUUUCAAUUUUUGAGGAAUCUCCAUACUGUCUUCUGUAAUAACUGUACUACUUUACAUUCCUACCAACAGUGUAUAAAAGCUCCAUUUUCUCUUCAUCUUCGCCAGCAUUUGUGUGUGUGUGUGUGUGUGUGUAUAUAUAUACACAUAUAUACAUAUAUACAUACAUAUAUAUACA
rnacentral:lncRNA from 1 species